UUUUUUUUUCGUAAAUACGCUGAGCAGCGUAUCAUUUCAUUGAUAGGUGGAAAAAGAAUACAGAGUGCAGCUCACUCGGGCGUACACAACUUGGCGUCCGAGAGAGUGCAUAGCGAGCAGCGGAGGAUGCUCAGCCUCGGUACAAAGAUCAAGUUACAUGGAUGAUCCUAUCUAGACCUUUGUCGCCGGCCUUAGCCCAACGGCGAGCCUCGUCUUUGAUCCGCUGCACAAGCUCGUCAGUGGAAGGACGGGCACCAUCAAAGAUGGCUGCAUUCCUGUGUUUCCAGAUCUGGUAGCAUUUUGGGGUGGUUGGCGAUGAGGAACAUCAUAUAAUAUGACAUCUGCUCGAUCGCCUUUGCUUGUUCUUUGGACUCUUCUCCUGUGAUCCUGGGGCUGGAGCUGCAGCUGCACGAGAGGAAUACAUUUGUAGUGAUGUGCCGGAUGAGGAUAGCCUCUUGAAGCUCAGGAGGGAAGCCCAUAUCUUCAUCUGACUGGCCCUUAGGCUUAGUGUCUGGCGGGACCCAAGCAUAACUGGAACUGGUGUGGAGUGUGGACACGCCUCAAUGGAUUAACUUGCUCAUAUGAUUCAGGCGGGGCUCGAUCAUACCUCCAUCGAUCAGUUUCUUGCUCGUAGAGUUCGAGCGAGUACUCUGCAGCUUGCUCGUCAGGGUGAUGGUGUGGUCUUGCUUGCACAUUGUAUUCGUUUUCUUCAAAUGGUGCAUUUCUAAUACCAGCGCAGACCUGCCAGGGGUAAGGCAGCCUCGGGGGCUCAUUGUUGACACUGCUGCAAAUCCGCUCCCUGGGGUAUUGGUAUUGCAGCCAUGGAGCAGCCUGAUCCUCCACGCCGUUGCAGAUCCACUCUCUGGGGUAUUGCGGACACAGAGCAGGCUCAUCAUCUAUGCCAUUGCAGACCCGCUCCCUGGGGUAUGGCGUCCCUGGAGGCCCAUACAGGAUACCAAGGCAAUGAGCCAAUGACCACCAGGGUCACUCACACAUGUGCAAUAGUUGGGGAGAUUCCCGCAGCCCGGCGGCCUUACAGGCCCACAUGAGACAUCGAAGCAGCCCUUGUCGGGGUUCGGUGAUGUUGGAUGACAUGUGCAAUAGUCGGGGAGCUCCCCACAGCUCGGGCAGUGCUCAUCGUGGUUCGGUGACCCUGGACAUGUGCAAUAUCCGAGGAGCUUCCCGCAGCUCGGGCAGCGCUUGUCGUGGUUUGGUGGCCUUGGAGGUGAAUCAUCAGUGUUGCUUUGUCGCUCACGUUUCGCCAGUUCCACGGGAUCACGGAAUAACUUUUCCCAUAUGUUUUGGAACACCAGCUUCUUGACACUGUCUGGAAUCUCAAGGCCUCUUGAAUGGUCUUCCCAUUGAAAGUCCCUCAAACUCGAGUGGCCUUCCCAUUCAAUCGCCAGUCUAGGCAUGCUGUAUAGGUUGUGCCUGUUUCCAGCGGUGCACUGGCUCAACAAGUUACACUGCCCGAAGAUGCCCGGCCACCUUCUGUAGCUUUUGGGCUCUUUGGGACAUGCACAUGUCCACAACCACAAGGAGAGCUGGGAAAUGCACAGCGACUUGACAAACCUUCGGAGCUUCUUCCAUCCUCCCUUGCACCAAAAUUCAUGCUUCAACCAAUUGCAUGUCAUACGUUCGAAGUAUGAACGUGUCCAUGCUGACGCUAGUGCUCUGAACAGCCAUCUCACAUCGAGGAGGAGGGUCGUACACAGCAAUACAUAACUGAUAACUUCAUCUUCUGUCGGCAUGCUCUCUUUGCAGUGGAGACCAAACAGCAGGAGCGCGAUGGCGGCGAGGCCAGACGGAUAGCGUAGCCAUGCCAGGUGUGGACCACUGCUGCCUUUGUGUAGAGGAUGUCAUACAUAAGGGAGAGUUCCAUCUCCACGACCUUGCACAUACUCUCCCAUCUAUCUUCAGAGAACAUGUUCAUGAUGUCAUCAUGAUUUAUGUUUGACGGAUAAUCACAGAAGGCUCCCUUGCAGAUCUCGAACAGUUCAUGAGCAACCAGCAGGGCUUUCUCAUCUUCGAGUUCCGACAGCUUCUCUUGAUCUCUAUAAUCAUCAAGGUUGAACAUCUGCUUGUUGGAAAACCCUCUGUCUCGAAUGUGGCCCAAUUCGCUUCGCCGUAGCGCCAGAGUAUUCUCGAGAUGCUUCAAAAUGCCCAAAGGUAACAUGAUGCCAGACGCCCAGCGCAAAUACAAGCCGGCCGUGCAUUCGGCAAGUAUAUACCUGUAUACAACAAAGAAGGAUCCCACGGACAAGGGGAUGUCUAACACGAGCAGGCGCAGCCAGAGCUUAGCGUCCUCUAUGGCAUAGGCGCCGAUGUUGUCCGGGCGGCCGUGGUGGAGCAGGAGGAACGGGACCCAGAAGGCGACCAUCAUCUUCUCGCUCGGUGAGGUUUCAAGGUACAGGUUGCCGAUGACAUAUGCCGGGCCCCAGUCCGUCAGCUGGUACGCCACCCACACGAGUACUCUCUUCCAACCUCUGCCUUCACGCCGGCGGCUGUCAGAGAAGACGGCGAGGAUGAGAUGCAUGAGUAAGGUGAGAAGCGGCACUAUCCGGUACACAUAGACACUCAACCACAUCACGCAAGCUUCGACCAAUGCUGCAGCCAUUUUGCUACCACCUGCAGGCACAUCAAUCAAGAUUAGUUUGUUACUACACUCAUAUCACAUAUGCAAGCAUGCUCUAGUAUGUGUUGCAGCAUGCUAGAGAGAGGAUAUUAAGGACCAAAAACCAUGAUCGAGCAUGUACAUACCGGCACGCAGCAGAUAUGCAGAUCGAGGAGAAUGAGCACAGUCUACGCUUCCAGUCAAGACUCAAGACAAGAGUUGCUCUUUAGUCUUAACUCUAGAGAUAAGGAGUAUUAUAAGACUGGCACAUGGGCAUUUCUAAGUUGAUCCACUAAUAGUGCAUAACAUGUGAACCCUAGCUAGCUCUCAUUGACAGUACAAACAAAAAAAAGCCUCGGCUGCGAAAGAGACAGGGAAGCGUCCAAUUUGGUGAAUUCCUCACGUCCUCUGCCUUUCUUUUUGUGUGAAUGUGUAUGAUCUGAACACAGGACGCAGAUUACAUAAGGCUGCUGAUAUAUUUAUGGCUGUUCUGAAAUUUACGCCUGAGAGGGGUAUAUUUUACCGGGCCAGGUGACAGGUAUGGGAAGAAAUCUGGAGGUACGGGUAACGGGUGAAAUCAAAAGACAAAUGUAUGGUUUUGGGCACAUAUGCUGAAGCUAUAAGACAAACGUAUGGUUUUGGGCGCAUGAUGGCGCAUGCGCUGAAGCUAUAAGACCAUAAGUGUAUCUACUUGGCUAUCAAGUAGAGUGGUCAGUGGACUAGUUACGGCUCUUAUCAAGCUAAAAAAACGAGAACGUCGUUUGCGCCUCACAAAUGCUUGGUUUGCUUAUCUGCGUUGAGUAGAGUAGUAGGUACAGAAGAAAAUGUAGUGGUGGUCAUCGUCCUCGUGAAGGGGCAGAGAGAUUGAGAGAGGGAGAGCUCACCAAAAUCAGCGAACUGGCGCUUGGGCAUAUACUCUGCAUCGUCAUGGUAAACUCCCCGUCCUCCGUUGUGCAUCCUCGUCACGAUCCCUUCGAAUUAAGGCGAACAUUAACCAUGAAAACUAUGUCAUAGAAAAGUCAACAGAGAACUCGGAGGCAGACACGAAAUUGGCCGUAGAGACCGCGGGCGGGGCCCGCAUUGCCGGCACCGCUGUUGAUGGUGCGCCGCCACUCUGCUGUUGGAAGGGUUGAUCACCCGUUGUUAUUGCAAAUCAGACAUAUCACUUACUGAUGCUAGGGGCAAAGCCACGGAGUAGUGGUUGGCUCUUAGAUCAAGAUUCAGACAUAUCACUUACUGAUAUUGCAAAUCAAGGGUAGCAAGGAGAUGACAGAUCAAUUAUUUCAGAGGUAAAACUCCAGUCUGAGUUAGGAACAACUUCAGCUUGUGCAUAAGCCAGUUGUCCGAGUGAAAUAUGCUUAAGCUGGGUUCAAAAGAAAAAAAAACAGAGGAAUUCAUUCGAUUGGGUCUGUAAAGGUUUAUGGAUCUUAGCUUAUUUCUGGUGGUGAAUGGUGUAAAUUAUAAAAACACCUUUUAUGCUUGUUUCAUUUACAAGAUUGUUAUUUUAAACCGUUUAUUUGCACGAAAUAUCAAUGUUAUAUCCGGUCCACACAAGAAUUGGCAUCACAACUUGAAAAAUGUGAACAAGCAAGCAAGAUUGUACAAAUUCAUUUGGUGCAGUGAGCAACCGAUAUCAAGAACAGCAUAGACACAUCAGUGGUGGAAAAAUAUAUAUCAAAAGUCAUCAAAUUCGGGUAGUAGAAUGAAAGCUUAAUAUAGAGUACGGUCAGGAAACCAACAUCCCAUGCAUCCAUCACAUGUUCCAGCGAAAAAGGAAACAUGGCUCAUCACGAAAGAUUGAAAAUGAACCAAAUCUCUCAUCAGGAAUACAGUCUGAACCCAUUUCUGUUAAUAAUGAUAGUGGUAAGAUACACUACUACUGGUGUUGGCCACGUGGCACGCCAUUAGAAUUUCAAAUACUGCUGACGUGGUAUCCAGCGCCACCACUAUAUUUUAACAGUGGCGCCAUAUUAGUGGCAUCGGAUGUCCACGCGAGCAAGGCCAUUUUUUUCACGCCAUAGUUAGGCUUUUCUGCACUAGUGACAUGGGAGACGUUCUAGGAGAAGCCACAAGAGGAGCCGCAUCCAACAGCCACAACAUAGGAGGGACAACCGUGACCUUGGUGGUUACUUCCGUCGUGAUGGCCACGAUGGAUACCGUGGCGGUGAUGGAGGUUACCGUGGAGGCUAUGGUGGUGGUUACAAUGACGGCGCUGGUGGUAGUUACCGUGGUGGUGGCGGGAGGGGUGGAGGUGGUGGCAAGCAUGACAUGUACGAUGAUGGACUAAGGCGUACGUAUGGUGGCCGCCCACCACGACUGUUGGAAAUAUGCCCUAGAGGCAAUAAUAAACUGGUUAUUAUUAUAUUUCCUUGUUCAUGAUAAUUAUCUAUUGUUCAUGCUAUAAUUGUGUUAUCCGGAAAUCGUUAUACAUGUGUGAAUACAUAGACCACAACAAGUCCCUAGUGAGCCUCUAGUUGACUAGCUCGUUGAUCAAUAGAUGGUUACGGUUUCCUGACCAUGGACAUUGGAUGUCAUUGAUAACGGGAUCACAUCAUUAGGAGAAUGAUGUGAUGGACAAGACCCAAUCCUAAGCAUAGCACUAGAUCGUGUAGUUCGUUUGCUAAAACUUUUCUAAUGUCAAGUAUCAUUUCCUUAGACCAUGAGAUCGUGCAACUCCCGGAUGCCGUAGGAAUGCUUUGGGUGUACCAAACGUCACAACGUAACUGGGUGGCUAUAAAGGUGCACUACAGGUAUCUCCGAAAGUGUCUGUUGGGUUGGCACGGAUCGAGACUGGGAUUUGUCACUCCAUAUGACGAAGAGGUAUCUCUGGGCCCACUCGGUAAUGCAUCAUCAUAAUGAGCUCAAUGUGACCAAGUAGUUGGUCACGGGAUCAUGCAUUACGGAACGAGUAAAGUGACUUGCCGGCAACGAGAUUGAACGAGGUAUUGGGAUACCGACGUGUUGGGGAACGUAGUAAUUUCAAAAAAUUUCCUACGCACACGCAAGAUCAUGGUGAUGCAUAGCAACGAGAGGGGAGAGUGUUUUCCACGUACCCUCGUUGACCGACAGGGGAAGCGUUAUCACAACGCGGUUGAUGUAGUCGUACGUCUUCACGAUCCGACCGAUCAAGUACGGAACGUACGGCACCUCUGAGUUCUACACACGUUCAGCUCGAUGACGUCCCUCGAACUCCGAUCCAGCCGAGUGUUGAGGGAGAGUUUCGUCAGCACGACGGCGUGGUGACAAUGAUGAUGUUCCACCGACGCAGGGCUUCGCCUAAGCUCCGCAACGGUAUUAUCGAGGUGUAAUAUGGUGGAGGGGGGCACCGCACACGGCUAAGAGAUCUCAAGGAUCAAUUGUUGUGUCUCUGGGGUGCCCCCUGACCCCGUAUAUAAAGGAGCAAGGGGGAGGCAGCCGGCCAAGGGGAGAGGCGCGCCAUAUUGGGGAGUCCUACUCCCACCGGGAGUAGGACUCCUCCUUUCCUUGUGGGAGUAGGAGAAGGGAAGGGGGAAGGAGAAAGAAGGAAGGGUGCGCCCCCCUUCCCUAGUCCAAUUCAGACCAGACCAUGGGGAGGGGUGCGGCCACCUUUUGAGGCCUUUCUCUCCUUUCCCGUAUGGCCCAUUAAGGCCCAAUACGAAUUCCCGUAACUCUCCGGUACUCCGAAAAAUACCCGAAUCACUCGGAACCUUUCCGAAGUCCGAAUAUAGUCGUCCAAUAUAUCGAUCUUUACGUCUCGACCAUUUCGAGACUCCUCGUCAUAUCCCCGACCUCAUCCGGGACUCCGAACUCCUUCGGUACAUCAAAACUCAAUAAAACUGUCAUCGUAACGUUAAGCGUGUGGACUCUACGGGUUCGAGAACUAUGUAGACAUGACCGAGACACGUCUCCGGUCAAUAACCAAUAGCGGGACCUGGAUGCCCAUAUUGGCUCCCACAUAUUCUACGAAGAUCUUUAUCGGUCAGACCGCAUAACAACAUACGUUGUUCCCUUUGUCACCGGUAUGUUACUUGCCCGAGAUUUGAUCGUCGGUAUCUCGAUACCUAGUUCAAUCUCGUUACCGGCAAGUCUCUUUACUCGUUCCGUAACACAUCAUCCCGCAACUAACUCAUUAGUCACAAUGCUUGCAAGGCUUAUAGUGAUGUGCAUUACCGAGUGGGCCCAGAGAUACCUCUCCGACAAUUGGAGUGACAAAUCCUAAUCUCGAAAUACGCCAACCCAACAAGUACCUUUGGAGACACCUGUAGAGCACCUUUAUAAUCACCCAUUUAUGUUGUGACGUUUGGUAGCACACAAAGUGUUCCUCCGGUAAACGGGAGUUGCAUAAUCUCAUAGUCAUAGGAACAUGUAUAAGUCAUGAAGAAAGCAAUAGCAACAUACUAAACGAUCAAGUGCUAAGCUAACAGAAUGGGUCAAGUCAAUCACGUCAUUCUCCUAAUGAGGUGAUCUCGUUAAUCAAAUGACAACUUAUGUCUAUGGCUAGGAAACAUAACCAUCUUUGAUUAACGAGCUAGUCAAGUAGAGGCAUACUAGUGACACUCUCUUUGUCUAUAUAUUCACACAUGUAUUAUGUUUCCGGUUAAUACAAUUCUAGCAUGAAUAAUAAACAUUUAUCAUGAUACAAGGAAAUAAAUAAUACUUUAUUAUUGCCUCUAGGGCAUAUUUCCUUCGGUCUCCCACUUGCACUAGAGUCAAUAAUCUAGAUUACACAGUAAUGAUUCUUACACCCAUGGAGCCUUGGUGCUGAUCAUGUUUUGCUCGUGGAAGAGGCUUAGUCAACGGGUCUUUAACAUUCAGAUCUGUAUGUAUCUUGCAAAUUUCUAUGUCUCCCACCUGGACUAAAUCCCGGAUGGAAUUGAAGCGUCUUUUGAUGUGCUUGGUUCUCUUGUGAAAUCUGGAUUCCUUUGCCAAGGCAAUUGCACCAGUAUUGUCACAAAAGAUUUUCAUAGGACCCGAUGCACUAGGUAUGACACCUAGAUCGGAUAUGAACUCCUUCAUCCAGACUCCUUCAUUUGCUGCUUCCGAAGCAGCUAUGUACUCCGCUUCACAUGUAGAUCCCGCCACGACGCUUUGUUUAGAACUGCACCAACUGACAGCUCCACCGUUCAAUGUAAAUACGUAUCCGGUUUGCGAUUUAGAAUCGUCCGGAUCUGUAACAUCCCAAAAUUCUAAAUUUUGGAAUGUUAUAAUAAACAGAUAGAUUGGAUUGAUUGUUUGAUUGAUUGACUGAAAGUGAGUGGAAUUCGAAAUCUUUUGAAAGUUAAAGGAGAGGGAAUAAAAGGACUUUCCCAAACUUUCAUUUUUCUUUUAUGAUCUCCAUGAAUUCAAAUUCUUUUCACCACAAAACCCUGGAGAGAAGAUGACAUGACUUCUUCCAUUUAUAUAAAUGAAAAGGGGUGUUGAAAAUAUCUGAAUUUCAUUUGAGAAUAUUUCCAAUUCUAAAACUCUAUGCAACUCAAUGAUUUUCACGAGCAAAGAUAAAAUGACUUCUUCAAAACAUAUGAAAUAUGAGUUGGGAGUUUCAAAGGAUAUAUUCAAAGUCCCAUUGAAAUUAUUUUUCAAUAUUGGAGUUAUUUGAGUUUUAUUCAAAUUAUUUUUCUUCAAAAAUAAAAUAUACAGAAAUUAGGGUAAAAUGAUUCCCUACAUCGGAAAAUUGGAGAAAAAUAAAUUUGAAAUUAUUUUGGUAUUUUUAAAAUGAUUUUUAUUGGAUUUUAUUAAGGCAGCAGCACUGUUUGAUUUAUUAAAAUUUUUGUGGAUUUUAUUUGACUCUACAAAAAUGUUCUUGUUGUAGGAAAUCUUUUUCUGAAAAUUUUGAUAUAUUAUAUGCCUAUAUAAUAUUUUCAUUUUCUUUUGUUUUUAUUAUUUCUUUCUCUGUUUUUUUUUCAAAAAAAACCCUCCGCCGAACUGGGCCGGCCCAGCACCCAGCCAGGCCACGGUCCAGCCCGACGCCCGCGCGUCCCCGACCUCCCGGGCGGGACUCCGCCUCCCGCACGCCGCCGCGCCGCCAUGGACGCCGUGCCGCCUCCGGCCUCCUCCUACCCAUCCUCCACGCCACCUCCUCGCCCCCCUCUUAAAUAGCUCCGCCCCGACCCCCCCUCUCUCUCUGCUCCCGCCGCCGCCCGCUCCCGCAUAGCCGCCGCCGCCGNNNNNNNNNNNNNNNNNNNNNNNNNNNNNNNNNNNNNNNNNNNNNNNNNNNNNNNNNNNNNNNNNNNNNNNNNNNNNNNNNNNNNNNNNNNNNNNNNNNNNNNNNNNNNNNNNNNNNNNNNNNNNNNNNNNNNNNNNNNNNNNNNNNNNNNNNNNNNNNNNNNNNNNNNNNNNNNNNNNNNNNNNNNNNNNNNNNNNNNNNNNNNNNNNNNNNNNNNNNNNNNNNNNNNNNNNNNNNNNNNNNNNNNNNNNNNNNNNNNNNNNNNNNNNNNNNNNNNNNNNNNNNNNNNNNNNNNNNNNNNNNNNNNNNNNNNNNNNNNNNNNNNNNNNNNNNNNNNNNNNNNNNNNNNNNNNNNNNNNNNNNNNNNNNNNNNNNNNNNNNNNNNNNNNNNNNNNNNNNNNNNNNNNNNNNNNNNNNNNNNNNNNNNNNNNNNNNNNNNNNNNNNNNNNNNNNNNNNNNNNNNNNNNNNNNNNNNNNNNNNNNNNNNNNNNNNNNNNNNNNNNNNNNNNNNNNNNNNNNNNNNNNNNNNNNNNNNNNNNNNNNNNNNNAGCCCGAGCCGCCGCCGCCCUUCUCCGACGCCGGCGAACCCCGCCACCGCCGACCCGGUCCGCCGCUGAAAAACCGCCGGUUUUCGAUGAAAACCCCACCGGUAUAAACCGUGAACCGCCCCGGUUUUUUUUAUUAUUCGUUUUGGGUUUUAUUAAGAAAACCUAGAUCUGUUUUUUUAGGUUUUACUAAACUGCGAACGCCCACUGUUUAGAUCCUAUAAACGAACGUUCACUAUUUAGUUUUUUCUUUUUCUGUUAUUUUCGGCCAGGGACCCGUGUGUGAAUAUUUUAUUUAUAGAUUAGCCCCUGAUCUUCAAACAUCUAUAACUUUUUACUCGUUUGUCCAAAUCCAACGAAACCAACGCCCACUUCUUCGUUAUGAUAUCCUCUAUCCAGUAAAACAACUUAAACAUGUUUUUGAAAGUUUUAAAAUUUGAAUUCAAACAGAUUUGUAUUCAAACUUCUUUUGUUCAUAACUUAAGUUCCGUAACUCCGUUUGAGUUGAUUCUUUUUGCAAAUCGAAGCUCUUGACCUAAACUUUCUGAUAAGGACAAAUUCAUAUAAUUUUGGUACUGUUAGAAAUUGUUUUAUGUUGCAAGAGUUAAUUGCUUGGUUUUGAAGUUUUCCGAAUUGUUUUCCUCGUUCUUUCUGAUCUUUUGAGUGAUUGCUUAUGUGUGGUUACCAUUGCUUGCUUACGAUAGAUCGACCGGAGUGUGACGAGUAGAUCUAUCAAGAGUUUUGAGUGCGAAUCAUCUUCAUCAACAUUGCAGGCAAGUAACACUUUAUCAUACCCUUCCAUACCCAGUUUUUAUUGCAUUAGAUCAAUCCUCAAACAUUGCAUGGUUAGGAUCUAAUUAAAUUGUGGGUUUUGGGAAGUAGUUGAUGUAGUACCUAUUACCUGUUUUGUUUAUCAAACCCUUGGGAGUUACUUCUACGUUGCUAUUAUAUUGCCAUGCUAUGCUCGUAGACGUGGAUUGGGUUUGAGUGAAAUUCAUGACAGAUGUGAGAUUGUUAAUAAUGGUUUACUUAAGGUGGCAACUAAAAAUCACAUCUGGGUGGAUUGAGGCACCUGGAGAACCCAGUGUUGUCUGUUUGUAUAAGGACCGCCACCCAGGCUCAAAGGGAUCAUAAGAUUAUUCAUGCUAGAAACUUCCGUGUGCAGCCACAAGCUAUUAUGGGCUCUAGCAUAGUCGAGUAAGUUGUGGGAAACCUUUCCAUGAUGGGCUAGCAGAUGUAGGGGAUUGUAGGUGUACCGGCCUAUCUAUCGGUUAAGGGGACCUCUUCGGAAAGACUGUGUCUCGGUCAUCCGUUUCUCAAACACCAUGCAGUGCGAGAAUCAAGCGGAGGCGAUCGAGUCUUGUGGGGAAAAGUGCGCAAACCUCUGCAGAGUGUACAAACUAAUCAUGAUUAGCCGUGUCCCCGGUUAUGGACAUCUUGAGUAUCUAGUUCUUGGAUUAUCCCGUUGAUCUCAUCAUGUUACUUUAAUUAAUAUUGUUGGGUUAAUGAUGAUACUUAAUUGGGAUUGAGAUGCUGUCAACCAUCUCAAUGUUUCACAACCACCAUGAUAGUUAAAUAAAAUAUAUUCCUUUGUACUAGGGAAAAAUAGGCUUUUCGCAAAAACAUUAUAACCAUAGAGCUUUUCCACUAGCCAUAUAUGCAUGUAGUGAUAGCCUUUGUUCAUCAUUUCUCUAUGGUGUGAAUUUGCCAGUACAUUCAAUGUACUGACCCGUUCGGGCUGCAACGUUUCAUGUUGCAGGAUUCUUACGACGAAUAAGUGAUACGUUAGGGUUACGAUUUCUACACUCAACUUUGCCGUUGGUGUUGAUGGGAAUCCACAACCUUGUUACUUCCGCUAUUUGGAUUGAGGUAAUAGUAUUUAUGUUACUUUAUGCAUGUGAUUUACCUCUGUUAUAAAUCCUCGAGUACUGUGUGUGUCAGCAUACCGAUCCAGGGAUGACACUUAAGCACAGAGACUUGAUCCAUUCGGGUCGGGUCGCUACAGGAUCAGUGUCAAAGCUUGCAUCAACGUAACCAUUUACGAUGAGCUCUUUGUCACCUCCAUAUACGAGAAACAUAUCCUUAGUCCUUUUCAGGUAUUUCAGGAUGUUCUUGACCGCUGUCCAGUGAUCCACUCCUGGAUUACUUUGGUACCUUCCUGCUAGACUUAUAGCAAGGCAUACAUCAGGUCUGGUACACAACAUUGCAUACAUGAUAGAGCCUAUGGCUGAAGCAUAGGGGACAUCUUUCAUCUUCUCUCUAUCUUCUGAAGUGGUCGGGCAUUGAGUCUUACUCAACUUCACACCUUGCAACACAGGCAAGAAUCCUUUCUUUGCUUGAUCCAUUUUGAACUUCUUCAAAACUUUGUCAAGGUAUGUGCUUUGUGAAAGUCCAAUUAAGCGUCUUGAUCUAUCUCUAUAGAUCUUGAUGCCCAAUAUAUACGCAGCUUCACCGAGGUCUUUCAUUGAAAAACUCUUAUUCAAGUAUCCCUUUAUGCUAUCCAGAAAUUCUAUAUCAUUUCCAAUCAGUAAUAUGUCAUCCACAUAUAAUAUCAGAAAUGCUACAGAGCUCCCACUCACUUUCUUGUAAAUACAGGCUUCUCCAAAAGUCUGUAUAAAAUCAAAUGCUUUGAUCACACUAUCAAAGCGUUUAUUCCAACUCCGAGAGGCUUGCACCAGUCCAUAAAUGGAUCGCUGGAGCUUGCACACUUUGUUAGCUCCCUUUGGAUCGACAAAACCUUCUGGUUGCAUCAUAUACAACUCUUCUUCCAGAAAUCCAUUCAGGAAUGCAGUUUUGACAUCCAUUUGCCAAAUUUCAUAAUCAUAAAAUGCGGCAAUUGUUUGGAAUCGUAGCAUAAUUUUAAAAUUUUCCUACGCUCACCAAGAUGCAUCUAUGGAGUAUACUAGCAACGAGGGGAAAGGAGUGCAUCUACAUACCCUUGUAGAUCGCGAGCGGAAGCGUUCCAAUGAACGUGGAUGACGGACUCGUACUCGCCGUGAUCCAAAUCACCGAUGACCGAGUGCCGAACGGACGGCACCUCCGCGUUCAACACACGUACGGUGCAGCGACGUCUCCUCCUUCUUGAUCCAGCAAGGGGGAAGGAGAGGUUGAUGGAGAUCCAGCAGCACGACAGCGUGGUGGUGGAUGUAGCGGAAUGCCGGCAGGGCUUCGCCGAGCUUCUACGAGAGAGAGAGGUGUAGCAGGGGAGGAGGGAGGCGCCCAAGGCUGUGUUGUUGCUGCCCUCCCUCCCCCCUUUAUAUAGGCCCCCUGGGAGGGGGGGCGCCGGCCAAACCCCAUCUAGGGUGGGGGGCGGCGGCCAAGGGGGUGCCUUGCCCCCCAAGGCAAGUGGGAAGCCCCCCACCCUAGGGUUUCCAACCCUAGGCGCAGGGGGGAGGCCCAUGGGGGGGCGCCCAGCCCACUAGGGGCUGGUUCCCUUCCCACUUCAGCCCACGGGGCCCUCCGGGAUAGGUGGCCCCACCCGAUGGACCCCCGGGACCCUUCCGGUGGUCCCGGUACAAUACCGGUAACCCCCGAAACUUUCCCGGUGGCCGAAACAUGACUUCCUAUAUAUAAUUCUUUACCUCCGGACCAUUCCGGAACUCCUCGUGACGUCCGGGAUCUCAUCCGGGACUCCGAACAACUUUCAGGUUUCCGCAUACACAUAUCUCUACAACCCUAGCGUCACCGAACCUUAAGUGUGUAGACCCUACGGGUUCGGGAGACAUGCAGACAUGACCGAGACGCCUCUCCGGUCAAUAACCAACAGCGGGAUCUGGAUACCCAUGUUGGCUCCCACAUGUUCCACGAUGAUCUCAUCGGAUGAACCACGAUGUCGAGGAUUCAAUUAAUCCCGUAUAUAAUUCCCUUUGUCAAUCGGUAUGUUACUUGCCCGAGAUUCGAUCGUCGGUAUCCCAAUACCUUGUUCAAUCUCGUUACCGGCAAGUCUCUUUACUCGUACCGCAAUGCAUGAUCCCGUGACUAAUGCCUUAGUCACAUUGAGCUCAUUAUGAUGAUGCAUUACCGAGUGGGCCCAGAGAUACCUCUCCGUCACACGGAGUGACAAAUCCCAGUCUCGAUCCGUGCCAACCCAACAGACACUUUUGGAGAUGCCCGUAGUGCACCUUUAUAGUCACCCAGUUACGUUGUGACGUUUGGCACACCCAAAGCACUCCUACGGUACCCGGGAGUUGCACGAUCUCAUGGUCUAAGGAAUAGAUACCUGACAUUGGAAAAGCUCUAGCAAACGAAACUACACGAUCUUUUAUGCCAUGCUUAGGAUUGGGUCUUGUCCAUCACAUCAUUCUCCUAAUGAUGUGAUCCCGUUAUCAAUGACAUCCAAUGUCCAUAGUCAGGAAACCAUGACUAUCUGUUGAUCAACGAGCUAGUCAACUAGAGGCUUACUAGGGACACGUUGUGGUCUAUGUAUUCACACAUGUAUUACGAUUUCCGGACAAUACAAUUAUAGCAUGAACAAUAGACAAUUACCAUGAACAAAGAAAUAUAAUAAUAACCAUUUAUUAUUGCCUCUAGGGCAUAUUUCCAACAGUCUCCCACUUGCACUAGAGUCAAUAAUCUAGUUACAUUGUGAUGAAUCGAACACCCAUUGCGUCCUGGUGUUGAUCAUGUUUUGCUCUAGGGAGAGGUUUAGUCAACGGAUCUGCUACAUUCAGGUCCGUAUGUACUUUACAAAUAUCUAUGUCUCCAUUUUGAACACUUUCACGAAUGUAGUUGAAGCGACGCUUGAUAUGCCUGGUCUUCCUGUGAAACCUGGGCUCCUUCGCAAGAGCAAUAGCUCCAGUGUUGUCACAGAAGAGAGUCAUCGGGCCCGACGCAUUGGGAAUCACCCCUAGGUCGGUAAUGAACUCCUUCAUCCAGACUGCUUCCUGCGCUGCCUCCGAGGCUGCCAUGUACUCUGCUUCACAUGUAGAUCCCGCCACGACGCUUUGCUUGCAACUGCACCAGCUUACUGCUCCUCCAUUCAAAAUAUACACGUAUCCGGUUUGUGACUUCGAGUCAUCUAGAUCUGUGUCGAAGCUAGCGUCGACGUAACCCUUUACGACGAGCUCUUCGUCACCUCCAUAAACGAGAAACAUAUCCUUAGUCCUCUUCAGGUACUUCAGGAUAUUCUUGACCGCUGUCCAGUGUUCCAUGCCGGGAUUACUUUGGUACCUUCCUACCAAACUUACGGCAAGGUUUACAUCAGGUCUGGUACACAGCAUGGCAUACAUAAUAGACCCUAUGGCCGAGGCAUAGGGGAUGACACUCAUCUUUUCUAUAUCUUCUGCCGUGGUCGGGCAUUGAGCCGUGCUCAAUUGCACACCUUGCAAUACAGGCAAGAACCCCUUCUUGGACUGAUCUAUAUUGAACUUCUUCAAUAUCUUGUCAAGGUAUGUACUCUGUGAAAGACCAAUGAGGCGUCUCGAUCUAUCUCUAUAGAUCUUGAUGCCUAAUAUAUAAGCAGCUUCUCCAAGGUCCUUCAUUGAAAAACACUUAUUCAAAUAGGCCUUUAUACUUUCCAAGAAUUCUAUAUCAUUUCCCAUCAAUAGUAUGUCAUCCACAUAUAAUAUGAGAAAUGCUACAGAGCUCCCACUCACUUUCUUGUAAACACAGGCUUCUCCAUAAGUCUGUGUAAACCCAAACGCUUUGAUCAUCUCAUCAAAGCGAAUGUUCCAACUCCGAGAUGCUUGCACCAGCCCAUAGUUUGAGCGCUGGAGCUUGCAUACUUUGUUAGCAUUCUUAGGAUUGACAAAACCAUCCGGCUGCAUCAUAUACAACUCUUCCUUAAGGAAGCCGUUAAGGAAUGCCGUUUUGACGUCCAUCUGCCAUAUCUCAUAAUCAUAGUAUGCGGCAAUUGCUAACACGAUUUGGACAGACUUCAGCUUCGCUACGGGUGAGAAAGUCUCAUCGUAGUCAACCCCUUGAACUUGUCGAUAACCCUUAGCGACAAGUCAAGCCUUAUAGAUGGUCACAUUACCAUCUGCGUCUGUCUUCUUCUUAAAGACCCAUUUGUUUUCUAUGGCUCGCCGCUCAUCGGGCAAGUCAGUCAAAGUCCAUACUUCGUUUUCAUACAUGGAUCCUAUCUCGGAUUUCAUGGCUUCUAGCCAUUUGUCGGAAUCCGGGCCUGCCAUCGCUUCUUCAUAGUUCGAAGGUUCACCGUUGUCUAACAACAUGAUUUCCAGGACAGGGUUGCCGUACCACUCUGGUGCGGAAUGUGUCCUUGUGGACCUACGAAGUUCAGUAACUUGAUCCGAAGCUUCAUGAUCAUCAUCAUUAACUUCCUCCCCAGUCGGUGUAGGCACCACAGGAACAUUUUCCCGCGCUGCGCUACUUUCCGGUUCGGAAGGGGUGACUAUCACCUCAUCAAGUUCCACUUUCCUCCCACUCAAUUCUUUCGAGAGAAACUCCUUCUCCAGAAAGGACCCGUUCUUGGCAACGAAGAUCUUGCCUUCGGAUCUGAGGUAGAAGGUAUACCCAAUAGUUUCCUUAGGGUAUCCUAUGAAGACGCAUUUUUCUGACUUGGGUUCGAGCUUUUCAGGUUGAAGUUUCUUGACAUAAGCAUCGCAUCCCCAAACUUUUAGAAACGACAGCUUAGGUUUCUUCCCAAACCAUAAUUCAUACGGUGUCGUCUCAAUGGAUUUCGACGGAGCCCUAUUUAAAGUGAAUGCGGCAGUCUCUAAAGCAUAGCCCCAAAAUGAGAGUGGUAAAUCGGUAAGAGACAUCAUAGAUCGCACCAUAUCCAAUAGAGUGCGAUUAUGACAUUCGGACACACCGUUUCUCUGAGGUGUUCCAGGCGGCGUGAGUUGUGAAACUAUUUUUAAGUGUGCACCAAACUCGUGACUUAAAUAUUCUCCACCACGAUCUGAUCGUAAGAAUUUUAUUUUUCUGUCACGUUGAUUCUCAAAUUCACUCUGAAAUUCCUUGAACUUUUCAAAGGUUUCAGACUUGUGUUUCAUUAGGUAGACAUACCCAUAUCUACUUAAAUCAUCAGUGAGAGUGAGAACAUAACGAUAUCCUCCGCGAGCCUCAACACUCAUUGGACCACACACAUCGGUAUGUAUGAUUUCCAAUAAGUUGGUUGCUCGCUCCAUUGUUCCGGAGAAUGGAGUCUUGGUCACCUUACCCAUGAGGCAUGGUUCGCACGUGUCAAAAGUCCAUCUGCAUGGAGCUUCUUCAUGCGCUUGACACCAAUGUGACCAAGGCGGCAGUGCCACAAGUAUGUGGGACUAUCGUUAUCAACUUUACAUCUUUUGGUAUUCACACUAUGAACAUGUGUAACAUCACGUUCGAGAUUCAUCAAAAAUAAACAAUUGACCAGCGGGGCAUGACCAUAAAACAUAUCUCUCAAAUAAAUAGAACAACCAUUAUUCUCGGAUUUAAAUGAGUAGCCAUCUCGAAUUAAACGAGAUCCAGAUACAAUGUUCAUGCUCAAAGCUGGCACUAAAUAACAAUUAUUGAGGUUUAAAACUAAUCCCGUAGGGAGAUGCAGAGGUAGCGUGCCGACGGCGAUCACAUCGACCUUGGAACCAUUCCCGACGCGCAUCGUCACCUCGUCCUUCGCCAGUCUCCGUUUAUUCCGUAGUUCUUGUUUUGAGUUACAAAUAUGAGCAACCGCACCGGUAUCAAAUACCCAGGAGCUACUACGAGUACUGGUAAGGUAACAUCAAUUACAUGUAUAUCACAUAUACCUUUGGUGUUGCCGGCCUUCUUCUUGUCCGCUAAGUAUUUGGGGCAGUUCCGCUUCCAGUGACCACCUCCCUUGCAAUAAAAGCACUCAGUCUCGGGCUUGGGUCCAUUCUUUGACUUCUUCCCAGUAACUGGUUUACCGGGCGCGGCAACUCCCUUGCCGUCCUUCUUGAAGUUCUUCUUACCCUUGCCCUUCUUGAACUUAGUGGUUUUAUUCACCAUCAACACUUGAUGUUCUUUUCUGAUCUCCCCUUCGGCUGAUUUCAGCAUUGAAUAUACCUCAGGAAUGGUCUUUUCCAUCCCCUGCAUAUUGUAGUUCAUCACAAAGCUCUUGUAGCUUGGUGGAAGCGACUGAAGGAUUCUGUCAAUGACCGCGUCAUCCGGGAGAUUAACUCCCAGCUGAGACAAGCGGUUGUGCAACCCAGACAUUCUGAGUAUGUGCUCACUAACAGAACUAUUCUCCUCCAUUUUACAGCUGAAGAACUUGUCGGAGACAUCAUAUCUCUCGACCCGGGCAUGAGCUUGAAAAACCAGUUUCAGCUCCUCGAACAUCUCAUAUGCUCCAUGUUUCUCAAAACGCUUUUGGAGACCCGGUUCUAGGCUGUCAAGCAUGCCGCACUGAACGAGGGAGUAAUCAUCAGCACGCUGCUGCCAAGCGUUCAUAACGUCUUGGUUUUGUGGGAUUGGUGCAUCACCUAGCGGUGCUUCUAAGACAUAAUCUUUCUUGGCUACUAUGAGGAUGAUCCUCAGGUUCCGGACCCAGUCCGUAUAGUUGCUGCCAUCAUCUUUCAGCUUGGUUUUCUCUAGGAACGCGUUGAAAUUGAGGACACCGUUGGCCAUUUGAUCUACAAGACAUAGUGUAAAGAUUUUAGACUAAGUUCAUGAUAAUUAAGUUCAUAUAAUCAAAUUAUUUAAUGAACUACCACUCAGAUAGACAUCCCUCUCGUCAUCUAAGUGAAACAUGAUCCGAGUUUAACUAGGCCGUGUCCGAUCAUCACGUGAGACGGACUAGUCAAGAUCGGUGAACAUCUCCAUGUUGAUCGUAUCUUCUAUACGACUCAUGCUCGACCUUUCGGUCCUCCGUGUUCCGAGGCCAUGUCUGUACAUGCUAGGCUCGUCAAGUCAACCUAAGUGUAUUGCGUGUGUUCCGAGGCCAUGUCUGUACAUGCUAGGCUCGUCAACACCCGUUGUAUUCGAACGUUAGAAUCUAUCACACCCGAUCAUCACGUGGUGCUUCGAAACAACGAACCUUCGCAACGGUGCACAGUUAGGGUGACACUUUCUUGAAAUUAUUAUACGGGAUCAUCUUACUUACUACCGCCGUUCUAAGCAAAUAAGAUGCAAAAACAUGAUAAACAUCACAUGCAAUCAAAUAGUGACAUGAUAUGGCCAAUAUCAUUAUGCUCCUUUGAUCUCCAUCUUCGGGGCACCAUGAUCAUCUUCGUCACCGGCAUGACACCAUGAUCUCCAUCAUUGUGUCUUCAUGAAGUCGUCACGCCAACGAUUACUUCUACUUCUAUGGCUAACGCGUUUAGCAACAAAGUAAAGUAAUUUACAUGGCGUUAUUCAAUGACACGCAGGUCAUGCAAAAUAAUAAAGACAACUCCUAUGGCUCCUGCCGGUUGUCAUACUCAUCGACAUGCAAGUCGUGAUUCCUAUUACAAGAAUAUGAUCAAUCUCAUACAUCACAUAUAUCAUUCAUCACAUCUUCUGGCCAUAUCACAUCACAUAGCACUUGCUGCAAAAACAAGUUAGACGUCCUCUAGUUGUUGUUGCAAGUUUUUACGUGGUUUGUAGGUUUCUAUCAAGAACGUUUCUUACCUACAUAUGACCACAACGUGAUUUGCCAAUUUCUAUUUACCCUUCAUAAGGACCCUUUUCAUCGAGUCCGUUCCGACUAAAUUAGGAGAGACAGACACCCGCUAGCCACCUUAUGCAACUAGUGCAUGUCAGUCGGUGGAACCUGUCUCACGUAAGCGUACGUGUAAGGUCGGUCCGGGCCGCUUCAUCCUACAAUGCCGCCGAAACAAGAAAAGACUAGUAGCGGCAAGAAGAAUUGGCAAACUCAACGCCCACAACUGCUUUGUGUUCUACUCGUGCAUAGUAACUACGCAUAGGCCAAAGCACUCCUACGGUAUCCGGGAGUUGCACGAUCUCAUGGUCUAAGGAAAAGAUACUUGACAUUGGAAAAGCUCUAGCAAACGAAACUACACGAUCUUUUAUGCUAUGCUUAGGAUUGGGUCUUUGUCCAUCACAUCAUUCUCCUAAUGAUGUGAUCCCGUUAUCAACGACAUCCAAUGUCCAUAGUCAGGAAACCAUGACUAUUUGUUGAUCAACGAGCUAGUCAACUAGAGGCUUACUAGGGACACGUUGUGGUCUAUGUAUUCACACAUAUAUUACGAUUUCCGGACAAUACAAUUAUAGCAUGAAUAAUAGACAAUUACCAUGAACAAAUAAAUAUAAUAAUAACCAUUUAUUAUUGCCUCUAGGGCAUAUUUCCAACAAUAACCAUAUCAGGCUCAAAUGCAUAAGCCUUGCAUAGUGCUUGCCAAGUUUUGCAUUCAAAAUAGGUGUACGUGUCUGCAUUGUAUAAUUUGACGUUGAAAGUAUAACCAGCAUGCUCGGUCUUCAGGUAAACUCUCUUUACCUCCAUAGUUUCCAUAACACUGAAACCUAUCUUAUCCAAGACAAAAAUUCUUGCAUGGAAGGGGAUGCGCUAGUAGAAUAGUGAAAAUUUAAAAUUAUAAGUUGAAGCAAAUGAAGCAUAUAUAAGUCAUGCUUAAUUACGAAAAAAGACUUGUCAUUGUGACUUACUGUAUCCACUUCGAAGUUCUCAUCCAGCUUGAUGCUGAAGCGCCUAUCAUCAACAAGGAAAUUUAUGUCGCACAGGCCGCGCUGGUCUUCACAGAAUUCGCACUUAAUGAAAUCUUUUUCGUCGUCAGACGACAUUUCCUAUGUUCAUAUAGGUGAAACAUUAAACACUUACUAGUUCUAUUAAUUCAACUAAUUCAACUACUUCUAUUAGUUCAACUAGUUCUAUUAAUUCAACUAAUUCAACUAAGCAUUUAAUAAAAAUAAACGUGUUCUAUUAAUUUUCUUACUAAAAUAAAGUAGCUAGUUCCAUAUAGUAAUAUUUUAAUUAGAUCAUCAAAUCUCAGAUAUCUANNNNNNNNNNNNNNNNNNNNNNNNNNNNNNNNNNNNNNNNNNNNNNNNNNNNNNNNNNNNNNNNNNNNNNNNNNNNNNNNNNNNNNNNNNNNNNNNNNNNNNNNNNNNNNNNNNNNNNNNNNNNNNNNNNNNNNNNNNNNNNNNNNNNNNNNNNNNNNNNNNNNNNNNNNNNNNNNNNNNNNNNNNNNNNNNNNNNNNNNNNNNNNNNNNNNNNNNNNNNNNNNNNNNNNNNNNNNNNNNNNNNNNNNNNNNNNNNNNNNNNNNNNNNNNNNNNNNNNNNNNNNNNNNNNNNNNNNNNNNNNNNNNNNNNNNNNNNNNNNNNNNNNNNNNNNNNNNNNNNNNNNNNNNNNNNNNNNNNNNNNNNNNNNNNNNNNNNNNNNNNNNNNNNNNNNNNNNNNNNNNNNNNNNNNNNNNNNNNNNNNNNNNNNNNNNNNNNNNNNNNNNNNNNNNNNNNNNNNNNNNNNNNNNNNNNNNNNNNNNNNNNNNNNNNNNNNNNNNNNNNNNNNNNNNNNNNNNNNNNNNNNNNNNNNNNNNNNNNNNNNNNNNNNNNNNNNNNNNNNNNNNNNNNNNNNNNNNNNNNNNNNNNNNNNNNNNNNNNNNNNNNNNNNNNNNNNNNNNNNNNNNNNNNNNNNNNNNNNNNNNNNNNNNNNNNNNNNNNNNNNNNNNNNNNNNNNNNNNNNNNNNNNNNNNNNNNNNNNNNNNNNNNNNNNNNNNNNNNNNNNNNNNNNNNNNNNNNNNNNNNNNNNNNNNNNNNNNNNNNNNNNNNNNNNNNNNNNNNNNNNNNNNNNNNNNNNNNNNNNNNNNNNNNNNNNNNNNNNNNNNNNNNNNNNNNNNNNNNNNNNNNNNNNNNNNNNNNNNNNNNNNNNNNNACGGCGACGACGGGCGGUGAGGGCGACGGCGGUGACGGCGACGACAUGCGGCGGGGGCGGCGGCGAUGUCGCGCGAAGUAGUUGGAGAAGAAGUGGUGGUCGAUGAAACUGAAUUUUUCGUAAGUGCCAUAUAUAUAGGAGGGGCCUUUAGUACCGGUUGGAGCCACCAACCGGUACUAAAGGCCAAUUUUCGCCAGGCCAAGGGGCGGGAAACUGCCCCUUUAGUACCGGUUCGUGGCUCCAACCGGUACUAAAGGCCCCCCCUUUAGUACCGGUUGGAGCCACGACCCGGUACUAAAGGUGUGCGCUGGCGCAGGAGCGGUGCGGGCAAGUUUAGUCCCACCUCGCUAGCCGAGGGGCGCCCGCACCAGUUUAAAAGCCCCGGCGCGGCUGCUGUCUAGAACUUCUCUCCAUAGCAGGCUUCUGGGCCUAACUUUGGCGCGCUGCCCGUUGAGCCUGCUGGCCCUUCUGGGCCUGUAUUUGCAAACCCUAGGGUUGGCAGGCCCAGCGGGCAGCGCCCCAAAAUUUUUUUAUACAAUUUUCUUCUAUUUAUAUCCAAGUAAUUUUUUUGCUGUAUUUAGUUUCUUUGUGAAUAUAAAAAAAAUUAUAUAGUUUUUUCUUUUCUGCAUUAUUUAUUUUCUGCUAUUCAUUUUGUAGUGAUUUUCAAUUUCACCGUCAUUUAGCUCUCUAAACAAAUCGGUAAAUGACUGAAAAACAGCAAAUGAUGUCAAAACGUGUUGGAAAUUGAUGACGUCACUUUGAAUGAUGCAUACUGAACGCAAAAAUAGGCUGGAGUUCAAAUAAGUUUAAAAACAUUGAAGUGCCCGUGUAACAGAUGAGUUCUCGUCCGAAACCCUGAUACUCCGAAAGAGAUUGUCCAGUUUGUACACGAGGUGCAUCCAGUUUUCGCCGUGACCCUCUCUACUCUUUUGCACAUGCUAUGCGGGCGAAAUGAUGAUACAAUGCCAAGUUCCAACAUUUUCAGAGUUCAUUUUGUAGUGAUUUUCAAUUUCACCAUCAUUUAGCUCCCUAUACAAAUCGGUAAAUGACUGAAAAACAGCAAAUGAUGUCAGAACGUGUUGGAAAUUNNNNNNNNNNNNNNNNNNNNNNNNNNNNNNNNNNNNNNNNNNNNNNNNNNNNNNNNCUUUGAAUGAUGCAUACUGUACGCAAAAAUAGGCUGGAGUUCAAAUAAGUUUAAAAAACAUUGAAGUGCCCGUGUAACAGAUGAGUUCUCGUCCGAAACCCUGAUACUCCGAAAGAGAUUGUCCAGUUUGUACACGAGGUGAGUCCAGUUUUCGCCGUGACCCUCUCUACUCUUUUGCACAUGCUAUGCGGGCGAAAUGAUGAUACCAUGCCAAGUUCCAACAUUUUCAGAGUUCAUUUUAUAGUGAUUUUCAAUUUCACCGUCAUUUAGCUCUCUAAACAAAUCGGUAAAUGACUGAAAAACAGCAAAUGAUGUCAGAACGUGUUAGAAAUUGAUGACGUCGCUUUGAAUGAUGCAUACUGAAUGCAAAAAUAGGCUGGAGUUCAAAUGACUGAAAAACAGCAAAUGAUGUCAGAACGUGUUGGAAAUUGAUGACGUCGCUUUGAAUGGUGUGUACGGAACGCAAAAAAGUCUGGAGUUGUAAUAAGUUUAAAAAAAUGAAGUGCCCAUGUAACAGAUGAGUUCUCGUCAGAAACCCUGAUAUUUCGAAAGAGAUUGUCUAGUUUGUACACGAAGUGCGUCCAGUUUUUGCCGUAACACAAGAAGUCCGGAGUUGUAAUAAGUUAUUAAAGAUAAAAAAGAGGCAUAAUGCUCGUUAAUUAGCUUCAAGCCUUUCGGAAUAGUGCAAACUGCACUGCACAUAGCUCCGUGCAGUCUAUACUAUUCCUCAAGGCUUAAAGCUAAGCAACGUGCAGAUGAGCAUUGCGCCUCUCCUUCAUCGUCUCUGCACUCAGGGCUUAUAAACCGCUCCUAGUGCCUCUCUCUUCGCGAGGUGGGACUAAAAAACAGCUUACUAAGAAACUAUAGUACCGGUUCAUGGCACGAACCGGUACUAAAGGUGCCCGUGGGGCCCCAGCCUGACCAUAGCCUGACGCAGCAUCAUUAGUACCGGUUUGUGACACGAACCGGUACAAAAGGUUGCUCACGAACCGGUACUAAUGAUCUCCGCCCGUCUAGCCAUUGGAACCGGCACUAAUGGACACAUUAGUGCCGGCUCAAAAUCAAACAGGCACUAAUGUGCUUCACAUUUGACCCUUUUUCUACUAGUGUAGGGUUAUAAGGAAGGUUUGUAUGUGAUUACCGAAUGUUGUUCGGAGUCCCGGAUGAGAUCCCGGACGUCACGAGGAGUUCCGGAAUGGUCCGGAGACGAAGAUUUAUAUAUGGGAAGUCCUUAUUCAGUCGCCGGAAGUGUUCGGGGGUAUAUCGGUAUUGUAUCGGGACCACCGAAAGGGUUCCGGGGGUCCACCGGGAGGGUCCACCUGCCCCGGAGGGCCCUAUGGGCUGAAUAUAGAGGGGAACCAGCCCCUAGGUGGGCUGGGCGCCAAACCCCCCUAGGGCCCAUGCGCCUAGGGUUGGGGGGGAACCCUGGAGGGGGUGCCCCCUUGGCUUGGGGGGCAAGCCUCCCCCCCUUGGCCGCCGCCCCCCUCUAGAUCCAUCUGGAGGGGGCCGGCCCCCCUCUCCCUUGCCCCUAUAAAUAGAAGGGGGGUGGGAGGGCAGCCGCACCACAUCCAAGGCGCAGCCCCUCCCCUCCCCAACACCUCCCCUCCUCCGCGUGAGCUUGGCGAAGCCCUGCCGGAGAACUGCCACUCCACCACCACCACGCCGUCGUGCUGCUAUUGGAGCCUUCUUCCUCAACCUCUCCCUCCUCCUUGCUGGAUCAAGGCGCGGGAGACGUCACCGGGCUGCACGUGUGUUGAACGCGGAGGCACCGUUGUUCGGUGCUUGGAUCGGAUUCUGCCGCGAUUUGAAUCGCUACGUGUACGACUCCUCUAACCGCGUUCUUGCAACGCUUCCGCAUCGCGAUCUUCAAAGGUAUGAAGAUGCACUCCCCUCUCGUUGCUAGUAAACUCCAUAGAUUGAUCUUGGUGAUGCGUAGAAAUUUUUUAAUUUCUGCAACGAUCCCCAACAACGACGUGGAAGGAGCCCUCUAGCCAGGGAGAACUGCAAGGAACACAUGACCAAUAUCAAGUAGUGGAAUCGUGAGCGGGAGGAGAAGGAAUGAUGAUCUCUAUCUAUGUCAGUGCGGUCAUAGGCAAUGCACCAUUUCCUUAUUAAUUAUCGCUUCGUUAGCUUGCAUCUAUGUUGGUUUGAUGUUGGACAUUGGUGUGUCUGUCGAUAUAGUAUUGCUUGGUUUACUGAGCUCUAAGGUGCAAGAUUCAUUUGGAGUUGUGUAAGUUUAUGAAUAUUUGUCAGUGGGAUCUGCUAUCUUAUUGUUUGAGAAGUUAGUGUCAUGCCUUUAUUUAUUUGGUUGAUUGGUCUUCUCUUGUUAGGUGUUACCCUUCAUGAAGGCACUGCCUUAGUUGCUCGUUUUGUGUUUUUUGUUGAAAUUGAAGAUAUUGGACGCAAUGUUGGUUCGGUUUGUUCCUCGGGGCACGGGCAUCCGGGGCGCAAUGUAUGACCUUGACCAUGCUUCCUCCAUGGCUUCUCCCUUUAUCCCGGCCAGGUCUUGCAACCCACUUGUCCAUCUAGUCUGUCCUGGAGUAGUGGUAGUGCGACGAUGGUGCCGAGCAUUGGCAGUGACGUGGUCUAGACACCCCAUGUAUCUUGUCUCUUUGUACCAUGUAUCUGGUCUCUUUGCCUUGCCGGCUGACUUCGAGUUAGAAGAGUUUUGUGAUGUGUUGUAUCCCUCUUUGCUAUUACCACAUGUAGUAUGGUGCUGCUCGCUUCUCUCAUAUAUGUAACUGUUAUUUCUCUCUUUCCUAUCAAUAAAAUGAUACACAAAAUUUGCGUAUUUGUGAAAAAAAUAAAACAUGUAAUUAUGUGUCGUACUUUUUUCUCCGUUCCAUCUGCUGUUGCAUGCAUGACUUCGGUGCUCUUUUGGUCCCUCUGUACGAAAGAUACAGAUAUGGUUUGGGCCCAGCCAUCAGCUGACGAUAUAGAGAUAGUCGGAUGAACAAAUACAAAUGGAAGCAUUACGACGUGCAGGUGAAAAUGGUAAAGCCAAACCGGAAAAGGAGAAGCAUUGUGAUGUGAUAUUUGGAUUUUGAAUUGAAUGUUUAGAACUUUAGCUGUUUUUUUCUUUGUGAAAAAUAACUAAACUUCAAAGGCACUUCCGAUCGAAGAAGAAUCAAUGCAAGCCAUGCGACGUACCUAGUGCCUUUUUGCCUCACCUAUGAGGACCGCUGGCAGGGUGAAAUAAUUUUCCAACUAAGCAACACAAUGAGAGACUGCGUGUGGUCUUUUACCCAAACGAGUAGCGAAUAGUUCUUAUAGAUGAACAUUCAGACAUACUGUAUAUCACUUACUAAAUGAUACAGAGCAAGGGUAGCAGGGAAAUGAGAAUGACGACCAAUUAAUCCAGAGAUAUAUGAUUACAGAACACCAAUCCAGAGAUACAUGAAUACAAGGUAGAGAUACAUGAGUGCAACCACCAAAUCAAAGAAACCAGAAAUGCACUGAAGGAGAGAGUACAUAUUGUAGUGAGAUGAAAGCCUCACGACAGAGUUCAUUGCAGAGGAAGAUACACAGCAUCAUUCAACGGAAAAGUGACUCUAGAUGCCUUUUAACGACGCUGUUCUUCGCGUGUUCUGUGAUGAUCCAUACGAGGGUCGUGAGCUCGCCGCCCCAGCUGAGCUGCUUGGCAUGAGCAUCCCUGCCGCACCGGAUGGACGCGUACAUGAGCAGACGCACCCAUGCAUCCAGGACGAGCUCCAGCAUGUCGUCCAUAUCCCCCACAGGAAGUUCCAGCAAACGUGGAAUCCAAUAUGCAAGUCUUCCCACCGUACUUGGGGCUUCUCCGGCAGUUUCACUUCCUCCAUCCUUGGACACUUGGCUUAGCAGCAUCCAGGCAAGUCGAGUUCCUUCCAAGACGAUAGCAGGACGUAGGCCCUCAUAAAGACCCAUGUUUACCAGCAUCCAAUUGAGAAGCUCCUUCUUCUCGUCUGUUGAAUAACUAGUGUGUUUACGUCCCUCGAUCUUCGCCUUGAUGCCCCGUAUCUUCCGUAGAGUAUCCCGGGUUUCUUCAUACAGGCUGCGGAGCUUAAGUCCUGGUAGCAUUUCCGGGCGUUUGGCGAUGAGGAACAUCAUGUAGUCUGACAUCUGCUUGAUCACCUCUGCAUGUUCCUCGGACUCUUCUCCUGUGAUCCUGGGGCUGCACGAGAGGAAGACGUCUGUGGCGAUGUGCCAGAUGAGGAUAACCUCUUGAAGCUCAAGAGGGAAGCCCAUGUCUUUGUCUGACUGAUCUGUAGGCUUGAUGCUUGCAGCUUUCACAUCAUAACCGGAACUGGCGUUGACAUUCCUCCAUAGAUUAACUUGCUCAUAGGGUUCAGGAGUUCGAUCAUACCUCCAGCGGUAAGUUUGCUGCUUGAAAUUGCUUUCUUCAGAUGGUGCAUUUCUCAUACCAGCAGAAACCUGCCAGGGGUAAGGCAGCCUCGGGGGUUCACUGUUGGUACUGUUGCAGAACCGCUCUGCGGGGUAUUGCCGCCAGGGAGCAGCCUGAUCGUCCAAAUCAUUGCAGAUCCACUCUCUAGGGCAUAGCGGCCACAGAGUAGGCUCAUCAUUUACACCAUUGCACAUCUGCUCCCUGGGGUAUGGCAGCCGCAGAGUAGGCUCAUCAUUUACACCAUUGCACAUCUGCUCCCUGGGGUAUGGAGGCCCUUGAGGUCCACACAGGAUACCAAGGCAGUGCUCAUGGGGAUCCAGUGACCUUGGAUGCACACAUGUGCAAUAGUUUGGUAGCUUAGAUCCGCAGCCCGGCCACCCCCCAGGACAUGGAAUGAUAGUGCCUCCGGGUUGCUCAAAGCCCAUCAACCCUGUGGGAGCCUUCUCGUGGCCCGGCCACUCUGGAAACUUUGGAGUGACAUCGCCUCCAGGGUGCUCAGGGCCCGUCAACCCUGUAGAAGGCUUCCCCUUGCCCGGCGGCUGUGGAGACCUGUCAGUGUCAGUAUCACUAGACUGGGGGUCCGUCGGCCCUUUGCCCGGCGGCCGUGGAGAUCUUGGACUAUCAGUGUAGCUGGGCUGCUGGGGGUUCGUCGAGCCCGCAGGAUCAGGGAAUAAGUUUGUGCAUAUGUUACUGAAUACCAGCUUCUUGACAGAGUCUGGAAUCUCAAGGCCCCUCGAGUAGCCUUCCGAUUGAAAGCCCCUUGACCUUGAGUGGUCUCUUGAUUCAGUCGCCAGUCUAGGUAUGCUGUAUAGGUUGUGCCUGUUCCCUGCCGUGCACUGGUCCAACAAGUUGAGCUGACCGAAGGUGCCCACCCAUCUUCUGUAGCUUUUAGGCACCUUGGGACAUGAGCAUGUCCCCAACCACACGGAGAGCCGGGAAAGACACAGCGACACAACAAACCGACGGAGUUUCUCCCAUACCUCUUGGCACCAAAAUUCAUGCUUUAGCCAAUUGUGUGGCAUAAGUUUGAAGUAUGAAUGUGUCCAGGCUGAUGCUAGUGCUCUGAGCAGCCAUCUCACAUCGAAGAGGAAGGUCGUCACCAACAAUACAUAACUGAUAACUUCAUCUUCUUUCUUCAUGGCCUUUUUGCAAUGGAGGCCAAAAAACAGGAGCGCGGUGGCAGUGAGGGGCGGCGAGGCCAGACGGAUGACGUAGCCAUGCCAUGUGUGGACCACGGCUGCCUUGGUGUACAGUAUGUCAUACAUAAGGGAGAGUUCCAUCUCUACCACCGUGCACAUAUUCUCCCAUCUACCAAAGAACAACAUUCUUGUGAUGUCAUCACGAUCAAUUUUUGCCUUAUAAUCACAGAAGGCACCCUUGCUGACCUCGAACAGAUUGUGAGCAACCAGUAGGGCUUCAUCAUCUUUUAGGACCAACGGCUUCCCUUGAUCUCCUCUAUAAUCAUCAAUGGUGUAUGUCUGCUUGUUGGAUAACCCGUGGUCCCGGAUGCGGCCCAAGUCGCUUCGCCGAAGCGCCAGCAUACUCUCCAGAUACUUCAAAAUGCCCAGGGGUAACAUGAUGCCGGAUGCCCAGCGCAGAAACCAGUCGGCAGUGCAUUCAGUAAGUAUAUACCUGUACACAAUAAUGAAGGAUCCCAAAGACUUAACGAGGGCUAACAAGAACAGGCGCAGCCAGAGCUCAUUAUCCUCCAUGGUGUAGGCGCUGAUGUUGUCGGGGCGAGCAUGAUGCAGCAGGAGGAAUGGCACCCAGAAGGCAAUGAUUAUCUUAUCGCGCGGCGAGGUUUCGAGGUAAAGGUUGCUGAUGACAUAUGCCGGGCCCCAGUCGGUCAGCAGGUACGCCAACCACAGUGACCCUCUCUUCCAACCUUUGCCUUCACGCCGGCGGCUCUCGGAGAGACAGAGAGGAUGAGAUGCAUGAGUAAGCUGAGAAGCGGCACUGCCCGGUACACAUAGACACUCAACCACUUCACCGGAACUUCUAUCCAUACUACAGCCAUUUUGCUACCUCCUGCAUACACUGCAAUCAAGAUAAGUUUGUUACACUGACAGCAAUGCAAACAUGCAUCUCGUAUGUGUUGCAUCUGCAUGCUAGAGAGAGGUUAAUAAGGACCAAAGACCAGGAUCAAAUAUACAUACCGGUAUGCAGCAGCUAACUAGGCAGAUUGAUGCUUCCACUUUCCAGAGGAGAGUUAAGACGAGUUGCUCUUGAAUCUUGUGUCUAGAGACAGGACUAGCAUAUGGGCAGUUCUAAGUUGCUCCACUAAGCUUGCCAGCAGAGAGUACCUAACUAGGUUCAGUGCGUUUUAGUAUUUGAUCCAUUAAACAAUAGCUACUAUGCAUCAAGAUUCGUCUGAAGUCCUAAGAAAAUACAAGGUUGUCAGGGACUGUUUUCUUUGGCUGGGGUUGUUGUCGAUCUGAAUUAAGGAUGUAGUGUUUGGCAGAUCCAGUCUGCAAAAUUUGUCCUACUUACUAGGACAACUGACCAAUAUUGUUCUUAACUGCACUUCCUAGUGUACACACUAGCAGCCACAAACAAAAACUAAUGACUGUGGUAACCAACAGUCACCGAGGAAACGUGCACAUCACAUGCUAACACAUGCACUGAAGCUAUAAUUCUUAUUAAGUUAAAAAUAAAAGAGAAAUUUGCUUAUUCUCUCACAAACGCAUUCCCUUUGCGGAUUCUGCAUCAAGUAGGUAAAUGCACCCUUUUUCAUCCGAGCCAAAUAAGCAAGAGAUUGUCCUGGACAGCUAAUCAACAUUGUUCUCAAUUCCACUUUCCCAGUGUACAUACCAGCAGCCACAAACAAAAACUAAUGACCGUGGUAACCAACAAUCACCGAGGAAACCGGCAGAGUCACAUGCACCGAACUGAAGCUAAGAUGAUAAGUACUCCUUCCGUUCCAUAAUGUAAGACGUUUUUUGCUGGCUGUCUAGUACUACUAGAAUGGAUUAGAUACGUUUCUUCUUAUCAGGCUAAAACAAAAGAGAAAAUUGCUUAUUUGUGCCUCACAAACGCUUGGCAAUCCUACUCUGGCAUUUUUCUUUUCUAUCAGUGUCAAAUAACAAGAGAGAUUGAGAGAGCGCUCACCGAAAUCAGUGGAGCGGAGCUUGGGCAUCUGCAGGAACUCGGCAUACUCCUGCUCCCGGCCAUGCCGGAGACCGCGGCACACGAAAUCUUGAAACAAUGGAGAAGGGCGCAAAAUUCAAGCCCCCGCUGCCUUGCGGUCCUCCUCGCGGGCACCGGCCAGCCGCUUCAGGUCAGGGACCGAGCGCGGAAGGGCGCCGCCGCCUCGAUUCCCUCCUCGGUGGUCGGCUCGGCGCACGCGGGAGAGGGCGAUGUCCUCCCUGGCCUCCCCUACAGGAUCCGGAACCGGGAGGUUCGGCCAGGAGUGGCGGCGGACGAGCCGACGGGAGGGGCGCUGCCAUCGCUGGUCGCCUGGUCCGGUGCCGCCGUACGGGGGAGGCGGGCGCGACUAUGAGUUUUUUUUUAGACAACUAUGAGUUGCAUUUUUUUAGUGUAACUAUGAGGUUUUUUUAAACAACUGUAACUUCAUUGAUGCUCGUAACAAUUACAGCACACUGAUUUGGACCUAAGAUCCAAAAAAUAUAAAUUAACUCCUAUGACUAAAAAUUAUAAUAAAAUAUCUGCUUUAAGAAAUACUCCAAAGACUUAGGUAAAGAGGUUGCAAUUAGACUAGAGCAAUGAUGUUGUCACUCUUUCACCUACAAGAAUUUUAACAAUAAUGGUUUUUUAAAGCGCCUUGAGUCGCCCAUUUAAAAAGGUGGAAAGCCUUGAUCGAUGAACGUAUUUGGGCCUGGAUGAUCCCGUAGAAGUGCAAGCCAUCGAAUCACUAUAUCUUCACCAUGGUGUUGAUGAAAGUUUUCACCUCCACAAAAAGAAUCAAACCAACAAAAAAAAUCUUAACACAGCAACAUAAUGAUAGAGGCAAAGGUGUCCGUCUUUCGAUGAGAUGGUGAUUAUCAUUUUCGAAGGAGUAGACUUUGACGAUCCGGCUACGAACGUGCAAGGACACCGCACCUUAGCAAUCGCUAAACCAACUUUGAGAGCUUAUUGACCACGCCGGAGCACGAUCAACCUGACCACGAGGGUCUAUUUUCUACAAGCAAACAAGAACAAAGAAGAAAUUGAGAUUGCAAUCUGGAUAUUGCGAAUAUAAGAAGAAAGAUCUAUUGAUCAAGGUGGGGUUCUGUGACGUAUUGGUCUGGUCGUUGAACACAAACGAAGUACGCGAAGUUACAGCUGAUGAGCUUUAAUCUAAACAAAACCCAAAGUCUAAACGAUGCCCUAAGGGCUGUAUAUAUGGAGUAGGGGGAAUUUUGUGACCCCUUGGAGGAGGGGUCUGAAACCAACCCUUAACUCUGUUUCCCCACACAUACGGACUCUAAAAACAGUCUAUACUGAAUUUUUUCGAAAUUACAUGGGCCUGCCCCAAUAAUAAGGUGUCGCAACACCUAUAAUAGCCUCUGAACGAAAUUUAUGAAGUAGCAUCUUGUAUAUUUCGUCUGAGCCUUCAUGUACUCAUUAUGAUGGCUUCAAAGUUGUGAAAUCAUUACUUGAAACUCCGUUCUUAUUUCCCUUGCGCAUGCCAUCAACUCCAUGUUUGAUCUUGCUCCAAUGUUCAUCUUUCUUGUCCAAGCUAGGCCAUUUAUUUGCAAGCAAAAAAAUGUAUCCAAUUUAGGCAGCGUCAUAUUCUCAUGAACAUUAGAAUUGUUACCAAGAAACGAAAGUACCCGGUAAUUCAAUUGACGUGUGCGAGCUCUAGUAAUUGGUUCGGUAUGUAUAGCAGUAGGGACCGUGGGUGUAACAAUGGUAUUAACGUCCACAUCACAUAAACUCAUCAUAUCCGAAUAAUCAAAUCUGCAAGGACAGGAAACUCUCUAACCUCAUGGCACUACCAAAAGAACGAGAGAAAAUUUAUUCUCACAAAAUUAUAACGAUCACUAGGCGUUGACGAAGAACAUAAAGAUCCUGAAGAUCCCAGGUCCCCCCCCCCCCUCUCAGUGCCAAGAUGGCACUUGGAUGCGAGGGGACCAAAAUUUCUCAGAUAAUUAUGAGUUGCUUAACAGUGAGACCGAAGGAGGCGAUAUGGGCUGGCCCAGCUUGCGAGAGAUCCACGGGCCUUAAGCGUUUGUUUUUCAUUUUUUUUCGUAUUUUUGCUUUCCUUUUUUUACUUUUUAAAAAAGUUUUAUUUAUACAUAGAAAUAUUAUAAAAAUAAUUAUAAAAAAUUUAAAUAAAUUAUAGGUGUUCAUUUGAAAAAUGUUAAACACAUAUACAAAAAAUUUCUAAUGUAUACGAAAAAUAUACAACGUGUAUAAAAAAGUAGACAUCAAAACAUAUUUUUGAAAAAAAUGUUAAAUGGGUAUAUUUUUUAUGAUGAAUAAAAAUAUGUAGAUGGUCUAUGGAAAAUGCAGACAUCAAAAUUUUUUUUUUAAAGUGUGUGCAGUGUUAAAAAAGUGUUUGUGCAACUUAGAAAAAUCGUGAUAGCAUUUGGAAAAAAUAUCUCAACACGUAAUUGAAUUUUUAAAUAAUAUUCGGACAACAAUGUUCAAAAACAUGUGUUUGAGAAAAUGUUAAUCAUGGUUUGAGAAAUGCUAAACAUAUAUAACAUAAAUGUUUCUCAUGUAUACCAAAAAUGUACAAUGUGUCUGGCACAAAGUACACACAAAAACAUGUAUUUGAAAGAAAAUUAAUCAGUGUAUUUACAAAUGUUAAUCAUGUAUUUAAUUUUUUUAACAUGUAUAAUAUUUUUCCUAGAUGUAUAAAAAAAUGUAGACAUCAGAAUUUAUAUUAUAAAAAAUGUUAAUCAUGUAUUUAAAAAUGUUAAAGAUGCAUAAAACAUAUUUUUAUCUAUAUAACAAAAAAAUUGUAUGUGAGAAAAGUAGACAUGUGUUGAAGAAAGAAAAAAGAAACAAAAACUGAAAAAAAACAUUAAACACAAUGAAAACCAAAGAAAAAUAGAAAUAAAAACUGAGAAAUAAACAAAGAAAAACGAGAAAGAAACAAAUAAAAAGGAAGAAAACCGGAAAAACAAAAGAAAAUGAAGCGAACAAGAGAAGCACAACGACAACUAGCGAAUGAGUGGGCAGGGAAAAGCUUCAAGCGCGGGGAGUAUACAUCUCGCUGUAAGCGAGAUAUAGCUUCCGCAAGAGGCAGCAAGCGGACAAAUGAUGCGAGUGAAUUCGCAGCACCCCAAUUUCAGCAUGUUAUUUUUAUUUUUUAAAAGUUUUCAGUCGUAAAAACACUAUUUUUGUGCUAAUGAUUAUUACAAAUCUCAAAUCUCCAUGAAAUGUUAAAAUUGACCGGCAAGGCUCACUUGUCAGGCCUAGUGACAAGAACAUUGUUUACUUUGAUAUAGCUUUGAAUUUUCAAUCAAGAUCCAAUUAAAACUGGAAAUAAAAACUUUAAACUAAUUAUAUAUUUUUAAAGUUUUUUCAUGAAAAUUGUUUUUCGUUGAAAUUUAGGUAGCUAACUUACCAAUGAUGAUUCUCUCAAGAGUUAGACUGCUCAUUUAAAUGAGCUGAAACUCUUCCAGAAUAGUCAUUCCAAUGAGCGUGAUUCUUCUAGAAACCACAACAAGCAACCUUGCGGUAAAUGACAAUUUUAUGGUAGGCACCCAUCCCAGGAAUUUUGGUUGGAACCAUUGAUGAUGGUGGUGGUGAUGGUUUUUGAUUAUUUCCGGGUCGUCUCUAUAACAAUGUAUAAUACUUCCUGGUAAUCGUUAAUAGAUUUAUAGCAUUGAUUUCUCUAUUGUCAGUGGCAUCAUUUGUUUUCUACUCUUUUAUUGCAACUAUGUAUAUUAUGUGUGAAUGCAUACAACCUUAACAGAGUUGCAUGUUCAUAUUUGUACGUUGUCCAUAAAUCAGAAGUAACUGUUCAAGACACAUGUACUCGCAAAUUCUUUUUUUGCUCAAGACACAUGAAGAAUAUGUAUGAUGUUGUGACACAUUUGAUUGUUGGAAAAAGAUAAUGCUGUAACAAAAAAUUAGUGAUGUAACUCCUUUUGACAUUUUUUGACAAAACUUCUUUUGACUCAAUGAAAACUUCUGCACAUGUCAUGUUUAAUAACAACUCAUAGAACAUCUUUUUUCCCAACAAUUCUAAUUUAUACAAGCUUUUAGAUAAAUAUACAUAUCACAAGUGCUCGACCAUUUUAAGCGCUAGCAUUGACGGCUAGUUAUCGGCUAAUGGUAGAUGGAGACAUGGUGGAAAUACGGCGGAUGCUAGCUAGACACAUGCAUCUGACUAGGGCAGUUACUUCUAUAUGCGUUCAAAAAUGAACAUGCAUAUUUCGCAAAAAAAGAUGAACAUGUCCUUGUAUAUUUCGCAAAAAAAAUGGACAUGUCCUUGAAUAUUGCAGAAAAUGGCUGGUUUCAUCUGAAAUAAUAGCCCAGACUUGUUUGACCGUUACCAUAAAUAUCAACUGAAUAUUUUUCUCUUUGAAAAGGAGGUCAAACCCCCCGGCAUAUCAACAGAAUACUACAGCGAAGUGUUCACUGAAAAUGAGGAAAAAAAGAUCCAUUUCAUGGUUUAGGGUUGAUUCGUAGGAUUUCCAAAACGCGGGAAUAGGAAAAACAUGGGAUUAGAGUGGAAUGCCGUCUUGAAUCCUACAGGAUUGUACGAGUGUUUGAUUGUGCAUAGAGAAAACAUAGGAUUCUUCUAAAGAGGUUUGAGUGGAUGGAAUGUUUCCUAUGAAAUCUAGUGCAAAUGAAUCCUAUGGAAAAAUUCCUAUGGUUUACAAUCCUAUGAAUCAAACAACCAAGAUAGAAAAAAUUCAUAUGGAUUAGAAUCCUCCAAAAUUCCUUUGAGAAUCCUUUGAAUCAAACAAGCCCUUACAUCACAUACAUCAAACAACUUGAGGUCAAGCCUAAAAUAAAUAAAUUGAAGACCAAAGAAUAUUACACGAGGCAUAUGAUCAUAAAGUUUAUAUCCAUACACUACAAAAAAAUACACUUUCGUGAUGAUACGUGUUUGUCACAGUAGGUCGCGUUUUCUGUCAUGCAUGUACAUCCAUGACAAAUUUAUGACAGAAUCAAGAUAGUCAUACCUGUGCUGUCGUAGAAGUGUUCCAUGGCAUUGCCAAAAUUAUCAUCACGGAAGUGUCCACUUCCAUGACGAUAAAUCGCACGUCAUAGAAGUGCUUUCGUCAAGGGUGACCGACACGUGGCAUCCACCGUAACGGAACGCCGUUAAGCUAUCGGGUCGGGUUUUGGAUCCGAUAACCCGUUAACAGCCCCGACCAAUGGGGAUUUUCCACGUGUAAAAUCAUCAUUGGCUGGAGGAAACACGUGUCGGCUCAUCGUUGGGACAGAUGUCAUCCACUCAUUGGACGGAAGGCGCCUAUGAUACGUCGACACGUGGCACGGCCCAACAGAGGCCUAUUCCUGUGAAAAGGCCGGCCCGUUUGACUUGGUCAAAAGGUGGCGGGCCGGCUCAUGGAAAGCCAGUUAACGGCCUGUUCGCAUAUAGCCCAUUUACAACCCGCUAACCCAAGGCCCGUUACGCCCUAUCCGAAUUAGGCCCAGUAGCGUCAUCUGGGCCAUCCAAUAUGAUUCCAGCCCGUUUUCACUUCUGGCCCAUGUAUGGCCCAUGACGUCUUUCGGCCCAUAUGAGGCCCUAUGUAACUCUUGGCCUAUUAACGGCCCGUGGUGAAACUGACCCGUAAUGAACAGUGUAUCACUUUACACCCAAACGGCCCGUGGUGAAACUGGCCCGUAAUGAACAGUGUAUCACUUUAUACCCAUUAACGGCCCGUGGUGAAACUGGCCCAUAAUGAACAGUGUAUCACUUUAUACCCAUUAACGGCUCGUUAUUCCGUUGGGCCGUUUCCAGCCCAUGUUAUCUUUCGGCCUUCUCAGAGCCCAUUUAUUCUUGGGCUCAUUUCCAGCAUUCAUUUACUUAUGGCCCGUUACUGUCAUUUUCUGCUUACGGCCAUAAUGCGGCCUGUUAUUGUCCCAUGUUUGGCCAAUCGAUCAUACGGCCCGUAUAAGGCCCAUUGAUGAUACGGCCCGUAGAAGGCCCAUUGUUUCUACAGCCCGUAGAAGGCCCAUUGUUUCUACGGCCCGUAGAAGGCCUACUGUUUCUAUGGCCCGUAGAAGGCCCACUGUUUCUACGGCCCGUAGGAGGCCCAGUGUCACUACAGUAAAUAUUAGCCCAUGGUUAUUGUGGCCUAGUUUUAAAAAAUAGGUUAUUGCAGCCACUAGCAAACCGCGGAAAAAGAACUGCACUGACUACAAGCAAACAAAUAAACAAGACAACAAGGAAAUAAAUAAGCAAGCAACUUAUGCUAGGCUAUCACGGCUAUUACACAUAUUACAUCCACUGGGCAUCAAAGUUCGCCACCAGUGCAAAUAUAGGGAACAAAGCAGCAUAUAAAUGCCGCAGCAAAACAAGUCCAGAACUGAAACCAUUUCAGAAGAGUUCAAGAAACAAUAUCCUGGGUACCCAUAAUGCUGGCAAGAUGCUUAGCAAGCUUAUUAACUUUCUCUUGUUUGGCGCUUAAAUCCUCCAGUGCUUGCUGUUGCACAAGAAAGUACACAUCUGAAUUCUGCAGGGACUUCCUCAGUCCUUCGGCUUCUUGCCGCAGCACAGCUGACUGAUGCCUUUCAGCUUGUAGCUGAGACUGAAGAAGCCGAAGUGAUUCAGGCAGCGAGUUCGAAGAGCUUGUGCCAGCGGUACUGGCCAGUAACUCGAACACUACAUCAACGCAGGACUGUGGGGUUUUCUCACUGUCUACAAGAUCGUUUUUAUCACCUUUCUUGGAGACCAACAGGGUUGUCUCACUAUCUUGAACCUUAUCUGCAUUACUUUCUCUACCAUUGCAUAGUGGGGUGCUCUUCUCCAAUAUUCUGUUUGCAUACUACAAGAGAAACAAGCAGACACAUCACAGGUUUAGCUUGUAGUAUACGAAACUCAUUUUGGUAAACCGGUUCAGUAGUAAGGUGGACAGGAUAACAGCAUGAAACAAACAUAUAUCUAUGUACUAUGGUCACUGUAUUGUCCAUAUCAUUCUAGUUUAUGUUCCCUAAUCAAGAUAGAGACACAGUUCAACUCAUAUAUUUUUAACACACAACAGCAUAGACAGAAUAUAAGUGUGAGAAACUACACAGCAUUGGCAGCACUUGUAAUGUGCAUCACAUGAGAACAUAACUGUUUAUACAACUUAAACUGAAAUCAACAUAGAGCAAGAAGUUAGAACAGCAAUCCAGUUAAAGAAAUAGGUUUAAAACAUACCUGUUGCGCCAUUGGAGUUUCAAUUGGAUCCUUCAAAUUCGAAAGUAGUUGCUAUGAGUAAAUACAGUGAUGCAACAGCAAAGGAGUAUGGACCAUAGCUACGGAAUCUGACCUGAGAACAGUUGCUCUUCUGCUUUAAACAUGGAGUUUGGGUUAGCUAUGGUGGUCUUCGUGCUUUGGGCACUGCAGUAGCUUUACAAACUGCUCGUGUGGGGGUACUCUGUGGUGGACAUGGUGCUUUGUCAACUAUAAGUGGGUUACUAUCUGCUGGGGUUGCGGUUAGAUGGGUUGUAGCUGGUUCUCUGCCCAACGGUGUAAGUGUGCAAUCUGGAAGAGUCUCGAUUAUGUGUGGUGGGGCUAGUUUGUGGGCCAGUACAACCAUGGUUCUAUCUGCAUCAACGGGUAGCACUGUCUUUUGUGAAGAACGGGUUUUUGCUCCCUUAGAUACUGCCAUCACCCCUCCAAUUCAAAUGGUUGAUAAACAAGAAAAGAAAUUGAACGUACAAACAUUGUAUGAUAGACAGAUGUGGUAAUUCACAUAUAUGUUGUCUAACCAAACAGGACAUCAUGACACAAUUUCACAUAUAUGAUGCCUAACUAAACAGGAUAGCAUGACACAGUUUCAGAUAUAUGAUGGAUAACUUAACAGGAUAUAAUGGCAUAAUUCAACAUAUGAUGAGUACCUAAACAUGAUGACAUGACAAAACUAUAUGAUGUCUUUCUAAAAUAGGUUGGGAUGAAAUAAUUCACAUACAUGUUGUCUAAGUAUACAGGAUGGCAUGAUAUAAUUGACAUAAUUGAUUCAUAUACUAAGCAGCUGGCACUCGCAUGUAUGAUCUCUAAACUAAGCAGAUAGAAUUCAAUAUUGUGCAUAUGAUGUCUAAACUAAGCAAUGCAAGACACCAUAUGCAUCAUAUGAGAAAUAUAAACAUUGCAACUUAGAGCAUACACCUCAGGUGGGAUAUAGGACUGGUCACCUGUCUCUGAAUCCUCCUCUGAGGAUCUCCCUGUAACCAUCGAGAUAUAUGCUUCAACAGGUACCAUUGCCUGCUCUGAAGACCUUGUUUUCACUCCAGAUUUUUCCAUAACCGGCUCAAAUGGCUGAUACACAUGAAGAGUAGUUCAAUAUACACAGAUUGUCGACAAAUGGAAUACGUAAAUGAAAAAAAAGAUGGCAUGAGAUAAUUCACAUAUAUGAUGCCUGGCUCCAUGCCGGUGCAUAAUUUUCACAUAUAUGAUAACUGGCUGAAAAACAUGGCAUUGCAUAUUCACAUAUCUGAUAUAGAAAGCAAACAGGAGGCAUUCACACAAAGCAUGUCUAAUCUAAGCAGAUGGCAUGGCAAUGCAAGACACCAUAUGCAUGAUAUGAGCAAUAUAACCCAGCCAAGUUAGAGCAUGCACCUCGGGGGGGGGGGAUACGACUGGUCAUCUCUCUCUGAAUCCUCCUCUGAGGAGCUAUCUGUAACCAGCAAGAAAUCUGCAUCGACAGGUAGCACUGACUGCUCAGAAGACCUUGUUUUCACUCCAAAUUUUCCCAUGACCGACUCAAAUGGCUGAUGCACAGGAAGAGUAGAUGAAUGUAUAAACAUUGUUGACAAAUGGAAUACAUUAUGGAAAAAAUAUGGCACAAUACAAUUCACAUAUGAAAGGAUCGAUAUAGUUGACUAGAGGGGGGGUGAAUAGGCAACUAAAUUUUUUUAGCUUUUCUUUACCAAUUUAAACUUUGCAUCAAAGUAGGUUGUCUAGAUAUGCAACUAGGUGAGCAACCUAUAUGAUGCAACAACAACAAGCGCACAAGCAAGAAAGGGAUACAACACAAUAUAAGCGUGCACAAGUAAAGGUAAGAGAUAACCAAGAGUGGAGCCGGUGGAGACAAGGAUGUGUUACCGAAGUUCCUUCCUUUGAGGGGAAGUACGUCUCCGUUAGAGUGGUGUGGGGGCACAAUGCUCCCCAAUAAGCCACUAGGGCCACCGUAUUCUCCUCACGCCCUCACACAAUGCGAGAUGCCAUGAUUCCACUAUUGGUGCCCUUGAAGGCGGCGACCGAACCUUUACAAACAAGGUUGGGGCAAUCUCCACAACUUAAUUGGAGGCUCCCAACAACACCACAAAGCUUCACCACAAUGGACUAUGGCUCCGCGGUGACCUCAACCGUCUAGGGUGCUCAAACACCCAAGAGUAACAAGAUCCGCUAGGGAUAAGUGGGGGAAAUCAAAUAUAUCUUGGUGGAAGUGUAGAUCGGGGCCUUCUCAACCAAUCCCGAGCAAAUCAACAAGUUUGAUUGGCUAGGGAGAGAGAUCGGGCGAAAAUGGAGCUUGGAGCAACAAUGGAGCUUUUGGGAAGGGGGUAGUUCAACUUUGGGGAAGAAGACCCCCUUUUAUAGUGGGGGAAGCAAUCCAACCGUUACCCCCCACUUCAGCCCCGCAGAGAGCGGUACUACCACUUGGCCAGCGGUACUACCGCUCCCCCUCGCGGUACUGCCGCUGGGCCCAGAGCGGUACUACCGCGGUGGUCAGGGCGGUACUACCGCACACGAGCGGUACUACCGCCCCCACUGUCGCGGCUAGUACCGUAAAACCCGACACGGAAAAAGACCCCUCGAAUCAAGGCGGUACUAGCACGAAGCCGCAGCGGUACUACGGUUAGGGGCUACAGCGGUACUACCGCUGUGGAGCGGUACUGCCGCUUGUAGCACCCAAGCGGUACUACCGCUCCAGCCCGCGGUACUACCGCUGGGACCAAAGAGGGCACACUGAGAGAGGGGAACGAGCUCAUCAACGAAGCGGAAAGGCUCGGAGGGUGUGCAAAGGAAGUGUACGUGAUGAUUCCACCCUAGCCUUUCCAAAGCGGACCUCCUCUUGAUAGUACGGUGAUCCCUACGAGACUAGUCCACCAAACUAAUUCGAAAGUACUACACCGUCUUCGCUUCAAACUCCGAGGGGAGGGAAUCGUCUCGUGCCAAAGGAUGAAUCUCUGAAAAACUCAAUGCACACGAUUAGUCCGCAAAAGCAUUGUCAUCAAUCACCAAAACAUCUAAGGGAUACAAAUGCCCUUACAACAUAUACGGUGACUGGCUAAACAGGAUGGCAUUGCAUGAUUCACGUAUAUGAUGCCUGGCUAAAGAAGAUGGCAUUGCAUAAUUCCCAUAUACUCCCUCCGUUCCUAAAUAUUUAUCUUUUUAGAGAUUUCAAAUGGACUACCACAUAUGGAAGUAUAUAGACAUAUUUUAUUAGAUUCACUCAUUUUGUUCCGUAUGUAGUCACUUGUUGAAAUCUCUAAAAAGACAAAUAUUUAGGAAUGGUGGGAGUAUGAUAUAGAAACCAAACAGGUGGCAUUCACACAAAGCAAAUCUAAACUAAGCUGAUGACAUAUAAGAUGUAUAAUGUAAGCAAUGCAAGGCGCCAUAUGACCAACAUCAGCAUGCCAGGUUAGAGCAAACACCUCAGGUGGAAAACAGGCGUGGUCGGCUCCUUCUGAAUCUCCAUCUGAACAAUUAUCUUCCUCUGGAAUACAAUCUGGAAAUGCAGGAGGGGGGCACUUCGCCCACCAUGGAGCGGCGUCUGCAUGACAUUAUAUUCGCACGCAACGGUCUUCUCUUUUUCUCUACAUGUUUAGUACGAUUGUGUACAAUAUCUGACAUGCAUAAUAAAAAGAAAUAGUUAGAUUUUGUAAGGCCUAAGGGGUGCAUGCAAAAAUCAAGACUGAUGGUAGCAAACGAGUGGAUGGAUCCAAAACUAAUGAUAGCAGGUAGAUUAUAGCUUCAGUUUAAAAUGAUAGACAAUGGAUCAUCUAUUGUUUGUUGCCCACCCAACAUGAACCACAUAGAAGACCCCAGAUGAACCAGAUAGUAGACAGAUACUAUUCGUUGCUGGCUCGAUAUGAGACCCAUGGGCAAUUCAAAACUCAAGAUUGAACGAUAAAGUAGCAGGUAACAAUAACCGAUGUAUAACGUAAGAAAACACGAAAGACUGCGACCUCUCUUCCGGAACUGUGUAGUCCUCAGGUUCAUCUGCUCAGUCGAUGAUGGUAAUGCAGUUGGCGUGGCUGCCGGCAACAAGGAAGAUGAUCUGAGGCGGCGAAAGGAAGUCUGCAGGGGGGAUCUCUGCUGCAGUGAACGCUUCUGUCGAUGGUGCACCUCAGGUGGGGUGGAUGACGGCACGGCAGGAGCAGGACAUAACACACAGAGUUUUCUUUGACGCCUAUCUGAAAAUGAAGUAAAUCUGUAAGGGAUCCUUAGAAUUGGAGGAUUCUAUAAACGCAGGGACAGGAAAAACACAGGAAUAGGAUAGGAAUGCACGUGCAAAACAGAGCAUUUGGAAACAUAGGAUUUCAGUCAACCUGGGUGUUUGGCUCACAUGAAUUGGAAGAACAGAGGAAUGGAGAAACAAACUGAUGCGACGAGUGUACAACCUCUUUGGCAUAGCCUUGUGGACCUCAACAUCAUUUGGUUGGACGUGGAGGAUGGUGAUGAUGCUGGUGUGACUGUCGGAGGCGGGGAAGAAGAUCUGAGGCCUCUAGAAACGGCGCCGAGGGUACUGCUCUGCUGUGAUGGACGGUUCCAUCGUUGGAGCAGCUCCGCUAAGGUGUACGGCGACGAGGCUGAAGCAUGACAAGACAGACAACGUUAAUCUGAAGUGGGACCCUAAUAUCAUCUGCAAUAGAUGAUGUAAAAUACAUCACCAAAAGUGCUAGAUGUAAAACGCAUCAGUCGCGCCACGGCCGCUCCGACAGAUGCUGUAAGUACUGUUCACUCUGAACUUAACUGAAGAAAAUGAACUUCAUAGUCGAAACUGAAUUUUACUGUCGAAACUGAUUGAACUAGUAACAGAGCAUUGCAAUAGAUGUUUAGGGCGUUCGAGCACUAGUAGCAGAGAUGCAGUGAUCUAAAUCAGCAGACGCUCGAGCAGGGAACGACUAGCAGAGAGCAAGUCGUGCAGUAGCACCGCAAGCGAGUGCUAAAGCAGCAACUCCUGUAGCUGUCGGAGGUCGUGCAGCAGCAGCAGCGCAAGCGAGAGCAAGAGCAGAGCAGCAGCACGAACGAAAGCAGGAGCAGUGCAGCAGCGCGACCGACAGCAAGAACAGAGCCGCAGCGCGAGCGAGAGCCGGAGCAGCUGCAGCUAGUGCCGUUGUGGAAGUCGCCGCCGAGGAAGCAACAACAUGGGGGAGAGACGCCGUGGAUGAUGUGGCCGGCGACGGCGCCGUCGAUGGAGACACGCCAUGUCUGCUCGGUAUCGAGCACCGGUAGCCCCGUGAGAUCGAAUAAAAGACAAAAUGCAGCGGUGAGUGCAGAACCUCCUUGGUGGCGCCGAGUUGGCCUCGGCUUCAUCGGAGGAAUUGGUGAGGGUGUUGCGGUUCCGGUGGGGCAGGUCAAGACGGCGCUGUGGGGAUUGAGGUGGCGCGAUAGAUGAGGCAAACGUCGGGGAAGCUCCUUGGAGGUGGAGGACGGGGCGGCUGAUCCGGCGGGACGACGAGAUCGACAACGGAUCCUCAUCCGGUGCGGUGGAUGAGGGACAGCGAGCUGUUGCGGUGGACGACGUAGUCGGGGAAGAGUCUCCGGCUGGGCGGCGGUCGGGAGGCCGACGGAGGAGCGUGGGGUUUCGCUGGUUUUGGCGGCCUCGGUGUACGAAUGGGGGGGCGAAGGGGGAGGGGGAGCCAAGCUUAGGGACGCGCUUGUCUGAAAUGUAGGGUAAGUUACCAGCGUACCCCCACCGGUUUUGACACCGCGACGUGGAGCUUCAUUUACGGCUGAGGGGUAGAAGGGGGAUUUCGCGUGUCUGGGCUGCGGGAGCAAUUUCGGAUGAGGAGGGAGUUCUCGCGCGCGUCCAAAUUUCGGGAUAACAAGGCGCGGCGCGGGUUGAAGAAGCGGGAGUUUUAAAGCAGGUGAGACAAAAGAUACUCGAGAUUGAAAAUUUCGGGAUAACAAGGUGCGGAUUCCUUGUUCGGCAGAACAAACUUAACGUGUAAAAAAACAAUUCAUACAAGACACAAGAGAGUCAUGUCCCCUUUUACUAUAUUGCUAUAGAUGCCAUUGAAAAAACUACAAGAAAAAUGUAAAAAAAACGGGAGAACAAGAUUACCUUGCACAGUACCAAAUCGAUUCGCACUUCCCUCAACAACAACAAAAACAAAUCAAUUCCCACCAAAGAAAGAGUAAUGUCCCUUUUUAUAUGAUUACAGAUGCCAUGAUCUUGAAUUUCAAUUUUUGAAUCCACGUUAUGUUGAAUUCGAAUAUAUCGUUAGGUGACCUUGCGGUUUAUAAUUGAUGUAGUCGUACAUUUUGAUCUUCCAUCAUAUAUGAACAUUUUACUCCACCAUGUGAACAUAUAUAUUGUCGUCUACCAUAUGGACUAAAUUUGAAUCAAUUUUCCUUAUUUGAAUACGAUUGUUGUCAAGUUAUACAAUAAUUUAAAUAUUAUCUUGAGAACAAAAAACAUACAUAUAGCAGUAAUCAUAUUUCACUAUGAACUACAUGUACCAUACGCUCUCCAAUUCAAAUAUUUGUAUCCAUUUUAUGUUGAAUUCAAAUCAUAGUACAUUAUUGGUCUAGGUAGCAAGAUGUUUGGGAUAAUCAAAACCCUGUUUUCAUACGUAUAAUUUUUAGCUAAAUUGGGACAAGUUUUGGUACAAGCCUCUUGCAAAACCGGAGAUUCUCUCAACAAGCCUCGUGGUUCCGAGAGGGAACGUGUCACCUUUGUGUGCGAAAUGAUAUACGCUGCCUCCCCCUGAUUUUAUUUACAGAGGCAACAUAGAACUAUAUGAGUGCCCUGUUAAAUUUUGGAAUUAUUUCGGGUUCAUUUGGCCUUUUUAUACAUUAAUUGAGUUUCUGGACUUUUAAUGUGCAUAAUAUAAAUAUGAAUUGCAUGCACAUGCUCCGGUGCACCAAAGUGGGUUGAAAAAUCACAUGUGUGUCCUUGGUUGAAUUUCUAGGUCCCAUGGAAGAAAUGAGAAUGAAAUUCAAACAUCUGGGCGUCAUGACUCGGCCGAGAACAUCGAGAAACUUUGAUUUUAAAUUCAUGUAAAUCCAAAACUCGCCUGGAAAUCAUGAAACUUGGCAUGGUGUCAUGUCAUGGCACUAACAUGUUGUGGUAAAAAAUUGGGCCGAUUUGGAAGCUCGUGGUUCUAAGAGGGAACGUGCCACCUUUGAGUGUGAAACGAUAUACGCUGCCCCCCCCCUUGAGUUUCUUAACAAAGGCAACAUAGAACUACAUUAGUGCCCUGUUAAAUUUUGGAAUUAUUCCGGGUUCGUUUGUCAUUUUUUAUACAUUAAUUGAGUUUCUGGUCAUUUAAUGUGCAUAACUCAAAUUUGAACUACAAGCACAUGCUCUCGUGCACCAAAGUUGGUUGAAAAAUCACAUUUGUGUCCUCGGGUGAAUUUCUAGGUCCCAUGCAAGAAAUGAGAAUAAAAUGAAAACAUCUGGGCAUCGUGGCUCGGCCGAGAACAUUGAGAAACUUGGUUUUAAAAUUCUUGUAAAUCCAAAACACGUCUGAAAAUCAUGAAACUUGGCAUGGAUGUCAUGUCAUGGUACUACCAUGUUGUGGUAAAAAAAUUGGCCGAAUAGGAACAGAUUUUGGUAUAAGCUUCUUGCAAACCGAAGCUUCUUUCAAGAAGGCUCGUGGUUCUGAGAGGGAACGUGCCACCUUUGAGUGCGAAACGAUAUACGUUGUCCCCCUUGAGUUUAUUUACAAAGGCAACAUAGAACUACAUGAGUGCCCUGUUAAAUUUUGGAAUUAUUCCGGCUUCGUUUGGCCUUAUUUACACAUUAAUUGAGUUUUUGGUCAUUUAAUGUGCAUAAUUCAAAUUUGAACUACAAGCACAUGCUCCCGUGCACCAAAGUUGGUUGAAAAAUCACAUUUGUGUCCUCGGGUGAAUUUCUACUCCCUCCUUCCAUCUAUAUAGGUCCUAAUGCGUUUUUCGAGGCUAACUUUGACCAAACAUUAGAGCAAUAAUAUAUGACAUGCAACUUACACAAAGCAUACCUUCAAAUUUGUAUGUCGAAGGAGCUUCCAAUAAUAUAUUUUUCAUAGUAUACAUCUCAUGUGCUAUUAAUCUUGUCAAUAGUCAAAGACUGUCUUGAAAAACACAUUAGGCCCUAUAUAGAUGGAAAGAGGGACUUGGUCCCAUGCAAAAAAUGAGAAUAAAAUUCAAACAUCUGGGCAUCGUGGCUCGGUCGAGAACAUUGAGAAACUUGGUUUUAAAAUCAUGAAACUUGGCAUGGUGUCAUGUCAUGGUAGUACCAUGCCGUGGUAAAAAAAUUGGCCGAAUAGGAACAAAUUUUGGUAUAAGCUUCUUGCAAAUCGGAGCUUCUCUCAAGAAGGCUCGUGGUUCUGGGAGGGAACGUGUCACCUUUGUGUGCAUAAUUCAAAUUUGAAAUACAAGCACAUGUUCCAGUGCACCAAAGUUGGUUGAAAAAUCACAUGUGUGUCCUCGGGUAAAUUUCUAGGUUCCAUGCAAGAAAUGGGAAUGAAAUUCAAAAUUCUGGGCGUCGUGGCUGGGUUGGAAACAUUGAGAAACUUAGUUUUUUAAUUCCUGUAAAUCCAAAACACGCAUGAAAAUAAUGAAACUUGGCUUGGUGCCAUGACAUGGCACCAACAUGCAGUGGUAAAUUUGCAGUCCGAUUUGCGAAGGCGCACACAUUAACAAUCAACAAGUCAUUUUGGAACAAGUGCUGUCACGUUACAAUCGGAAACACAAGUAUUAUUGAAACCGUGGGCGUUCUACUUACUAGUACCAUUUACGUGCCGCCACGCGUCCCCAUUUUUUAUUAUCUAGGAGGCGCCGUGCAGGGUAGCUAUUUGAGUACGAGAGGCGUGCGAUCAGACCCCUGCGCGUGCUUAUCGGGAGGAGAGCCCUUUGACCUCCAUCUGCCGUCCACCUCUCUCCCAAGGUCUCAAUUAAUGGCGCCCGAGCCUCUGUUUAAUGGCGUGGCUAUGUCUCACUCGACUGAGAUUUAAGAGAGAAAAAAGAAAAUCUGAAAGCACGGAUCUUGAUGUAAGAUCCGACGGACCUAUAUAGCAUCUACUGCGACUUAUAGCAAGACUGAUGAAUAUAUAAGGACGAUUAUUUUUUUUGAUCAAAGAAGGGCUUGCCCCUUCCGAUUUUCAUUACUGAAAACCACCACAAUUCACAAGAAGUUCAGCACAACUCCAGCCUAACACGAAGGACUAAAAGCUACCAGAUUGAAAUCGCAACAUCCCAAGAGGCCAACAAAGGCCAAACAUCCGCGCUAGAACCCAACAUUUCACAACCGACGACACAAUCCACAUCCUAAACCGAUUAUUACAUCAAAAGAAACCAGGAAACUGAAGGAAGCCCAGCAGCAACUAGAAGAACAGCAACGCCAGGGUCGCCACAGCAAGAGUUUUCUUCAUUCCAGCCUCACAACAUUGAUCUUCCACAGAAAGAUAAGGACGAUUAAUUGUCUUACAUAAUUAGAAAGAUAAUUAAAAAAGCCACAUGCGGCUACGCUCGAAAUACACAAGGGCGAAAGAAGAAGGAAGACAAGGAUCUGGCUCGCUGAUCUCUACUUUCUUGGUGCGUUGCUGCAGGCCGCGGGAACUAGUCUCCACGGCGAGCGGCGAUGAGCUCUUUCGUGUCCUCAAGACGCUGCUUGAGAACAUCCAUGGAUUCCUCCACCAGCCUUUGGCGCUCGUUGCGGAGCAUGUCAUUCUCGUCCAUAAGUUUCUUGACGAUGACGCCGGUCCUCUUCAACAAGGCACUGGUCUCCUCCUGCUGGUCUGCACUUCGAACGAUCUUCUCCCUCAGCAGGUCAUGCUCGGCCCGGAGCCUCUCAUUGCCCUCCCUUAGUUGCCGGAUGACGCCGGUAGCCUGUUGAAACGAGGCUUCCAUGUCGUCUUGCAACCUCGCCCAGCUGGAGAUCUGAUGCAUCUGGCUAUGGACGAUCGCAUGCAUGCGCCUGUAACAGUCGUCGCCUGCCCGCGAGAAAUUUUUCCAGGCCGCCGCGGCGCGGCGAGACAUCUCUGCUGCUUCCGCGGCGCGGCCGGACCAGUCUGCUGCAUCGACGGCGCGGCGGGACCUCCGUGCUGCUUCAGCGGCGCGGCAGGACCUCUGUGCUGCUACUUCCGCGCGGCGGGACAUGUCGGCUGCUCUCGCAGUGAGGCGGGACAUCUCUCGUUCUUCCGCUUCCAUGCUCGCCUCUCCCUGGUGGCAAUCUCUCGACCCAGAACUCACGCUGGCCAUUACAGACACAAGGGAAGGAUGUUGAAUGACUUGUUUGUUUUUGUGGAUGAGGAGUUGAGGAGGAAUGUGCAGUCAUCUCGGCAUACUAGUAUUUAUAACCGAGUACUAAUACGCUCCUAAGUGGGAAACCGUUUAGGUUGUGAUCGGUGUGAACAGGUUUGAAAUUCAAUAUAGCAUGGUACUAAUACGCUCCUAAGUGGGAAACCGUUUAGGUUGUGAUCGGUGUGAACAGGUUUGCAAUUCAAUAUAGCGUGGAGUAAUUUGGAAUGUGACGAGACGCAAGCUCAAAAUUUAUUGACGGUUCUAGUUUCGAAGUGCGACACUAUUCCCGGAUGGAGUACUUCUUUUUCUACUCCCUCCUUUCCGGUUUUAUAGGGCUUAUCUCAAAAUUUUAGUUUUUCCAUUUUAUAAGGCUCAAUUUGGUUGUUCCCCAACACAUGUUCAGAUUCCAAGGUGCAUUAAAUCAUUGCAUGCAAGUAUUAAGAGAAAAUUGACCAAUGCAUGUACUUUAUGCAUGCACGCAUUGCAAUUAAUGCAUUGAUAAACAUAAUUUUUUGAGAAAAACAAGAGCAUUAAUUAGGUGCUUUUGCAAACUACAAAAAACAUUCCACCACUCACCAUCUUGGUUGGUGAGAUUUUUGAAUUAAGCCCUAUAAACCGGAAAGGAGGGAGUACUGCUGUGUAUGUGCAAUAACUGGCACCGUCGUAUACAUAUCUUACGGUUAAUGGGGCGUUCGACAGGAAUAGCCGCGUGGCGAGCUCUCACACACGCGUCUGUUUUUUCUCGAAAAGGAGGAUGAUGACCCCCGGCCUCUGCAUCUGGGAGUCACACACGCAUCUGUAGCUACGAAUUGUACUGUUCUCAACCAUCCGAUUGGCUCUAUUAUGGAUGUACCUAUAUACUAAAACAUGUCUAGAUACAUCUAUAUUUUGACAAAUGGAAGGCAUGUACUGUGGAACGGAGGGAGUGCUUGUCAUCAAAAUGGAUAAAAAGGGAUGUAUCUAGAACUAAAAUACGUCUACAUACAUCUCCUUUUAUCCAUUUUGAUGACAAGUAGUACUUCUUACCCAAAGGAACUUUAUAUCCAACAGACACAAAAUAUCCGUUCGACUGUUGGAAAUUACUGAUCUGAUGUCGAAGUAAUUUCUGCAUCGCCACCAAAACCCACCAUUUCUUAAGCUAAAGUAGACCAAGGUAAUCCCUAUAUUAGCAUAUUACUAAGAUAAACAGAAGGCACUGUAGAAACAUUUAGGACGUGAGCUUGUCAAUCUGAAUGUGGAGGGACACAAGCUUAGCCCCGGCCAGCAGCUUGGGCGGAACUGUCAAGAAGGUCAGCUCCUGCAAGUCGACGUCGCCGGGAUCCUUGCUGCUUGUCACCUCCAUUUCCACCUUGACGGCGUCGGUCGUGCCUUUGGGCUCCCCCGGCGGGCCGUUCGCCCACAGCUUGGCCACGUAGUGCGGCAGUGGGGACGCCCCCGCUCUGAUGCAGACGACCGACAUGGCGAUAGGCACGCCGAUGUCGAGCACGCCGCCGACCAAGAAAAACGCGCGGCGGUCCUCCUCCGCGAACAGCAAGAGUCGUGGCUCCGACAGUGGCACUUGCAGCUGGAGCACCUUGCCGUACUGGAUCCUGUGCACGGGCAUGGGAUGCGCGGUGCUGAUGUGGUGGUAGAGCGCCGGCGGCGGGCCUUCGUAGCCGCAGACGGGCACGGGGCAUUUGCAGGGCGCGAGCGGACACACGCUCUGGUGAUCGCCGAGCUUGUGGUAAGUGACGUAGAGCCCACAGCCUUCGUGCGGGCACUCCACCCUCACCGACGAAAGGACGGAGUCCACCGUCGUGUUCCGCACGUCGAAGCCACCGCCGCGCUCGCACUUCUGGCACUGCUCGACGCGGCAGUCCGCGCAGGCCAGGUGCCCUCCCUUGCACUGCAGAAAUCAAUCGAACAACACAUCAAUCAAGAAACCUGGACCUUGCUCAAUCAGCCAAAUGGACGAGGUGUAUUCGAACCUCAUACACUAGAGGCGUCAAGGUGCGGAGGCACAAGGGGCAGUGGAGCACGGUGAGGUCCAUCGAGACCUUAGAGAGCUCCAUCGUCGGGUCCUGUUCGGUCUGCAUGAUCUCGCCCUCCUCGUGCACAACCAUCUCUCGACUUGGGCCGGGGUAUUACAAAGCUUUACCGUCACAUAUUUUAUACUACUUCAAGGUGCAUUAAAUCAACACAUGCAAGUAUCAAAAGGAGAGUCACGGCAUGCAUGCAUGUGUUGUAAUUAAUGCAUCGGUAAACGCAAAUUAUUGAAAUAUAUCGAGUGCAGUGCUUUGAUGUGUCGCGUCAACUCGUACAUCAACGAGAAGUUUGAUUAUCCUCUCCCUCGCGGACUUAACUGCACCUGCCUUUGGCUGUAUGACAGGUUGGCCACACACCUGUUGGGCCCACCUGUCAUACACGCAAAGGCAGGAGCGUCCUUCCCUCGCCCAUGAGCGUGGUGGCUGGCAAGACUAGGAGAAGCUUUCGCUACACGCUCUCCCUCCCGCACGCGGUGGACAUGCAGCAGUUCAAUCGGUGUCAGAUGGCGAGAAGCGUACUGUAGUACUCCUCCAGUGUAGUAGUACUCCAUCAUUGUUCGACUUCCCGAAGAGGCGAAGAGCCAAGCGCAGCCCGGACGCUCGUGUGGCAGUUUCAUGUGUAGAGUAGUCUAGGAUAGCGUGUACCGUGCCUGUAAGCUUAAAAUCGUUGAGGUCGGCUCCAUGCUAUGUGGCUGUCUUGAAGUUGUUUUUUUUUAAAUAGUCUUCUGGCCCUACCUGACACCCUGGUGAUUGUAGUUUGCACGCUCAUCUGGUCAAGACAGGAAUAUAUAUUUUAAUUUGUUUUUUCGAAAAGGGGGGACUCCCGGCCUCUGCAUCAGAACGAUGCAUGCGGCCACAUAUAUUUUAAUUUGUGGUGGGUAAAUGUUAGAGGUUGCAGCAAAUAUAUUGUACACUGCGGGUCUUUCAGCCAAGUUUAGAGGCAAGCAUGUGGGGCCAGUGCUAUGUUGUGUCGCGUCAACUCGUACAACGAGGAGAAGCUUGAUUUUACUACACGCCUUCUCCCUCACCCAUGCACGCAGUUGUUCGCAAACAAGGACAUGUUUUUGCUUAGUAGUACUUCUACAACAAGCUAUCUGUCCCGCUCGCGGUGGACGGACAUGCAGCAGUGGAUUCGACACUGUAGAAGCAGUAGUAGUAACAUCAUUGUUCGUCUUCUCGAAGAGGCGAAGAUCCAAGCGCAAAACAAACGUUGUAGUUGCGAACAUUGGAGCACGCAUAUAGCCAGGCUCUUGCAUGAGACAAAAUUGCUAUGUGAGCCCACUAUUGUACUAGUACGUACAACUACUUGCUAGUAUAGCCCUGUAAACCAGAAAGGAGUAUUUGCUCUUCUAGAGAUUUCAACAAGUGACUAGACUACACCGAGACGGAGUACAUAUGGAGCAAAAUGAGUGAAUCUGCACCGUAAAUAAAUACGUACUAGUUCUAUAGUUUUCCUCUCCGAGGUGCACAAUAUUGAGUAUACUGACUAGUCUCUUUUUGACACGCAUUUACGUUUUUUUUACACGGUACAAACGCAAGCGCUCAUAUACACGCGCAUACACUCACCCCUAUGAACGCACACACGCACGACACUAUCAUCUUAAAAUUUACGAAGUCACCAUAGGCACCUCGUCGUCGACGGGUCCAUAGGUGCUUGAAUGCCAAUGAGGGAGAGGGUAGCGGUUCCCGAGACGUUGAAUGGUCAAUGAUGCAUCCUCAAUUACAUGCAGAGGGAAUUAAUUGGAGAAGCAGAAUAGAGCCAGCACGAUGUGAAUGCAACACAGUUCGGACUCUCAUAUAAAGGCGCCCCACCACUCCAAUCCAUCUACUCCCAAGUCUCUGCGCAACACUGCUCACUCCAAUCCAAGACCAAGUGACCAGAAGCCACAAGCACCUAUGGAGGCGAUGGACGCGAGCGGCAGUCGGUUGUGCCAAAUCAUCCAAGGCGCCGGCCUGCGGCCCCGCACCGCGCAGCGUUUCCAGAUGGUGCUGGCGACCGCAGGCAUCGUAGCCCUCGCCGACGCCGGCUUCGCCUCUCGCAUGGACGACAUGAUGGUCAACUCCAUCCGCAAGUUCACCGCCGUCAAGAAGCGCGUGGACGACCUUGCCGUACUGCUCCAGCCCGCGCGCCCAGGCUCCUCAUUGCCUGCCACCCUCAUCGGCCUCCAUGGUGACGAACUCUUUCAAGCCCUGGUGGCCCUGCAGGUGCCGAAGGUUGCGACGAAGAAUGUGCACCUCGAGGCCGCGCUCGCCACGCAGCGCCUCGCCAUGCAAGAAACCGUCGACCUGCACAUCCACGUCUACGAGGAAAUCGUCUACAUAGGCCACUACAAGGCAAGCGAGGACAGAAAGACGUUGGCCUUCUUCCAGCGGCUGGAAUCUUUAGACGCCAUUGUUCAGAAGCACGUCGACCUGGCCACGAAAGCCGCUGCUACUUAGGCACCGUUCGGUGGGUCGGCGCCCUGAGUCGAGGAGGUGGAUGUCAUCGAUGGAUGCAUCUCUUCUUGCCUCCUGUAACCAGAACUGCAUCGCCUCGUGGCCUUAAUGUUUUAUUAGUAUAGUACUCCCUCCGUUCCCAAAUAUAAGUCUUCCUAAAGAUUCCAGCAAGUGACUACUACAUACGGAGCAAAAUGAGUGAAUCUACACUCUAAACUAUGUCUACAUACAUCUGUAUGAUGUACUCCAUUUGAAAUAGUAUCUAAAAAGGCUUAUAUUUAUGAACGGAGGGAGUAUAUGGCAUUUUUAUUCCAGUCGUAACGUUUUCACUGUGAGGUGGGGCCGCAGUUGAGCAAACCCACCCCACCCACCGGGCGUCGGCCGAGUUUAGAAUUAGAAGAGAGAAACGAGGGAGGAGAGCUAGCUAUAGCACGGACGCUGUUGUCAGAUGGGACUCGUGUUUAUAGAAUAGGAGUACUGAGCACUCGUGCCUCUUUUUUUUUGAGGGAAAAAUUAGUCGUAUGUCUAGUACCACUAGUUGGGUGCGUGCGACCUAUAGCUGUCAUCACUUUAGGUCUCCUUUUCAAACCGCGGCUACGCUUAACAGUACAUAUUAUUUCACGCAUUUAUCCUCCUAUAUGUACUCCUAGGCUAUUUCCACGUGCUCCCAUUCGCCGACAUGUGGGACAUAGAGCAUCUGGGUCGUAGUGCAUGCACGACUCGGAGCAUAUGCCGGGGUACUUUACAUUUCAGACCUCACGAAUUACAUGCAAACCCCCCGCAGAAGAAUAAAUAAAUGAAUGAAUUACUACAUGAAACUGGAUUAUUUUCGUGGAAACCGGAGCACGUUCAUUAAAUUUUGGACAUAACACGUUUAUAAAAAAUGACCGGACCGAAACCAGUCUAAGGGCCUCUUUGAUUUUUCCCGCAAAAAAAGGGCCUCUUUGAUUCGCAGGAUACUGAAAACACAGGAAUGGGGAAAGUAUGAUGGCGAUGAACAGAGACGAGGAGACCUCUAACUCAGUUAGAGGUUAGAGUUAGAUUCUAACCCUCAACUAACUGUAAACCAAAGAGGUGUAUGGAUGGCAGGGUUAGAUUGACAAUAAAUGCUCUAUCUCAAUCAUUUGACUACUUUGGGCCCUAUUUCCUGCUGGAUUUGGAGGGUGCUUGGAUACGUUUUAGUUCCAUGACUAAAAGUAGUGGGACUAAAACUUGCUAGCCUCACCCAUGCUUGGAUCCAAAUACUAAAGAGACUAAAAUCAAGUUAAUGAGCAUUUAUUAUCCUCCAAACCCUCCAAUCCAGAACUCGCCUGUGUUAAAGGAGAGGAGUUAAAUGAGGAGAGAGAGGACUAAUCCACAUUUUAGUAGGGGUACCCCUGACUAAAAAAAUUUAGUCUCAAGACUAGUUUUAGCCCCUCUUUAGUCAGGGGUGCUUGGAACUUUAGCCUCUUAAAGAGACUAUUUUUAGUCAGACUAAAAUAAGUCCCUUGGAUCCAAGCACCCUCUUGGUGUGGCCGGCUCUUCUGUGGCCUCCUCCCGCUCACAAUUGACAUAAACGAACCAUCUAUACAAAUCAAGCAUGCAAAACAUGAUAAUUUUUACUUUGUCCAUACAAAUGAGAUAUCCCACUUAAACAUACAAGUCGUCAAUCAAGCUUCACAAAAUAAAAAAACACUUCAUGAAACAAAGAAUGAGCUAACUCAUCACGGAAGUCAUUCACGAUAGGGAGGGAGCCCGGAGCCCCUCACGCACCGAGGGAGGAGCUCGGCAUCGUCGCUCUGGAGGAAGGCUCUAUAGAGCCCAAGCCCCGGGAUCCCCUCCGACGCCGGCCCUUGCGAGUUGAGGUCGACACCGGCAUGGGUAGCAGGGCCGCUUGCCGUCGACUGGGAACUUAAUCUUUGGGCCUCUAGAAAUAAUGCAAGCCUGUAACUAAAAUACCUAGAAAGGUGAACUGAAUCUUUGGGACUCUAGAAAUAAUGCAAGCCUGAAACUGAAAUACCUAGAAAGGUGAACUGAAUCUUUGGGCCUCUAGAAUUAAUGCAAGCAUGAAAGUGAAAUACCUAGAAAGGUGAACUGAAUCUUUGGGCCUCUAGAAAUAAUGCAAGCCUGAAACUGAAAUACCUAGAAAGGUGAACUGAAUCUUUGGGCCUCUAGAAAUAAUGCAAGCCUGAAAUUGAAAUACCUAGAAAGGUGAACUGAAUCUUUGGGCCUCUAGAAAUAAUGCAAGCCUGAAAUUGAAAUACCUAGAAAGGUGACCUGAAUCUUUGGGCCUCUAGAAAGAUUUAUUACCUCCUCAAGCAGCAUCAAACAAUUCUAUGCGUGCACCACAAAUCUAUACCAAGUUUGAUCAGGAUCUACUUUUCCAAAUCAGAAUUAGCGCUAGAGCAAGCAAGAUCAAUGAUAUGGCCGUGAGACAGAGAAGGAACUAACAAACUCACCCCUCUCGCGACCUCCCUGGUAGAUGCGCCGCCGCCGCGCACGACAGAGGGAGAAAAACGACUGGUGAAGGGGGAGCGGGGCGACCUUCGAAGGCCGGAGGGAGAGGGCGGCGGAGGCCGGAAGGAGAGGGCGGCUGGAGGAGAGAGAGGGCGAGCGGCCCUAUGGGGAACAGAGAGGAGUCGUGUGAGAGGGGGGGAGCGAUCUGGUGCGGGCAGGGGAAUUUUUUAGUUCUCUUUUAGUGGGCCCGAGGAUAACUAACCCAAUUAGAACCUCUCCACCGGGCUAUUUUUUUAGCUGGGUUAGAGCAAACUAGCUCAAACUAACCCCUCUUGUUUCGAUAAUUUGAGGCUACUUCAACCCAAACUAGCUCUAACUCAGGGAUCCAAACAAAGAGGAGUGUUACUGUACAUGCUACAGUGUGGACCGUAGCACAUUGUUUUUAUGGCCAUAUCACCACAUUGUUUUCUACUGCUGGUUCACUGGGCUACCGUGGUUCGCACUGCUAGUUCACUGGGCUGCCGUGGUUCGCACUCCUCCGACCUGAGUAGUACUCUAGUAUAGUACUAGUAUAUACCGCUUCAUUCUUUGCUCCUUCUUACUACUCCGACAUGUGGGAGAGCCAGCAUCCGGGUCGACGUGUCAUGCACCAGAUUAGAGCGCGGAACGGAAGGGGGGCAUCACCCCAGUCGGAGCGCCAGUAAUUCAUGACUAUAGUGAGUGGUCAUAUCACAAGUCUUUCCAGCAGUAACGCGCCGUCAAAUCGCACAGCCCCACUCGCUCACCCUCCUCGCCUCUCUGUCAAACCGCCUAUCUGAAAACUGCCGCCCGUACUGCCCGGGAAAAGCCCCGCCCUCAACUUUUAACUACGCGAAAAUAGUUCGAGCUUGUUCGUUCUAUAUAAAUACAAUACUUACUGUAUGUUUAUUCACCCGUGGGGUUGUUCAAUGAAUGGAGGGGCGGGGAGCACAAGUGAACAAUACUGUAGUACUACUAGUAGUAAGUAGGAGUCGUACAGUAGUCACCUUAAAUAGAGAGUUUAUUUUCUUUAAUGCCACGUACACAAAUUGAAACGCUUGUUGUGGAGAGAAAAAAGAUAAUCACUCCACUAUAUAUGGACGCAGGGGCCUGAGCGCUUGCUUUACUAGGGUUGCUCUCUUCAUUCUCUCAUCCUCUCCAGAUAUAAACAAGACAGCGGUAGCGACAUUUUCUCUCUGCUCACCGCUGGUCACAGAUCCGGCUGGAUCCCUUCGGCCAGUGUGUGUAGAGGACUAAAAGGUGCAUCGUUCACGUGGUCAUCACCGCCGAGGGAGGAAACCCACAGCUGCCGGAGGGGCCCGAUCCUCUGCCCGUGCCGUUCUCUCCGACACAGCGCCGGCUCGCGAGGUCCUCCGACCCUUCUUCCUCCCUGCCGUAUUGUCCGCAGAUCCGACCUGCCGCCGCCGACAUCCCAGCGACCCUCAGGUAUAAGUUCUUCGAAAGCGGCCUUGCUCUACUUCCCCAGCUCCCCACGUGUCUGCAUGUGCAUCUUUUUCUACUCCCAUCAGCUCUUCCAAAGCCACCUAAUUUUUUAGUAUUAUUAGAGGUAAAGCUACUUCAUGCAUUCGAAUCUAGGGCUUUGUUCAAACAACGAAGAAAGGGGGGAAAGUUGUAGCAUGAAUCUAGGACUUGAUUCAAAGAGGAAAUAAUAUGGUGAAAGUAGUAGAGACCGGAUACCCAACCGGUCUCUUGGUUGAAAAGGGAAAUAAUGGGAAAAUGCAGUACAAACUGGAUAAGGAACAGAUCUAUUAUUGGUUGAAAAAAGGAUAGAAAGUGGCGGCUGGUGGACAAGUCAACAGAGUAUGUCCAGGAUUAGAUUUGCUGCCAUCACAUAGUAAAAGGUCUCCAGGAUUAGAUUUGCUGCCCUCACAUAGUAAAAGGUCUCAGGAUUAGAUUUGCUGCCCUCACAUAGUAAAAGGUCUCCAGGAUUAGAUUUGCUGCCCUCACAUAGUAAAAGGUCUCCAGGAUUAGAUUUGCUGCCCUCACAUAGUAAAAGGUCUCCAGGAUUAGAUUUGCUGCCCUCACAUAGUACAAGGUCUCCAGGAUUAGGUUUGCUGCCCUCACAUAGCAUGAACAAACUCGGCAUCACCACUUUAUGCCUCCUUGUAGGUACAUUGUGCUGAUGCGUCCACUGUCGCAUGUCCUUAUACCAACCUUUUGCUGUUGUUAAUGUAAGGGCGCAUGUAAAAUGAAGCGAUCACACUGUUACCUUAGGGACAUGUCUAACCAGUGUUAUUGUUAAUCUAAUGCCUCCAGUGAUAAGAUGCAAUUAACUGUGUUACAAAUGGCACUCCUGUUGUUUUCCCCAGUAUGAUAAGUAAGUUGCUCCUUUACGCUACUGAGUGUCCUGGUGUCCCCAUGGUCCCAUGCCCUUAAACCAACUCUUUAGCUGCUGUUGAUUUACUGUGUCUGGUAAACAAGCAAUGCCACCAUUAAAGUAAUCCCAUAUUUGAGGAAUCUCAUUGUUGAUCGUAAUGCUUCUGGUAACAUGAAGCAUUGCCGACGUUUUAAAUUUUCUACUGUCCUUGCGUGAUUGCCAGGAACAUAAUUAAGAUGCUUCUUUUCAUUUUGUAUAUGUUUCGUAUAUUCUUAUUGACCAGCAACUGUUUACUUUCUAUCUUUUUGUGCAGAUAGGGAUAUCCAUUUCACCUUGUUGCUAUUGUGACCUUUUGGUGAACUGCACAAAACACUUUUUUGGAAUGAGUGUCUUGUGCAGUUCAACUAAAAUGUUACAUGGGCAACAUCUCUCAAUUUUGGUGGCACUGCACAAAAUGGUGAUUGGAGUUUUCAAAAUCUCCAUCAAAUUCUGCUGGUAAUCUCGUGCAACAUUUUAUUAGCCUUUGCAAGAUGAGCCGUAGCUGAAUGAUGCAAUCUUUGCUUCAUUUCAGGCGAACUGCAGAAAAAGUGGCAUGAAUUGAAUCAUCGGGUGGAGCUACAGGUUGACUUCCACUAGUGCCACUAUUAUAGUAAUCAUGCUCUUUAUUAUCUGCGCUGUGCAAACAGGAAUACUCAACUACAGAUGUUGUGACGGUCAAGAGCAUUCGCCAAGUUCUUCGAUUGUAUGACAUGGCUAGCCAAGAUGGAUUUAAUCCCGAUAUUCACUUUAUCAAAAGGCUCUAAUGGGUUGGUUCUGAAUCUUGCAAGAUGGGAAUCAGUGAGAUGUGUAGGCAUCUUUGUUGUACUUAUUAUUUGAAUCUUAUUUGUUGGUUCUGAAUCUUGCAAGCUAGGAAUCAAUGAUAUGUGUAGGCAUCUUUGUUGUACUUAUUUUUUGGAUCUUAUUUGUUGGUUCUGAAUCUUGCAAGCUGGGAAUCAAUGAGAUGUGUAGGCAUCUUUGUUGUACUUAUUAUUUGGAUCUUAUUUGUUGGUUCUGAAUCUUGCAAGCUGGGAAACACGGCAUGAUGAUGCAGAGGACAACAACCAUAACAAACAGUUCAAACUUGGUAGUAUUAUCUUUGUGAAAGUGCGACAAAUGCGCUGAUCGUGAGCGUCCUGAGAAUAAUAAUUCUAAUUGUUGUGCAUGUUGAUCCUGUGGCACUGAUAGAACGAGCGAAUGCAUUGCUUGUUUUAAGUAUAAAUUUCUGUUAAAGCUAAUUAAAUUUAAGUAAAGUGACCACUGACUCCUGUUAUUACAGUACCAAUACAGACCCGCUCGUGAACCGACGUGUCGCCGAGGGUGCAUCUUCUGCCGGGCGUGCAGCGGACAAGGGAGGGGUAGUAACUGUUGUCGCCUAUACACACUCAGCUUACUGUUGAAUCCAGUUCCCCAAGAGCUGAAAAAUGAACUGCUGCCGCCGCCUACACACUCGUUCACUCGAAGAGACUCCAAUGGCGAUCCGAGGGGUGAGCCUGCUAGAUAUGGACUUAAGCAAGGAGUUCCCCUUUGAGUUCGCCGUUCAGUCCUAUGGCCGCACCAAGUUGAAUGUGAUGUACACCAACGAUACAGACUCGGUGAAGCUCUGCCUCGCCUCAGUCCUAUGGCUGCACCAGGUUCUGGAGCAUUCGCCCGUUUCAUCGGCAGCGCCGACUGCACCUUCGCUAUGGUGGAGAGAAGGAAGAACGCGACAAUUCGGCCAUCUGGUGCAACAAGCUUGUCGACAUCCAGAAGCAAUACAAGAUCAUCAGCAACGGGCAGGAGAAGGACUCCGUGGUUGACCUCGCUGAGACCAUCAUCGACCCCUGAUACGCCAACAUGAAAGAAGACGACCUAAACACGUGGGAGGUACCUCUGAAUCUAGCCUACAUAACCUACGCGGCCAAGGACGCAUACGCAUGCUACGACAUGUACAGGCAGAUCUUUGACAUGAGGGCGUGUCUGCUUCCCGUAACCGACAAGUACACGGACAGCCGCAGCGUCAUGAUCAAGCGUGCCAGGAAGGUCUAGAUGUUGUACUUUAUCUGUUUAUAAGCACCUUUAUCAUCUGAGUGUUUCAUGCAUUAGCCUAUGUGUCGUAAUUAUCUGUUUUGUCCGAAAUAUUUCUUUUAAGAACCCCUUAACCUGAUUACUUUUUUUAGUGGCUAUUUGCUUAUGUAUGUAAACUAGUUCACUUGUUCGUAAAAAAAACUAGUUCACUCGGCUGCCGUGCUUUGAAUCUCCUUCCUCCCAACAUAUUCCCCUCCUCAGGUGGACCUAGUAGGUCUCUGAAUUUUCUCCCACUUUCUUUUUCGAUGUAAACUGAGUUUUCUCCCAGUACUUUCCCCUAGAACCAACUCAACUGUCCCACAUCUAGCCUAAAAAAUAAUAAUACCCCACGUACUAUUAACUCAUCAAAUUAAAAUGAUAUUUUAUUUCGUAAGUUGAAAGUUCUUACAAAAUAAUAAUAAUAAUUGUUUAUAUAUAACUUGGCAAGUUAACUCCUAGUGAUUGCGUACAUAAGCUUGCAAAGAUUUUACUGACGUGCAAUGAUGUGUUUAUGUUUUUAUAACAUUUCUCAGUCUAGCCCAACAUGAUAUUUUCACCCAGCCCAGCAAGUCCGCGGAUUUCGAGAAAAAUGCAAAUGGGAUUUAAACGGGCUGCAUAGAUGCUACAUCAUUGUUUCACCCAGCCCACCAAAUGGACUAAAAAAACAAAUGGGAUGGCUGACAUGUGGGCCAGUAGGUCGAAGCCUAAGAAGGCGUUGGAUUUACAUCCAACGGCCGGCAUCUUCAAUCUCUCGUCUUCUUCCCCCAGCGCUGCUGGAACCGCCUGCUCCAGCCUUCGGCGUCCAGCGGCGUUGUUUUGCGCUCCUCAGCGAAACGCUACCCCGCCGACGGCCAGGCCAUCCCUCCACUCCGCACCUCCUGUUAUUCUCUGCCGAGUGUAGGCCCACCCCGCACCCGAACCAGUCAAGUUUCCCACUCCUCUCCGUCUGCGACUCCACUGCCGCGUCUUCCCCAUCUCCGGGUCGUUCCAGUUUGGGGCCUCGCCGUCGUCCACCGCCUCGGUGCGCUCGGCACGGCGUGGUCAACAUACGAGAGUCAUCGGAAGAGGACUGUACGUGGAGUGCCUGACGGCUGGGACCCACGAGGUCCAUGGUCGCACGCAAGGAAAGUUCCUCCUUAUUACGCACUGUACGUGCACUGUACGUGGGAAGGGCUUCUGUAUUUCGCGAAAAAAACGUUCCCCCCGCUGAUAGGUCGGACCCACCAGCUAUAUCUUCGCACGCAAGGAACUGCCUCCUUAUUACGCACCAAAAAAUGAAUACCCCUGCUAGCUGGGACCCACCAUAGUGGGUGGCUGACUUGUGGGCCUACUAAGUUGACGAGGACGGAGGGCUUUGCCAACUUAGUCAAUAUGAACGAUUCUAGCUCCAGUGACCGUACGAUGUCCAUCCAACGGCCAUAGUGCUUCUUCAACCUCUGGUCUUCUUGCUCCAGCCGCCCAAAGCAGCGCCGGUCGUGCCGCGUGCUCCUGCCUCUCGUGGCCGGCUGUGAUGUCGCGGAGGCCUCACCGCCCCCUACUACUCCCACAGCUGGCCCAGGGUAUCCCUCUACUCACCCACACCCCCUGUUAUUCCGCGGCGACGGCAGCCUCACGCCGCAGCCGAACCAGUGAACCCUCGUACUCCUCUCCGCGUGGGGCAUCCACUGCCGCGUCUUCCCCGGCUCCGCGUCGUCCCCUUCCUAGGCCUCGCCAUCGUCCACCGCCUUGGUGCUCUCGGCGCGGCGUGGUCAAUGUGGUCAAAGACCGACUUCCAUCGGAAGAGUACUGUACGUGGAGAGGAUAACAGCUGGGUCCACGGCCACAGCCCAGUUUUCUUGUGAUUUGCCAAGUAAGUCGCUUUGUCAGGCCUGUUGGGCUGCAAAUCUUUCAAGACGGGGAGAGCUUCAUUCGGCUGGCCGAGAAAAUGGCCUAUCAGUAAUGAGAAAUGGGUUGUACAUUUUUAAAACACAUCAAACCGGCAAUUAGUUUCAAAUAUCUUUUUUUUCAUUUCGAGAUUUAAAAUUACAUUAAUUUUUAUGCGUGGAGAAUUUGUUGGAUUUUAUAUUGAUAUACAUUUAUUUUUAAAAUCGGUUUGAAUGUGAGUCGAAAUUUCGGGAUUAAAAACAGUUCGAACCGCACCAAAAUAUGCAAAAUUUCGUAUAAUUUUUUAACCGUGGCCACAAUAUGGGCUGUAAUGCUAACAAAAGAAUAUGGGCUCCAAAAAAACCUUAAUAAUUAGCAAAUGGGCUGUAAAUUAUUAGAAAUAAUGGCAGAUGGGUUGUAUGCUGUUUUCCACAGAUUUGAGGCUUUCCUAAAAAAAGGUUGACGCACAAGCAGUGACUGUUGGAUGUCCAUCGAACGGCCGCCGUGCUUCUUCACUCUCUGCUCUUCCUGCUCCAGCCGCUCAAACAAGCGCCGGCGGGACUGCCUGCUCCCUCCUCCCCGCGGCCGGCUCUGCUGCCGCGCAGGCCUCACCGCCCCACCGUACUCCCAUCGCUGGCCUAGCCAUCCCUCUACUCACCCACACCUGCUGUUAUUCUCCGGCGACGGCAGACGAACCAGUAAACCCUCGUACAGUCGUACUCCCCUCCGCGUGGGAAACAACUGCCGAGUCUUCCCUGCCUCCGUGUCGUUCCCUUCCUAGGCCUCGCCGUCGUCCACCGCCCUGGUGCUCUCGGUGCGGCCUGGUCAACGUGGUCAACGACCGACAUGCAUCUGAAGUGGACUGUUCGUGGAGAGGCCGACAGCUGGGUCCACGGCCGCACGCAAGGAAAUGCCUCCUUAUUACGCGCAAAAUAAUGAUUCCUCCACCUGACAUCAGGGACCCACCGAAAGGGCCUCUGUAUUUCGCGAAAAAAACGUUACCGUCGCUGACAGCUCGGACCCACCAGCUAUAUCUUCGCACGCAAGGAAGUGCCUCCUUAUUACGCACAAAAAAUGAAUACUCCCCCUGCUAGCUGGGACCCACCAUGGUGGGAGGCUGACUUGUGGGCCUACUAAGUUGACUGGGACGGGGGCCUUUGUCAACUUUAGUCAAUAUGAACGAUUCUAGCUCCAGUGACCGUACGAUGUCUAUCCAACGACCGUAGUGCUUCUUCAACCUCUGGUCUUCUUGCUCCAGCUGCCCAAAGCAGCGCCGGUCGUGCCGCAUGCUCCUGCCUCCCGUGGUCGGCUCUGCUGACGCUGAGACCUCACCGCCCCUACUAUUCCCACCGCUGGCCAGGCCCUGCGGCGACGGCAGCCUCACACCGCAACCGAACCAGUGAACCCUCGUACUCCUCUCCGCGCGGGCUUCCACUGCCGCGUCUUCUCCAUCUCCGUGUCGUCCCCUUCCUAGGCCUCGCCGUCGUCCACCGCCGUGGUGCUCUCCGCGUGGCGUGGUCAACGUGGUCAAGGAACGACUUCCAUCGGAAGAGUACUGUACGUGGAGAGGCUGACAGCUGGGUCCGAGGCCACAGCCCAGUUUUUUUGUGAUUUGCCAAGUAAGUCGCUUUGUCAGGCCUGUUGGGCUGCAAAUCUUUCAAGACGAGGAGAGCUUUCAUUCGGCUGGCCGAGAAAAUGGCCCAUCAGUAAUGAGAAAUGGGAUGUACAUUUUUAAAACACAUAUUAGUUUCAAAUAUCUUUUUUUCAUUUCAAGAUUUUAAAUUACAUUAAUUUUUAUGCGUGGAGAAUUUGUUUGAUUUUAUAUUGAUAUACAUUUAUUUUUAAAAUCAGUUUGAAUGUGAGUCGAAAUUUCGGGAUUAAAAACAGUUCGGACCGCACCGAAAUAUGCAAAAUUUAUAUAAUUUUUUAACCGUGGCCACAAUAUGGGCUGUAAUGCUAACAAAAGAAUAUGGGCUCCAAAAAAAUCCUUAAUAAUUAGCAAAUGGGCUGUAAAUUAUUAGAAAUAAUGGCAGAUGGGCUGUAUGCUAUUUUCCACAGAUUUGAGACUUUCCUAAAAAAAGGUUGACACACAAGCAGUGACUGUUGGAUGGCCAUCCAACGGCCGUCGUGCUUCUUCAAUCUCUGCUCUUCCUGCUCCAGCCGCUCAAACAAGCACCGGCGGGACUGCCUGCUCCCUCCUCCCCGCGGCCGGCUCUGCUGCCGCGCAGGCCUCACCGCCCCACCGUACUCCCAUCGCUGGCCUAGCCAUCCCUCUACUCACCCACACCUGAUGUUAUUCUCCGGUGACGGCAGACGAACCAGUAAACCCUCGUACAGUCGUACUCCCCUCCGCGUGAGAAACAACUGCCGAGUCUUCCCUGCCUCCGUGUCGUUCCCUUCCUAGGCCUCGCCGUCGUGCACCGCCCUGUGUUGGUAAUCGUAGCAUAAUUUUAAAAUUUUCCUACGCUCACCAAGAUGCAUCUAUGGAGUAUACUAGCAACGAGGGGAAAGGAGUGCAUCUACAUACCCUUGUAGAUCGCGAGCGGAAGCGUUCCAAUGAACGUGGAUGACGGAGUCGUACUCGCCGUGAUUCAAAUCACCGAUGACCGAGUGCCGAACGGACGGCACCUCCGCGUUCAACACACGUACGGUGCAGCGACGUCUCCUCCUUCUUGAUCCAGCAAGGGGGAAGGAGAGUUUGAUGGAGAUCCAGCAGCACGACGGCGUGGUGGUGGAUGUAGCGGGAUGCCGGCAGGGCUUCGCCGAGCUUCUAUGAGAGAGAGAGGUGUAGCAGGGGAGGAGGGAGGCGCCCAAGGCUGUGAUGUUGCUGCCCUCCUUCCCCCCCCCUUUAUAUAGGCCCCUUGGGAGGGGGGCGCCGGCCAAACCCCAUCUAGAUGGGGGGCGGCGGCCAAGGGGGGUGCCUUGCCCCCCAAGGCAAGUGGGAAGCCCCCCCCCCCACCCUAGGGUUUCCAACCCUAGGCGCAGGGGGGAGGCCCAUGGGGGGGCCGCCCAGCCCACUAGGGGCUGGUUCCCUUCCCACUUCAGCCCACGGGGCCCUCCGGGAUAGGUGGCCCCACCCGGUGGACCCCCGGGACCCUUCCGGUGGUCCCGGUACAAUACCGGUAACCCCCGAAACUUUCCCGGUGGCCGAAACUUGACUUCCUAUAUAUAAUUCUUCACCUCCGGACCAUUCCGGAACUCCUCGUGACAUCCGGAUCUCAUCCGGGACUCCGAACAACUUUCGGGUAUCCGCAUACACAUAUCUCUACAACCCUAGCGUCACUGAACCUUAAGUGUGUAGACCCUACGGGUUCGGGAGACAUGCAGACAUGACCGAGACGCCUCUCCGGUCAAUAACCAAUAGCGGGAUCUGGAUACCCAUGUUGGUUCCCACAUGUUCCACGAUGAUCUCAUCGGAUGAACCACGAUGUCGAGGAUUCAAUCAAUCCCGUAUACAAUUCCCUUUGUCAAUCGGUAUGUUACUUGCCCGAGAUUCGAUCGUCGGUAUCCCAAUACCUUGUUCAAUCUCGUUACCGGCAAGUCUCUUUACUCGUACCGCAAUGCAUGAUCCCGUGACUAACGCCUUAGUCACAUUGAGCUCAUUAUGAUGAUGCAUUACCGAGUGGGCCCAGAGAUACCUCUCCGUCACACGGAGUGACAAAUCCCAGUCUCGAUCCGUGCCAACCCAAUAGACACUUUCGGAGAUACCCGUAGUGCACCUUUAUAGUCACCCAGUUACGUUGGUGCACCCAAAGCACUCCUACGGUAUCCGGGAGUUGCACGAUCUCAUGGUCUAAGGAAAAGAUACUUGACAUUGGAAAAGCUCUAGCAAACGAAACUACACGAUCUUUUAUGCUAUGCUUAGGAUUGGGUCUUUGUCCAUCACAUCAUUCUCCUAAUGAUGUGAUCCCGUUAUCAACGACAUCCAAUGUCCAUAGUCAGGAAACCAUGACUAUCUGUUGAUCAACGAGCUAGUCAACUAGAGGCUUACUAGGGACACGUUGUGGUCUAUGUAUUCACACAUGUAUUACGAUUUCCGGACAAUACAAUUAUAGCAUGAACAAUAGACAAUUACCAUGAACAAAGAAAUAUGAUAAUAACCAUUUAUUAUUGCCUCUAGGGCAUAUUUCCAACAGUCUCCCACUUGCACUAGAGUCAAUAAUCUAGUUACAUUGUGAUGAAUCGAACACCCAUUGCGUCCUGGUGUUGAUCAUGUUUUGCUCUAGGGAGAGGUUUAGUCAACGGAUCUGCUACAUUCAGGUCCGUAUGUACUUUACAAAUAUCUAUGUCUCCAUUUUGAACACUUUCACGAAUGGAGUUGAAGGGACGCUUGAUAUGCCUGGUCUUCCUGUGAAAUCUGGGCUCCUUCGCAAGGGCAAUAGCUCCAGUGUUGUCACAGAAGAGAGUCAUCGGGCCCGACGCAUUGGGAAUCACCCCUAGGUCGGUAAUGAACUCCUUCAUCCAGACUGCUUCCUGUGCUGCCUCCGAGGCUGCCAUGUACUCCGCUUCACAUGUAGAUCCCGCCACGACGCUUUGCUUGCAACUGCACCAGCUUACUGCUCCUCCAUUCAAAAUAUACACGUAUCCGGUUUGUGACUUCGAGUCAUCCAGAUCUGUGUCGAAGCUAGCGUCGACGUAACCCUUUACGACGAGCUCUUCGUCACCUCCAUAAAUGAGAAACAUAUCCUUAGUCCUUUUCAGGUACUUCAGGAUAUUCUUGACCGUUGUCCAGUGUUCCAUGCCAGGAUUACUUUGGUACCUUCCUACCAAACUUACGGCAAGGUUUACAUCAGGUGUGGUACAUAGCAUGGCAUACAUAAUAGACCCUAUGGCCGAGGCAUAGGGGAUGACACUCAUCUUUUCUCUAUCUUCUGCCGUGGUCGGGCAUUGAGCCGUGCUCAAUUGCACACCUUGCAAUACAGGCAAGAACCCCUUCUUGGACUGAUCCAUUUUGAACUUCUUCAAUAUCUUGUCAAGGUAUGUACUCUGUGAAAGACCAAUGAGGCGUCUUGACUAUCUCUAUAGAUCUUGAUGCCUAAUAUAUAAGCAGCUUCUCCAAGGUCCUUCAUUGAAAAACACUUAUUCAAAUAGGCCUUUAUACUUUCCAAGAAUUCUAUAUCAUUUCCCAUCAAUAGUAUGUCAUCCACAUAUAAUAUGAGAAAUGCUACAGAGCUCCCACUCACUUUCUUGUAAACACAGGCUUCUCCAUAAGUCUGUGUAAACCCAAACGCUUUGAUCAUCUCAUCAAAGCGAAUGUUCCAACUCCGAGAUGCUUGCACCAGCCCAUAAAUUGAGCGCUGGAGCUUGCAUACUUUGUUAGCAUUCUUAGGAUCGACAAAACCUUCCGGCUGCAUCAUAUACAACUCUUCCUUAAGGAAGCCAUUAAGGAAUGCCAUUUUGACGUCCAUCUGCCAUAUCUCAUAAUCAUAGUAUGCGGCAAUUGCUAACAUGAUUCGGACGGACUUCAGCUUCGCUACGGGUGAGAAAGUCUCAUCGUAGUCAACCCCUUGAACUUGUCGAUAACCCUUAGCGACAAGUCGAGCCUUAUAAAUGGUCACAUUACCAUCCGCGUCUGUCUUCUUCUUAAAGAUCCAUUUGUUUUCUAUGGCUCGCCGAUCAUCGGGCAAGUCAGUCAAAGUCCAUACUUCAUUUUCAUACAUGGAUCCUAUCUCGGAUUUCAUGGCUUCUAGCCAUUUGUCAGAAUCCGGGCCCGCCAUCGCUUCUUCAUAGUUCGAAGGUUCACCGUUGUCUAACAACAUGAUUUCCAGGACAGGGUUGCCGUACCACUCUGGUGCGGAACGUGUCCUUGUGGACCUACGAAGUUUAGUAGUAACCUUAUCCGAAGCUUCAUGAUCAUCAUCAUUAACUUCCUCCCCAGUCGGUGUAGGCACCACAGGAACAUUUUCCCGCGCUGCGCUACUUUCCGGUUCGGAAGGGGUGACUAUCACCUCAUCAAGUUCCACUUUCCUCCCACUCAAUUCUUUCGAGAGAAACUCCUUCUCCAGAAAGGACCCGUUCUUGGCAACGAAGAUCUUGCCCUCGGAUCUGAGGUAGAAGGUAUACCCAAUAGUUUCCUUAGGGUAUCCUAUGAAGACGCAUUUUUCCGACUUGGGUUCGAGCUUUUCAGGUUGAAGUUUCUUGACAUAAGCAUCGCAUCCCCAAACUUUUAGAAACGACAGCUUAGGUUUCUUCCCAAACCAUAAUUCAUACAGUGUCGUCUCAAUGGAUUUCGACGGAGCCCUAUUUAAAGUGAAUGCGGCAGUCUCUAAAGCAUAGCCCCAAAAUGAGAGCGGUAAAUCGGUAAGAGACAUCAUAGAUCGCACCAUAUCCAAUAGAGUGCGAUUACGACGUUCGGACACACCGUUUCGCUGAGGUGUUCCAGGCGGCGUGAGUUGUGAAACUAUUCCACAUUUCCUUAAGUGUGCACCAAAUUCGUGACUUAAAUAUUCUCCACCACGAUCUGAUCAUAAGAAUUUUAUUCUCCUGUCACGUUGAUUCUCAACCUCACUCUGAAAUUCCUUGAACUUUUCAAAGGUUUCAGACUUGUGUUUCAUUAGGUAGAUAUACCCAUAUCUACUUAAGUCAUCAGUGAGAGUGAGAACAUAACGAUAUCCUCCGCGAGCCUCAACACUCAUUGGACAGCACACAUCGGUAUGUAUGAUUUCCAAUAAGUUGGUUGCUCGCUCCAUUGUUCCGGAGAAUGGAGUCUUGGUCAUCUUACCCAUGAGGCAUGGUUCGCACGUGUCAAAUUAUUCGUAAUCAAGAGACUCCAAAAGUCCAUCUGCAUGGAGCUUCUUCAUGCGCUUGACACCAAUGUGACCAAGGCGGCAGUGCCACAAGUAUGUGGGACUGUCGUUAUCAACUUUACAUCUUUUGGUAUUCACACUAUGAACAUGUGUAACAUCACGUUCGAGAUUCAUCAAAAAUAAACCAUUGACCAGCGGGGCAUGACCAUAAAACAUAUCUCUCAAAUAAAAAGAACAACCAUUAUUCUCGGAUUUAAAUGAGUAGCCAUCUCGAAUUAAACGAGAUCCAAAUACAAUGUUCCUGCUCAAAGCUGGCACUAAAUAACAAUUAUUGAGGUUUAAAACUAAUCCCGUGGGUAGAUGCAGAGGUAGCGUGCCGACGGCGAUCACAUCGACCUUGGAACCAUUCCCGACGCGCAUCGUCACCUCGUGCUUCGCCAGUCUCCGUUUAUUCCGUAGUUCCUGUUUUGAGUUACAAAUAUGAGCAACCGCACCGGUAUCAAAUACCCAGGAGCUACUACGAGUACUGGUAAGGUACACAUCAAUUACAUGUAUAUCACAUAUACCUUUGGUGUUGCCGGCCUUCUUGUCCGCUAAGUAUUUGGGGCAGUUCCGCUUCCAGUGACCACUUCCCUUGCAAUAAAAGCACUUAGUUUCAGGCUUGGGUCCAUUCUUUGACUUCUUCCCAGUAACUGGUUUACCGGGCGCGGCAACUCCCUUGCUGUCCUUCUUGAAGUUCUUCUUACCCUUGCCCUUCUUGAACUUAGUGGUUUAUUCACCAUCAACACUUGAUGUUCUUUUCUGAUUUCCACCUCCGCUGAUUUCGGCAUCGAAUAUACCUCAGGAAUGGUCUUUUCCAUCCCCUGCAUAUUGUAGUUCAUCACAAAGCUCUUGAAGCUUGGUGGAAGCGACUGAAGGAUUCUGUCAAUGACCGCGUCAUCCGGGAGAUUAACUCCCAGCUGAGUCAAGCGGUUGUGCAACCCAGACAUUCUGAGUAUGUGCUCACUUACAGAACUAUUUUCCUCCAUUUUAGAGCUGAAGAACUUGUCGAAGACUUCAUAUCUCUCGACUCGGGCAUGAGCUUGGAAAACCAAUUUCAGCUCCUCGAACAUCUCAUAUGCUCCAUGUUUCUCAAAACGCUUUUGGAGACCCGGUUCUAAGCUGUAAAGCAUGCCGCACUGAACGAGGGAGUAAUCAUCAGCACGUGAUUGCCAAGCGUUCAUAACGUCUCGGUUCUCAGGGAUUGGUGCUUCACCUAGCGGUGCUUCUAAGACAUAAUCUUUCUUGGCUACUAUGAGGAUGAUCCUCAGGUUCCGGAACCAGUCCGUAUAGUUGCUGCCAUCAUCUUUCAGCUUGGUUUUCUCUAGGAACGCAUUGAAAUUGAGGACAACAUUGGCCAUUUGAUCUACAAGACAUAGUGUAAAGAUUUUAGACUAAGUUCAUGAUAAUUAAGUUCAUCUAAUCAAAUUAUUUAAUGAACUCCCACUCAGAUAGACAUCCCUCUAGUCAUCUAAGUGAAACAUGAUCCGAGUUAACUAGGCCGUGUCCGAUCAUCACGUGAGACGGACUAGUCAAGAUCGGUGAACAUCUCCAUGUUGAUCGUAUCUUCUAUACGACUCAUGCUUGACCUUUCGGUCCUCCGUGUUCCGAGGCCAUGUCUGUACAUGCUAGGCUCGUCAAGUCAACCUAAGUGUAUUGCAUGUGUUCCGAGGCCAUGUCUGUACAUGCUAGGCUCGUCAACACCCGUUGUAUUCGAACGUUAGAAUCUAUCACACCCGAUCAUCACGUGGUGCUUCGAAACAACGAACCUUCGCAACGGUGCACAGUUAGGGGGAACACUUUUCUUGAAAUUAUCAUAAGGGAUCAUCUUACUUACUACCGUCGUUCUAAGCAAAUAAGAUGCAAAAACAUGAUAAACAUCACAUGCAAUCAAAUAGUGACAUGAUAUGGCCAAUAUCAUUAUGCUCCUUUGAUCUCCAUCUUCGGGGCACCAUGAUCAUCUUCGUCACCGGCAUGACACCAUGAUCUCCAUCAUUGUGUCUUCAUGAAGUCGUCACGCCAACGAUUACUUCUACUUCUAUGGCUAAUGCGUUUAGCAACAAAGUAAAGUAAUUUACAUGGCGUUAUUCAAUGACACGCAGGUCAUACAAAAUAAUAAAGACAACUCCUAUGGCUCCUGCCGGUUGUCAUACUCAUCGACAUGCAAGUCGUGAUUCCUAUUACAAGAAUAUGAUCAAUCUCAUACAUCACAUAUAUCAUUCAUCACAUCUUCUGGCCAUAUCACAUCACAUAGCACUUGCUGCAAAAACAAGUUAGACGUCCUCUAAUUGUUGUUGCAAGUUUUUACGUGGUUUGUAGGUUUCUAGCAAGAACGAUUUCUUACCUACGUAUGACCACAACGUGAUUUGCCAAUUUCUAUUUACCCUUCAUAAGGACCCUUUUCAUCGAAUCCGUUCCGACUAAAGUAGGAGAGACAGACACCCGCUAGCCACCUUAUGCAACUAGUGCAUGUCAGUCGGUGGAACCUGUCUCACGUAAGCGUACGUGUAAGGUCGGUCCGGGCCGCUUCAUCCUACAAUGCCGCCGAAACAAGAAACGACUAGUAGCGGCAAGAAGAAUUGGCAACAUCAACGCCCACAACUUCUUUGUGUUCUACUCGUGCAUAGUAACUACGCAUAGGCCUGGCUCAUGAUGCCACUGUUGGGAAUCGUAGCAUAAUUUAAAAUUUUCCUACGCUCACCAAGAUGCAUCUAUGGAGUCUACUAGCAAUGAGGGGAAAGGAGUGGAUCUACAUACCCUUGUAGAUCGCGAGCGGAAGCGUUCCAAUGAACGUGGAUGACGGAGUCGUACUCGCCGUGAUCCAAAUCACCGAUGACCGAGUGCCGAACGGACGGCACCUCCGCGUUCAACACACGUACGGUGCAGCGACGUCUCCUCCUUUCUUGAUCCAGCAAGGGGGGAGGAGAGGUUGAUGGAGAUCCAACAGCACGACGGCGUGGUGGUGGAUGUAGCGGCUCUCCGGCAGGGCUUCGCCGAGCUUCUGCGCGCGAGAGAGAGGUGUUGCAGGGGAGGAGGGAGGCGCCAAAGGCUGUAGUGUGCUGCCCUCCCUCCCCCCCUUUAUAUAGGCCCCCAAGGGGGGUGCGCAGCCCUUGGAGAUGGGAUCUCCAAGGGGGGGCGGCGGCCAAGGGGGAAGGGGUUGCCUUGCCCCCCAAGGCAAGGGGAAACUCCCCCCUAGGGUUCCCAACCCUAGGCGCAUGGGGGGGAGGCCCAAAGUGGCGCCCCAGCCCAUCAGGGGCUGGUUCCCCUCCACUUUCAGCCCACGGGGCCCUCCGAGACAGGUGGCCCCACCCGGUGGACCCCCGGGACCCUUCCGGUGGUCCCGGUACAAUACCGAUAACCCCCGAAACUUUCCCGGUGGCCAAAACUGGACUUCCUAUAUAUAAUUCUUCACCUCCGGACCAUUCCGGAACCUCUCGUGACGUCCGGGAUCUCAUCCGGGACUCCGAACAACUUUCGGGUUUCCGCAUACAUAUAUCUCUACAACCCUAGCGUCACCGGACCUUAAGUGUGUAGACCCUACGGGUUCGGGAGACAUGCAGACAUGACCGAGACGCCUCUCCGGUCAAUAACCAACAGCGGGAUCUGGAUACCCAUGUUGGCUCCCACAUGUUCCACGAUGAUAUCAUCGGGUGAACCACGGUGUCGAGGAUUCAAUCAAUCCGUAUGCAAUUCCCUUUGUCAAUCGGUAUGUUACUUGCCCGAGAUUCGAUCGUCGGUAUCCCAAUACCUUGUUCAACCUCGUUACCGGCAAGUCUCUUUACUCGUACCGCAAUGCAUGAUCCCGUGACUAACGCCUUAGUCACAUUGAGCUCAUUAUGAUGAUGCAUUACCGAGUGGGCCCAGAGAUACCUCUCCGUUUACACGGAGUGACAAAUCCCAGUCUCGAUCCGUGCCAACCCAACAGACACUUUCGGAGAUACCCGUAAUGCACCUUUAUAGUCACCCAGUUACGUUGUGACGUUUGGCACACCCAAAGCACUCCUACGGUAUCCGGGAGUUGCACGAUCUCAUGGUCCAAGGAAAAGAUACUUGACAUUGGAAAAGCUCUAGCAAACGAAACUACACGAUCUUUUAUGCUAUGCUUAGGAUUGGGUCUUGUCCAUCACAUCAUUCUCCUAAUGAUGUGAUCCCGUUAUCAAUGACAUCCUAUGUCCAUAGUCAGGAAACCAUGACUAUCUGUUGAUCAACGAGCUAGUCAACUAGAGGCUUACUAGGGACAGGUUGUGGUCUAUGUAUUCACACAUGUAUUACGAUUUCCGGACAAUACAAUUAUAGCAUGAAUAAAAGACUAUUAUCAUGAACACAGAAAUAUAAUAAUAACCAUUUAUUAUUGCCUCUAGGGCAUAUUUCCAACAUUUCGGUCCUCCGUGUUCCGAGGCCAUGUCUGUACAUGCUAGGCUCGUCAAGUCAACCUAAGUGUAUUGCGUGUGUUCCGAGGCCAUGUCUGUACAUGCUAGGCUCGUCAACACCCGUUGUAUUCGAACGUUAGAAUCUAUCACACCCGAUCAUCACGUGGUGCUUCGAAACAACGAACCUUCGCAACGGUGCACAGUUAGGGUGAACACUUUCUUGAAAUUAUUAUAAGGGAUCAUCUUACUUACUACCGUCGUUCUAAGCAAAUAAGAUGCAAAAACAUGAUAAACAUCACAUGCAAUCAAAUAGUGACAUGAUAUGGCCAAUAUCAUCAUGCUCCUUUGAUCUCCAUCUUCGGGGCACCAUGAUCAUCUUCGUCACCGGCAUGACACCAUGAUCUCCAUCAUCAUGAUCUCCAUCAUUGUGUCUUCAUGAAGUCGUCACGCCAACGAUUACUUCUACUUCUAUGGCUAACGCGUUUAGCAACAAAGUGAAGUAAAUUACAUGGCGUUAUUCAAUGACACGCAGGUCAUACAAAAUAAUAAAGACAACUCCUAUGGCUCCUGCCGGUUGUCAUACUCAUCGACAUGCAAGUCGUGAUUCCUAUUACAAGAAUAUGAUCAAUCUCAUACAUCACAUAUAUCAUUCAUCACAUCUUCUGGCCAUAUCACAUCACAUAGCACUUGCUGCAAAAACAAGUUAGACGUCCUCUAAUUGUUGUUGCAAGUUUUUACGUGGUUUGUAGGUUUCUAGCAAGAACGUUUCUUACCUACGUAUGACCACAACGUGAUUUGCCAAUUUCUAUUUACCCUUCAUAAGGACCCUUUUCAUCGAAUCCGUUCCGACUAAAGUAGGAGAGACAGACACCCGCUAGCCACCUUAUGCAACUAGUGCAUGUCAGUCGGUGGAACCUGUCUCACGUAAGCGUACGUGUAAGGUCGGUCCGGGCCGCUUCAUCCUACAAUACCGCCGAAACAAGAUACGACUAGUAGCGGCAAGAAGAAUUGGCAACAUCAACGCCCACAACUGCUUUGUGUUCUACUCGUGCAUAGUAACUACGCAUAGGCCUGGCUCUGAUGCCACUAUUGGUAAUCGUAGCAUAAUUUUAAAAUUUUCCUACGCUCACCAAGAUGCAUCUAUGGAGUAUACUAGCAACGAGGGGAAAGGAGUGCAUCUACAUACCCUUGUAGAUCGCGAGCGGAAGCGUUCCAAUGAACGUGGAUGACGGAGUCGUACUCGCCGUGAUUCAAAUCACCGAUGACCGAGUGCCGAACGGACGGCACCUCCGCGUUCAACACACGUACGGUGCAGCGACGUAUCCUCCUUCUUGAUCCAGCAAGGGGGAAGGAGAGGUUGAUGGAGAUCCAGCAGCACGACGGCGUGGUGGUGGAUGUAGCGGGAUGCCGGCAGGGCUUCGCCGAGCUUCUACGAGAGAGAGAGGUGUAGCAGGGGAGGAGGGGAGGAGGGAGGCGCCCAAGGCUGUGAUGUUGCUGCCCUCCCUCCCCCCCCCUUUAUAUAGGCCCCCUGGGAGGGGGGGCGCCGGCCAAACCCCAUCUAGAUGGGGGGGCGGCGGCCAAGGGGGGUGCCUUGCCCCCCCAAGGCAAGUGGGAAGCCCCCCCCCCACCCUAGGGUUUCCAACCCUAGGCGCAGGGGGGAGGCCCAUGGGGGGGCGCCCAGCCCACUAGGGGCUGGUUCCCUUCCCACUUCAGCCCACGGGGCCCUCCGAGAUAGGUGGCCCCACCCGGUGGACCCCCGGGACCCUUCGGAAGUCCCGGUACAAUACCGGUAACCCCCGAAACUUUCCCGGUGGCCGAAACUUGACUUCCUAUAUAUAAUUCUUCACCUCCGGACCAUUCCGGAACUCCUCGUGACGUCCGGGAUCUCAUCCGGGACUCCGAACAACUUUCGGGUUUUCGCAUACACAUAUCUCUACAACCCUAGCGUCACCGAACCUUAAGUGUGUAGACCCUACGGGUUCGGGAGACAUGCAUACAUGACUGAGACGCCUCUCCGGUCAAUAACCAACAGCGGGAUCUGGAUACCCAUGUUGGUUCCCACAUGUUCCACGAUGAUCUCAUCGGAUGAACCAUGAUGUCGAGGAUUCAAUCAAUCCCGUAUACAAUUCCCUUUGUCAAUCGGUAUGUUACUUGCCCGAGAUUCGAUCGUCGGUAUCCCAAUACCUUGUUCAAUCUCGUUACCGUCAAGUCUCUUUACUCGUACUGCAAUGCAUGAUCCCGUGACUAACGCCUUAGUCACAUUGAGCUCAUUAUGAUGAUGCAUUACCGAGUGGGCCCAGAGAUACCUCUCUGUCAUACGGAGUGACAAAUCCCAGUCUCGAUACGUGCCAACCCAACAGACACUUUCGGAGAUACCCGUAGUGCACCUUUAUAGUCACCCAGUUACGUUGUGACGUUUGGUGCACCCAAAGCACUCCUACGGUAUCCGGGAGUUGCACGAUCUCAUGGUCUAAGGAAAAGAUACUUGACAUUGGAAAAGCUCUAGCAAACGAAACUACACGAUCUUUUAUGCUAUGCUUAGGAUUGGGUCUUUGUCCAUCACAUCAUUCUCCUAAUGAUGUGAUCCCGUUAUCAACGACAUCCAAUGUCCAUAGUCAGGAAACCAUGACUAUCUGUUGAUCAACGAGCUAGUCAACUAGAGGCUUACUAGGGACACGUUGUGGUCUAUGUAUUCACACAUGUAUUACGAUUUCCGGACAAUACAAUUAUAGCAUGAACAAUAGACAAUUACCAUGAACAAAGAAAUAUAAUAAUAACCAUUUAUUAUUGCCUCUAGGGCAUAUUUCCAACACCCUGGUGCUCCCGGCACGGCCUGGUCAACGUGGUCAACGACCGACAUGCAUCUGAAGUGGACUGUUCGUGGAGAGGCCGACAGCUGGGUCCACGGCCGCACGCAAGGAAAUGCCUCCUUAUUACGCGCAAAAUAAUGAUUCCUCCACCUAACAUCAGGGACCCACCGAAAGGGCCUCUGUAUUUCGUGAAAAAAAAAGUUACCGCCGCUGACAGCUCGGACCCACCAGCUAUAUCUUCACACGCAAGGAAGUGCCUCCUUAUUACGCACAAAAAAAUGAAUACUCCCCAUGCUAGCUGGGACCCACCAUGGUGGGAGGCUGACUUGUGGGCCUACUAAGUUGACUGGGAUGGGGGCCUUUGUCAACUUUAGUCAAUAUGAACGAUUUUAGCUCCAGUGACCGUACGAUGUCCAUCCAACGGCCGUAGUGCUCCUUCAACCUCUGGUCUUCUUGCUCCAGGCGCCCAAAGCAGCGCCGGUUGUGCCGCAUGCUCCUGCCUCCCGUGGCCGGCUGUGCUGCCGCGGAGGCCUCACCGCCCCCUACUAUUCCCACCGCUGGCCAGGCCCUGUGGCGACGGCAGCCUCACACCGCAGCCGAACCAGUGAACCCUCGUACUCCUCUCCGCGCAGGCUUCCACUGCCGCGUCUUCCCCGGCUCCGCGUCGUCCCCUUCCUAGGCCUCGCCGUCGUCCACUGCCCUGGUGCUCUCGGUGCGGCGUGGUCAACGUGGUCAAGGAACGAUUUCCAUCGGACGUGGACUGUACGUGGAGAGGCUGACAGCUGGGUGCAUGGCCACAACCCAGUUUUUUUGUGCUUUGCCAAGUAAGUCGCUUUGUCAGGCCUGUUGGGCUGCAAAUCUUUCAAGACGAGAAAAGCUUUCAUUCGGCUGGCCAAGAAAAUGGCCCAUCAGUAAUGAGAAAUAGGCUGUACAUUUUUAAAACACAUCAAACCGGCAUUUAGUUUCAAAUAUCUUUUUUUUCAUUUUGAGAUUUUAAAUUACAUUAAUUUUUAUGCAUGGAGAAUUUGUUUGAUUUUAUAUUGAUAUACAUUUAUUUUUAAAAUCAGUUUGAAUGUGAGUCGAAAUUUCGGGAUUAAAAACAGUUCGGACCGCACCGAAAUAUGCAAAAUUUCGUAUAAUUUUUUAACCGUGGCCACAAUAUGGGCUGUAAUGUUAACAAAAGAAUAUGGGCUCCAAAAAAAUCCUUAAUAAUUAGCAAAUGGGCUGUAAAUUAUUAGAAAUAAUGGCAGAUGGGCUGUAUGCUAUUUUCCACAGAUUUGAGACUUUCCUAAAAAAAGGUUGACACACAAGCAGUGACUGUUGGAUGGCCAUCCAACGGCCGUCGUGCUUCUUCAAUCUCUGCUCUUACUGCUCCAGCCGCUCAAACAAGCGCCGGCGGGACUGCCUGCACCCUCCUCCCCGCGGCCGGCUCUGCUGCCGCGCAGGCCUCACCGCCCCACCGUACUCCCAUCGCUGGCCUAGCCAUCCCUCUUCUCACCCACACCUGCUGUUAUUCUCUGGCGACGGCAGACGAACCAGUAAACCCUCGUACAGUCGUACUCCCCUCCGCGUGGGAAACAACUGUCGAGUCUUCCCUGCCUCCGUGUCGUUCCCUUCCUAGGCCUCGCCGUCGUCCAGCGCCCUGGUGCUCUCGGCGCGGCCUGGUCAACGACCGACAUGCAUCUGAAGUGGACUGUACGUGGAGAGACCGACAGCUGGGUCCACGGCCGCACGCAAGGAAAUGCCUCCUUAUUACGCGCAAAAUAAUGAUUCCUCCACCUGACAUCAGGGACCCACCGAAAGGGCCUCUGUAUUUCGCGAAAAAAACGUUACCGCCGCUGACAGCUCGGACACACCAGCUAUAUCUUCGCACGCAAGGAAGUGCCUCCUUAUUACGCACAAAAAAAUGAAUACUCCCCCUGCUAGCUGGGACCCACCAUGGUGGGAGGCUGACUUGUGGGCCUACUAAGUUGACUGGGACAGGGCCUUUGUCAACUUUAGUCAAUAUGAACGAUUCUAGCUCCAGUGACCGUACGAUGUCCAUCCAACGGCCGUAGUGCUUCUUCAACCUCUGGUCUUCUUGCUCCAGCCGCCCAAAGCAGCGCCGGUCGUGCCGCAUGCUCCUGCCUCCCGUGGCCGGCUGUGCUGCCGCGGAGGCCUCAUCGCCCCUACUAUUCCCACCGCUGGCCAGGCCCUGCGGCGACGGCAGCCUCAGACCGCAGCCGAACCAGUGAACCCUCGUACUCCUCUCCGCGCGGGCUUCCACUGCCGCGUCUUCCCCGGCUCCCCGUCAUCCCCUUCCUAGGCCUCGCCGUCGUCCACCGCCCUGGUGCUCUCGGUGCGGCGUGGUCAACGUGGUCAAGGAACGACUUCCAUCGGACGUGGAGUGUACGUGGAGAGGCUGACAGCUGGGUCCACGGCCGCAGCAAGGAAGUGCCUCCUUAUUACGCGGAAAAUAAUGAUUCCUCCACUUGACAGCUGGGACCCACCGGACAGGCCACUGUAUUUCGCGAAAAAAACAUUUCCCCCUGACUGCUAGGACCCACCAGCUACAUCUUCGCACGCAAGGAAGUGCGUCCGGGCAAAAAAAAUGAUUCGCCCCCCUGACUGCUGGGACCCACCAGCUACAUCUUCGCAGGCAAGGAAGUGCCUGACAGUCGGGACCCACCUGAUCGAAGCGUACGUAGCAUUGUCAUUCUGGUCGCGAACGUGUACGUACAUACUGGUCGAUGUGGAGGUGCGCACGUAUCGUAGUAGAGGCGCACACGUAGCAUGUACACGAUCGAUCGCUCGAUCGGGUUCAGGUAACAGCCAUCGAUCGAUCGCUCGGAUUCAGUAACGCGUAGCCUGCAGUGCAAUCACUCGGGUUCAGUUAGAGCCCAACGCCUCGCUCGGGUUCAGUUAGAGCCAACGCCUCGCGCACACACACGCGUACGUGUACGAGAGAAACGCGCAUCGCUCUGCCCCCGACCUCCCACCGUAACCGGAAACUCCCCGAAAUUUUCCUCGCCCUCGCUUCUACCACGGUUUUUUCCGUCAUGGAUGGCCCAAAGAAUGUCAUGCAGCUGCGUCUCCGGCCCGCCCAGACGAAAAGUUCAUUUUCUGUCAUGAUUUUUUGUCAUAGAAGUAGGAGCCCACCACAUCUAUGAUGAUACCGGGUUUUGUCAUAAUUAUCGUCAUAGAAGUGUCAUAUGUAUGACAGAAAAAAAAUUGUUCGGCCCAAAAUGUCACGGAUGUGUCUUUUUUUUUGUACUGAUAGGCAAAUGAUACAACAUGUAUUAUUAUAUCUCAAGCAGGCAGCAAGAUGGCAUUCAUCAUGAUAUCUUUUAUUGUAGCAACGAAAGAAAAUAGACACAAGCACAUGAACAAACUAACACACUGGUUUGGAUACUCUCAAUGGGAUCCAGUUUUAUUGAACACGAAGGCGAGACAUAACUUUGGCCUGUGAAAUUUCAGACCAUGCAUAUGCAUUAUUAGUCAUCAAGAUCAAGGGAUGCCAGUAGAGCAUCCCCCUUACAUAAACUAUCACAAGCAUCACCGCAGAGUUUCACAUAGAGUUUCAUCUCUUCACUGUUGGUAGCUGGUGCCAAAAAAACAUAGUGCUCGCCAAUUACUAACUUUUCAAUUAGUUUGCAUGUACAAAUGAAAUAUAAAUAUAUUCAGAUGGAUUUUAUUUACCUAUGUUGACCAUGACCAUGUUGUCACACACGGAAGACCUACAUUCUAAGCUGCAAUACUCAAUGGUGUUUAGUUCAUCUGCAAAACGAAAUAGAUCUGUAUUAGGUAUUUUCACAACUACUUUUUGGGUUCAUGGAAACAUUAUUCAUGGCAAAUAUGAUCAUACGAAUAUCAUCUAAACAAAUUAAUGAUAGUUUAUAUUAUGUUAGUGGGUAAACUUGUGAAAAAUAUAAUUUCACCGUACUCUUUUAGGAUCAUGUCUACUUCAAAAAAGAGAUAGUAUAUACUUCCUUCGUCCCAAUGGGACAGAGAGAGUAGUAUAUACCCCGUCGCAUAUCAAUUGUCGCUCAAACAUAUGUAUUUAUACGUAUUUUGGUGCUAGAUAGAUCCGAUUGAGCGGUAAUUAGUAUAUGAGACGGAGGGAGUAUAAAUAAAAAGUAGUAGUGAGUUGUGUGUCUUUACCGGAGCUGCGUACAAAGGCCAAGUCAGCGGGGAGGUGACAGCCACAGAAGUCUGUGCACUGAAACACUGUACUAGGACCCAGAAGGCAAGAAUGGUAGCAGGCCACUUAGAAGAUGCUCCCGCCGCAAUCCACGCCCUCUACAUGUUGCACCUGCUUCAGGACCAGCCCCUGCACGAGUAAACACACGAUCGCACUCCCCAGACCCCUCUUGCUUCCUCCCAUGGCUAUGGCUGCCGGGCUCUCUUGUACAAGGCACAGGUAAUGAUGGGGGAUUUGGUUCAAGGAGUGCUGAGGCUAGAUUUGGAUGGCUAUUAGUAUCGAUCUUUAUACUAGGAGAUGAUUGUCGUGGGAGUGUGGACAUGAGUACUGGUUGUUGCACGUGAAACCAAAGCAGAUCGGGGCCAUAGUUUCUUCUCCCACACGGGAUAAAAAAUUUGGAUCGACGGCGCGCACGGACAAAGUUGUGACCUGGGCGCACCUAUCCAGUAGGGAUGUUACGUGCACGCCGGCGCGUUUUUUUUUUUACUACAUUCUAGUAUUUCCUUCAUUUCUAAAUACAAGUCUUUUUAGAGAUUUUAAGAUAAAAUACAUACAAAGCAAAAUAAGUGAAUCUAUAUUUAAAAUACGUCCAUAUACAUUCAUAUAUAUUCCAUAUUGAAAUCUCUAAAAAGAUCGGGCUGCAUUUGGCAGCUCGGUAUUUUUGAAGUUUUCAAAGGAUAACAUGGUUUUGAAAAAAAAACUUUGGUUUUAAAUAUGUUGGAUUAUAGAUGGGCUUAUGCCCAUAUAAGACAAUAAUCCUUGGUUAGUCUCUAAGGCCCAUUUAGAUGCAUGGCAAAUGGUGGGAAGUUUAGUAUAGUAUCAUACUGCUAGUAGAGUGACUGUGAGACCAUUUUAUAAGAGAUGCUCUACUACAUGCCAUCGGGAGCACUCACUGAUUGGGAGCUUGGGAAGAGGAGUUGUACACGCGCGCUCCUCCCCCUCCGCAAGCCUCGCCUCGUCACAACAUGUGCGCGCCACGAGUUGCGGGAACGAGCCGAAGCUUAUUUUUGCUAGUCAGAAAUGGUUAAUUAAUCUCGGAUUAAUUGACGAGUCGCUAAGUAGUGCCACUGUCCAAGACGUCGGACCGUGGGCUGCUCGCGGACUCGGUCGUGGGCCAGGAACAAACAGAAAAAAAUUGACUCAAAUAAAAGAAGCAUUGUGACUUAGUAGAAUCAAUGAAAAGAAGGAUUCGGAACGUGAAAAUGCUUCGGCUGAAAAAGCCGAAUUAAGUAGUAUAUAUUCUAAAUCCAUCAAAUCCAAAGAGGCAAGCAUUAUUGAGAAAGGGCAUGGAAAACAUAACAAAACAGUCAUGCUUGUUUUUUUUCUGAAGUUAAUGAAACCUACUUCCUGCCCUAUAAGUUCCGUGCCAUAGAAGUUGACGAGCUUCAAUGACAACAACAAGUAGCCGAACAAAGUUUGGUUGACAAAGAUCUUCAAAGUAAUUAUGCAAACAAUCAAGAAAAAAGAUGAAGACAAGGCGUUGGGGGGUCAUCCAAAAGUGGAGCAAGAUAGUUUUCAAGUCAUGCAAUCAUUAUGCUCUCCCAACCUAUUUGAAGAGAUGUCUAGCAAGUAAUGACCUAUAUUAAGAUGUGGUCAUAACUUUGUUGGUGAUGCAUCUAUUAGAAAAAAAAAUCUUAUAAACAAUCUUGAGAGACCAAUGAAGAAGGGUAAUUUAUUUGUUAGCAGUAAGAUUGUUACAAAGCAUAUCGGUCAACAUGUUGUGCCAUUUAGAGUGACCGAUAGUGACUUAUUAUUGCAAUCAAAGUCGUCCCGAUUGGUUUAUUUAAAAUAUAUAUAUAAAUGAAAUGAAUGGAUUUGCUUGUUUCAUACUUAGCUUACAUUUGGUCUCAAAUGAGACAUGUAUGUUCUAACUAUUUUGGUUUCAAAAACAUAAAGCCAAGUUAGAAUUAUGUUGAGAAACCCGAUGCUAGUAUAAUUUCUUAUUCAAAACAUGUAUAGAAAAAUGUUUCUAAUGUAUAGGUAAAAUAUACAACAUUUAUGAAAAAAAAUAAACAUCAAAACAUAUAUAUGAAAAAAUGGUAAACGUGUAUAUUUUUUAUGAUGUAUAUAAAAAAUAUAGAUGGUGUAUGAAAACUGUAGACAUCAAAAUAUAUUUUUUGAAAAAAAUUGUGCAGUGUUAAAAAAUGUUUGUGCAACUUUUAAAAAAUGGUGAUAGCAUUUGAAAAAAAUGUUCAACACGUAAUUGAAAAACUGUUUAAUACAUAUGCGAACAACAAUGUUCAAAAACACGUGUUUGAAAAAAUGUUAAUCAUGUAUUUGAGAAAUGUUAAACAUAUAUAAAAUAAAUGUUUAUUCUCUUGAUGUAUACAAAAAAUAUAGAUAUCAACACUUGUACAUUUAAAAUAAUGUUAAUCAUGUAUUUAAAAAAUUGUUAAACUAAUAGAACAUCUUUUUUCCCCAACAAUUCUAAUUUAUACAAGCUUUUGGAUAAAUAUAUAUCAAAAGUGUCCGCCCGUUUAAGCGCAAGCGACUAGUUAUCAGCUAAUGGUAGACGGAGACAUGGUGAAAAUACGGAGGACUGCUAGACACAUGCAUCUGACUUGGGACUAGGGCAGUUACUUCUAUGCGUCGAACAUGUCCUUGAAUAUUGCAGAAAAUGGGCGGUUUCAUCUGAAGUAGUAGCCUGGACUUGUUUGAUCGAUGCCAUAAAUAUCAACUAAAUAUUCGAAAAGGAGGUAACCCUCUGCACAUCAACAGAAUACUGCAGAGAAGUGUUCACUGAAAAUGCGGAAAACAAGAUCCAUUUCACGGUUUACAUCACAGACAUCAAACAACUUGAGGUCAAGCCUAAAAUAAAUAAAUCAAAGACCAAAGAAUAUCUCUUGAGGCAUAUGCUCAUAGAGUUUAUAUCCAUAGGAAAAGGAUACAACAUAUAUUAUUAUAUCUCAGUCAUGGCAGUACAUCAAGCAGGCAUCAAUAUGACAUCCACCAUGAUAUCUUUUAUUGGAGCAACGAAAGAAAAUACACACAAGCACAUAAACAAACUGACACACUGGUUUGGAUACUCUCAAUGGGAUCCUGUUUUAUUGAACACGAUGGUGAGACAUAACUUUGACCUGUGAAAUCUAAGACCAAGCAUAUGCAUUAUUAGUCAUCAAGGGAUGCCAAGAGAGUAUCCCCCUUACAGAAACUGUCACAAGCAACACCGCAGCGUUUCACAUAGAGUUUCAUCUCUUCAGUACUGUUGUCAGCUGGUGCCAAAAUAGGAUAGUAUGCGUCAAGAACUAACUUUUCAAUUAGUUUGCAUGUACAAAUGAAAUAUAAAUAUACUCAGAUGGAUUUUAUUUACCUGUGUUGAUCAUGUUGUCACACACGGAAGACCUACAUCCCAAGCUGCAAUACUCAAUGGCGUUUGGUUCAUCUGCCAAAACGAAGUAGAUCUGAGAUAAACAAUUCCUCCGUUACAAUAUGUCGAUGUUUUGUGUAUGGGAUGGCCUCUAUCAUUCAUUCUUUAUUAGCUGUUUUCACAACAAUUUUUGGUAGAUUUUUUCUAGUAUAAUGAAAAAUCCUUCAUGUCAAAUCUUAUCAUACAAAUAUGAACUAACAAAUUCAGAAUAGUUUAUUGUAUUAAUAGCUAAACUUGGAAUUUUUUUUAGUUUGACAUUACACUUUUUUAGGAUCACAUCUACUUUGAAAAGGAGAUAGUAUAUAAAUUAGAAGUAGCGAGUUGUCUGUCUUUACCGGAGCUGCGUACAGAGGCCAGGCCCGCGGGGAGUCGACAAGCACAGAAGUCUGCGCACUGGAACACUGUACUAGGACCGAGAAGGCAAGAGUUGAAGCAGGCCACUUUGAAGGGGUUUGCGCCGCAGUCCACGCCCUCUACUUGCACCUGCUCCAGGACCAGCCCCAGCACCAGUAGGCACACGAUCGCACUCUCCAGACCCUUUUGGCCUCCUCCCAUGGCUAUGGUUGCCGGGCUCUCUUGCAGAAGGCACAAGUAUUAAUGGGGGCUUCUGGUUGAAGGACAGAUGAGACUAGAGUGAGUUCCAUGGCUCCUGGUAGGGAUUUUUAUACUAGGAGAUGAUGGUCGUGGGAGUGCCUAGAUGAGUACUGGUUGUUGCACGUGAAACCAAAGCACACCGGGGCCAUAGUGUCUUUUCUUCUCCCACACGGGGCAAAAAGUUGGAUCGAUGGCGCGCGGACAAAGUUGGCCGGAGCCGAAGACGGUGACAAUGCUGUGACCUGCGCGAAGCUAUCCAGUAGGAUGUUACGUGCAAGCCGGCGCUUUUUUUUAACUGCAUUUCUAUAAAAAAAUAUACGAUGAAAUACAUUUUUGACGUGAGGUACACAAACAAAAUAAAGUACAGUUUUGCUAAAGCACAUCUAGAUAUGCUCUAAGUAUUGCACAUCUAAAUCCUAUAUCAUUGAUAUUAUUCUAAGAUUCGUGCAAGCAUUUUUUUUCAAUAUUUUUUCUUUUUCUUUCUAGUUUGAUUGAGUCACUUAGAUGUGCAAUAACUACGGAAUGUAGAGUAUUUUAUGGCAUAAGAACAUUUUGUUUAGAUUUUUUUUUUGAAACUUUAAAAUCCGAUUUCGCUCUAGCAGGUCCUAUUUUGUCCCAGCAUGCAACUAUAUAUGGGGCGGGGUUUGGACAAAAUACAUUUUUUUUUGUCAAAAUGACUUGUGUGCCUGGGAAUAGAGGGGAAGUGCCGUAUUAUAUGCCGCCGAAAUACCUUUUUUUUUGUUGGGAACGAUACGUGCAUGCCAGAAAAACAUCUCUCUGCUGUACACAUGUGCAUGCCUUUGAGGUUUGAGCUGGCGAUGUAUAUCAAACAACGUGUGCCCAAUGUCACGUUGGUUUUUCGUGUGCAAGAUUUGUAGAUUGCUGAUCACGCUUGGCGCGGGAAGUUUUUCGUGUGCAGAUACAUGGCUUUAUAUGACAGGUAAACUAGAGCCUUGUCUUUCCCCCUAUACUACUCCUAUCUUUAACUUUAUAAGAGAAAAAUAUAUUUUUCGUCUUUUAACUCUUGGCAAAAUCUAGAUUUAGUCCUUUAACUUUAAAACCAAACAAGUUGCAUUCUAAACUUUUAAAACCGGUAAUACUAUCUUUUACGAAGAACAAUCCUACCUUGUUUACACGUCCACUAAAUGCACCAUUGUAAAUUACUUUGACCGGUUUAAAUGAAAAACAAGGCUGAAAACCAACAUGAGCCAACACCGACACCAACACAAACAUGCCAACACCAUCUAACAUGACCACAAUCCAGAGCGAUAGUAAGCAAGAUCUUCGAAGAUGACUUCAAGAAGAAAAAACAAUGCCUAAAGACGCCGCUGUCACCGGCAUCGACCCCCGUCAAUCAAUAAGCUUUCGCAUAGACCCACACAUGACCGCCCCACCAAACAUUGGGAUAGAUCAAUCCUAGCCAUUAGCCUCCGAUGCCAGUCCUCGCCGACCAGCCACAGAUCAGUGUGAAAAAGUACUCUUCGACAAUAUCUCCAAGAGGAGGAGGACGCCCAUGGGCGCCAACAUCACCGGCAACGACCCCCGACUGAGAACAAGGCUUUCGCCCAGAGUCUUAUGCCUCGCCCCCUCUGAUCCAAGGUGUUGGAAAUAUUGGCAAUUUACCAUAUGAUUUUAUUAACGGAAAUACUAGAUAAAGCAUGACUAAAGUAACAGAGAUAAAGCAAGUCAUGCGAUCUGACAAAGAGAAGGUAGAUAACAUCUGCAAAUAUAAACUAGAACCGAACAUCUCUAGAGUAGACAGUAGACCAAGUAGCAUAUAUGAAGUAGAACCUAUCAUGUGUAGGGCAAGGACUGGAACAAGGAACUGUGGCAGAACCUCUAACAGGAAAAACAAGAACACGUACGGGACAGCAGCUGCAACAGUAGCACUGGACUUGGGGUCGGUGUCCUCGGUAGCCAUGUCGUGGAGGAGGUUGUCAACGUCGGGGAAGUAGUCGUCGUCGGGGACGUAGUCGUCGGAGUCUGGGGUGUCCGUGACGAAGAAGUCAGUAGUCGCGCAGAGCGCUCCCCAAAAACCUUAUCACCCUUCUCCCGUACAGGACUCAAAGAGGUGCGGUUUCGGAGGCCUACUGUCCCGACCUGCGGUGCACGCCGCAAGCGGGAUGAGGAAGAUCGUAGCAGCAGCGCAGUGUUCAGGAACCGGUGGCGAGAGGAAGAAUGAGUUUUGGUACAUCUCUCUGAGAGGAGCGACCUUCCUUUUAUAGGCGCAAGAGAAGGAGGCGAGAGGCUGCGUUGGGAGCUGAAGGGAACGAGGGAGAUGAAACGAACAGAUAGCAGCCGAAGGGUGCAGCAUUCGUAUUCAAUAUCCACUACAGCAAAAACUUUCCAGCUCCCGAGUGACCUUUCGUAUACCCGUAGUGCGUGGAAAAAAUUUAGACAUCGGCUAAUUCCCGCAACCCGCGGCGUGACGAGGCGUGGCGGGGCGGGCGGCGGAGGAGGAGCGCGCGUGGAUGUCCCUCUUGUUCUCAUGCUCAUACAAAUGGGGAAAGAACCUCCCUUAUAAAGAGGUCCAACUCCCUCUAAACUGGCAAUGUGGGACUAAACUUUAGUAGUGUCCCUUGCCUUGCACGAAUGGGCUAAGUGGGCCUCUAGGAUUUAUUAGGAAUUUCUGAAAUUGUUAUUGGGCUAGGCCCAUAAAUAGAUAAAAUUCCAGCAAUCCCCCAAGAUCCUAGAGCCACAUAGAAUUUGCCUUUAGUUCCAAAACACUGUUUUAUAUACCGGUACUGCAGUGGAGACUGUUAAGUUGAACUUCCACCUAGAACUCUAUGCUACACUAGUAAGCAACUUGAACAGUGGACUGGGCCUUGAACUACAAGUUUUCUGCGAAUCUAGCUUCACAUAAAGCCUUGACCGAUACGUGGCUACCGUGGGUCUUCCCGCGGGUGGAGCUUAUGCGUCAUACUCCGAGACCUUUCAUGAGUUUACUAGAGAGAACCCUACUCUCAUAGAUUGCGACGUUUAACAAUCAGACUCAUAUAGGUGUGUUCUUCAAAAGAUGUUCUGCAGGACAACAUCUCUGCUUAAAUGAGCCACUUAGAACACAUUAAGAUAUACAUCAACCUGCCAUACAGUUUUAGGAGAGUAUUGCAUCUUCAUGGAGUGGUAUUGUUAAUAGUAAGGAUACUCUCCUCUCAGUUGAUCAACAGCUUGUCUUCCACAUCUAAUUCACGGGAUCUCCGAUCACAAAGAAUAGGUUACCACUGUGAACAACUCAUAUUGUGGGCUCAUACCCAUCUCCCUCGAUGCAUUAUCUAUCACAUUACGUGAUAGACCCUUAGUAAAAGGAUCUGCCAGAUUUUUAGACUUUUGGAUAUAAUCCAAUGCAAUAACUCCGGAGUUUCUCAUUUUCCUGACAGACUUUAACCUUCUCUGAACGUGUCUUGAUGACUUCAUGUUAUCCUUUGAGCUGCUCACUUUUGUGAUCACAGUUUGAUUGUCGCAGUUCAUAAGGAUACCCGGUACAGGUUUCUCAACAGCCGGCAAGUCAUUCAAGAGCCGGCGAAGCCAAUCUGCUUCGACCGUAGUUGUUUCUAGUGUUGUGAGUUCUGCUUCCAUUGUUGACCUCGUUAAGAUGGUCUGCUUGCAAGACUUCCAAGAAACAGCGCCACCUCCAUGAGUGAAUACAUAACCGCUCGUGGCCUUUAUCUCAUCAGCAUCUGAGAUCCAGUUUGAGUCACUAUACCCUUCAAGCACCUUUGGGUGCCCAGUGUAGUGAAUUCCAUAAUUCGCAGUGCCUUUCAAAUAAUGCAAAACUCUCUCUAGAGCUUUCCAAUGCACAUCUCCUGGUUUUGAGACAAACCGACUCAGUUUGCUAACAGCAAAAGAGAUGUCAGGUCUUGUAGCACUGGCUAAGUACAUAAGCGAGCCAAUAAUCUGAGAAUAUUUCAAUUGAUCUCUAGCAAUUCUUCGAUUCUUUCGAAGUAACACACUCGCAUCAUAUGGUGUUGGAGAGGGCUUGCAGUCACUAUAGCCAAAGCGACUCAAGAUAUUUUCCACAUAGUGAGACUGAAGCAAUGUAAUCCCACCAUCAUCGUCUCUCAACAACUUGAUGUUCAAAAUGACAUCAGCCACUCCUAAAUCCUUCAGCUCAAAACAACGAGAUAGGAAAUCCUUGACCUCCUUAAUAACAUUUAGAUUUGUUCCAAAAAUCAGUAUGUCAUCAACAUACAAGCAAAGAAUAACUCCUUCGCCCCCACCAUGGCGAUAAUACACACAUUUAUCAGCUUCGUUUACAACGAAGCCUGCAGCGGUUAAAGUUCUUUCAAACUUCUCAUGCCACUGUUUGGGUGCUUGCUUGAGUCCAUACAAAGACUUCAGCAACUUGCAAACUUUUCCUUCCUGACCAUCUAGUACAAACCCAUCUGGUUGUUCCAUAUAAAUUUCCUCAUCCAACUCUCCAUUUAGGAAAGCAGUCUUAACAUCCAUUUGAUGAACGAGAAGACCAUGUGAGGCAGCUAGUGAAAGUAGAACUCGAAUAGUGGUCAGUCAAGCCACAGGUGAGUAAGUAUCAAAGAAGUCUUCACCUUCCUUUUGGUUAUAACCCUUAGCCACGAGCCGAGCCUUGUACUUUUCAAUAGUACCAUCAGGCCUAAGCUUCUUCUUGAAUACCCAUUUGCAUCCUAUAGGUUUGCACCCAUAAGGACGAUCAGUUAUCUCCCAAGUUUCAUUCGCCAAGAUGGAAUCCAUCUCGCUACGAACCGCUUCCUUCCAGUAGUCAGCAUCUUCAGAUGCAUAGGCCUCUGAAAUAGAACUGGGAGUGUCAUCUAUGAGAUACACAAGAAAAUCAUCACCAAAGGACUUUGCAAUCCUCUGUCUCUUGCUCCUAGUAGGAACUUCAUUGUUCUCCUCCACAGAGUUUUCAAAGUGUUCCAUCGAAAUGGCAGGUUCGGUAAUUGUAACUAGUUCCUGAUUCGAUGAACUAGGCAUCUCCUGAUUAGACGAGGUAGACAUAUCCUUCAUGGGAAAGAUAUCUUCAAAGAAAGUCGCAUCAUUCGACUCCAUGAUCGUACCGACAUGCAUGUCAGGUACCUCAGAUUUUACAACCAAGAAUCUAUAGCCAAUGCUAUGAAAAGCAUAUCCCAGGAAAACACAAUCCACAGUCUUUGGUCCAAGCUUCCGCUUCUUUGGAAUUGGAACAUUGACUUUCGCCAAACAACCCCAUGUUCGCAGAUAAGAGAGUUUUAACCUUUUCUUCUCCCAUUCCUCGAAUGGAGUUAUCUCUUUGUUUAGGACAAUGACAUGCCGUCAAUAUCGCCUCCCCCCACCAUGCCUUGGAGAGACCCGAUGUGUCUAACAUGGCGUUAACCAAAUCAGUUAGAGUACGGUUCUUUCUUUCGGCCACCCCAUUUGACUGAGGUGAGUAGGGAGGCGUCCUCUCAUGGAUUAUACCAUGUUCCGCACAAAAAGCAUCAAAUUCAUUGGAAAAAUACUCUCCACCACGGUCGGACCUAAGCCUCUUGAUUUUUUGAUCAAGUUGGUUUUCCACUUCAGCUUUAUAGAUCUUGAAAAAGUUCAAAGCCUCAUCCUUAGAUUUCAGAAGAUACACACGGCAAUAUCUAGUGGAGUCGUCAAUUAAUGUCAUGAAAUAUUUCUUUCCACCUUUUGUCAAAACACCAUUCAUUUCACAUAGAUCUGAAUGUAUGAGCUCGAGUGGUGCAAGAUUUCUCGUUUCCGCAGUCGUGUGAGACUUACGAGGUUGCUUAGCUUGCACACACACUUGACACUUAGAUCCCUUGACAGUGGUGAAACUAGGGAUUAAGUUCAACUUCGCUAGUCGCGACAUGCAACCAAAGUUAACACGACAAAGACGUGAAUGCCACACAUUUGAUUCACUAUUGUUGCAAAUAUUUAACAACUUUAUUGCAAACGUCUGAUAAGGCUAAACGAAACAGGCCUCCUGACUCAUAGCCUUUACCAACGAAGGUUCCAUACUUGGAUAUUACAAAUUUAUUCGACUCAAAGACAAGCUUGUAGCCAUCUCUACACAGAAAAGAUCCGCUAACAAAAUUUUUAUUGACGGAGGGGACAUAAUGCACGUUCUUCAGCCGCACGAUCUUCCCCGAAGUAAACUUCAGAUCGACCGUGCCAACACCACGAACAGAAGCACUUGAACCGUUGCCCAUCAACACGGUUGAAGUCCCUGCGGUCUGAUAAGACGAAAACAUGGAAAUAUCACCGCAUACAUGCACAUUAGCACCCGUGUCAAUCAACCAAUCAGGAGAAUGACAUACUGAAAGAAUAGUGGGAAAUAUACCAUACCCAGCAUCCUUUAUGUCAGUGUCUCCAAUGACAACAUUAGCGGUCUUGCCGCCUUUCCCAGGAUGACGCUUGUCAUAGCGAUUAGGGCAACUAGGAGCCCAAUGAUCAGGAUCCCCACACACAUGACAAGCACCUUUCUUCUUGUCAUUCUUCUUCUUGAAGUUCGUGUGUUGCAUAGCCUUGUUCUUCCCAUCAAACUUUGCUUUACCAUCAAACUUGCCCUUGUUCUUGAACUUGUGGGGCUGGAAGUUCUUCUUCUGUACCAGAUUGGCACUAGAUCCUCCCUCAAUACCUCGAGCACGUGUGUCCUUUGCUCUCGCCUUUUCUUCCACAUCAAGAGUGCCAAUGAGAUCCGGAACGGAAAACCCCUGCCUCUUAUGCUUCAGUAAGGUAGCAAAGUUCCUCCAUGAAGGAGGAAGCUUAUUGAUGAUACCUCCGGCAACAAACUUGUCCGGUAGCAUACAACUGAAGUGCUCAAGUUCUCUAGCAAAUGACUGUAUCUCAUGAGCUUGCUCAACCACGGAGCGCUCUUCAGUCAUCCUGUAACCAUAGAAUUGCUCCAUGAUGUACAGCUCAGUGCCAGCAUCCGAGACCCCAAACUUGGCCUCAAGUGCAUCCCACAUAUCUUUUCCAUUAUCAAUUGACGCAUAAGCAUCAAUUAUGUUCUCACCAAGAACACUCAAGAAAGCAGCCUUAAACAGAGUAUCCAUUUUCUAAAAAGCUUGUGCCUGUUGAGCAUCAAGAUCUCCUUCAGGUUUGCCAAGAAUGGUUUGAAACCAUAAGACUGCUCUCACGCGCCACCUCUUAUAGUGGAUACCCUCAAACAUAGGAGGUCUCAUGGAAGCAGCAAAACCACUUGGUGUAAAUUGCCUAUAAUAAGGUUUUUGGAUUGUUGGAAAUAUUGGCAAUUUACCAUAUGAUUUUAUUAACGGAAAUACUAGAUAAAGCAUGACUAAAGUAACAGAGAUAAAGCAAGUCAUGCGAUCUGACAAAGAGAAGGUAGAUAACAUCUGCAAAUAUAAACUAGAACCGAACAUCUCUAGAGUAGACAGUAGACCAAGUAGCAUAUAUGAAGUAGAACCUAUCAUGUGUAGGGCAAGGACUAGAACAAGGAACUGUGGCAGAACCUCUAACAGGAAAAACAAGAACACGUACGGGACGGCAGCUGCAACAGUAGCACUAGACUUGGGGUCGGUGUCCUCGGUAGCCAUGUCGUGGAGGAGGUUGUCGACGUCGGGGAAGUAGUCGUCGGAGUCCGGGGUGUCCGUGACGAAGAAGUCAGUAGUCGCGCAGAGCGCUCCCCAAAAACCUUAUCAUCCUUCUCCCGUACAGGACUCAAAGAGGUGCGGUUUGGGAGGCCUACUGUCCCGACCUGCGGUGCAUGCCGCAAGCCGGGAUUAGGAAGAUCAUAGCAGCAGCACAGUGUUCAGGAACCGGUGGCGAGAGGAAGAAUGAGUUUGGUACAUCUCUCUGAGAGGAGCGACCUCCCUUUUAUAGGCGCAAGAGAAGGAGGCGAGAGGCUGCGUCGGGAGCUGAAGGGGACGAGGGAGAUGAAACGAACAGAUAGCAGCCGAAGGGUGCAGCAUUCGUAUUCAAUAUCCACUACAGCAAAAACUUUUCAGCUCCCGAGUGACCUUUCGUAUACCCUAGUGCGUGGCAAAAAUUUAGACAUUGGCUCAUUCCCGCAACCCGUGGCGAGGCGUGGCGGGCGACGGAGGAGGAGCGCGCGUGGAUGUCCCUCUUGUUCUCAUACUCAUACAAAUGGGGAAAGAACCUCCCUCAUAAAGAGGUCCAACUCCCUCUAAACUGGCAAUGUGGGGCUAAACUUUAGUAGUGUCCCUUGCCUUGCACGAAUGGGCUAAAUGGGCCUUUAGGAUUUAUUAGGAAUUUCUGAAAUUAUUACUGGGCUAGGCCCAUAAAUAGAUAAAAUUCCAGCAAGGUAGGGGCCAGGCCCCUGCAAACAUCAACAUCGACGAACCAAACCAGAAGGAAAAAAGAAACGCCCCGGCCUCCACAACACCAUGAAGGGCUGCCUGCAUAGGUGUUGACACCACCACCACCACUACUACGAGGACUCUUGAAGCCACAAUGCAGCAACCGCCUCGCAUCCGCGCUGUCGACGGAGGCCAACCUCGCCGCCAACUAACGCUCUAGUCUGCUGCCCGUGCAACCGCGACCAAAGCACGCCAACGACGCCUACCAACACCACCACUGUGCUACCAUUCGCCACGCGCCGCACUGCCACACCCAUCGCCGUCCCGUAGAGGGAAAAGUGCAGCUGUGCCGUCACCGACCCCAAGAGGUCACCUCCAAAGACGGAGCAGCAGAUCGGGCGCCGCCCCGAUCUGAGCCCUUCGAGCCGGCGCACGAGCAACCACCGCCGCGCAGCACUGGCGCCUCCCAGACGGAGUUCAUAUCCACAGGCAAAUGAUACAACAUAUACCAUUAUAUCUCAGUCAUGGUAGUACAUCAGGGCAGCAACAUGGCAUCCAUCAUGAUGGCUUUUAUUUCGAACAAGGAAUGGAAAUACACACACAUAAAACAGAGUGACACACUGGUUUGGAUACUCUCGAUGGGAUCCAAUUUUAUUGAACGCAAAGGUGAGACACGACCUUGCCCUGUGAAAUCUCAGACCAUGGAUACGCAUCAUUACGCAUCAAGGGAAGUGAGGCCAGCAUCACCGUUACAGAAAUUGACACAAGCAUCGCCACAAUUUUCCACAUAGAGUUUCAUCUCUUCAUCGUCAGCAGCUGGUGCCCAAAUAACAUAUUAUGUGUCAAGAACUAGCCUUUUUCAUCAAUUAGUUUACAGGAAUACAAAUACAAGAUGAAAUUUCUUUACCUGCGUUGACCAUGUAGUCACACACGGAAGACCUACAUCCCAAGUUGCAAUACUCAAUGGUGUCUGGUUCAUCUGUCAAAUUAAAAUAUCUAGCGUGUAAAUAAAAUCCUUUCUGAAACAAAUAAUUCCCCAGUUACAAUAUGCUUGAUGUUUUGGAUAUUCACAUGGUCUCUAUCAUUCAUUCUUUGUUAGUUAUUUUUCACAAUUACUUGUUGGUAGAAAAUUAUGAAGAAAAAAACUUGUGGAAAAUUAUUCAUGGCAAAUCUGAUCAUCUAACGCCAUCUAACAUAUUUGAAAUACUUUAUCAUAUUAGUAACAAAACUAGGAAAAUUUUAACUUGACUAUAUGCUUAUCGAAUGACAUCUAUUCUAUUUUUUUAAAAAAAAGAGGGAGUAUAUAAAAUAGAAGGAGUUCAUUCUCUUUACCUGAGUUGGACUCAAGGGCCAAUUUAGGGAAACCUUUGGGGCAGCUUAGGCCACUUGUGAGUUUACACCUACAGACGGUUGAGCAUAACUUCUGAGCACCACGGGAGCGGCAAAGGUUGUAGCAGUUUCUUCCCAGGGUGGUCCUGCAGCAACUCUUGCCUUCUACUUGCACCUGUUCCAGAACCAACCCCAGUAUGAGUAAACACACCAUCACACCCUUGAGGCCCUUGCUUCCCAUGGCUGGCAGGCUAUCUUGCAGAACAAAGAAGUAUAAUGGCUUUGGUUGAUGGAUUACUGAGACUAGGCUUGGAUGGCUCCUAGUUAUAGGAGAUGGUGGUUGCGGCAUGUGGGAUGUUCACGUGAUGGUUGUUGUAUGUAAAUGUUGCGUGUUCAUGCCAGCCAUGUAUUUAUUUUUUUGCAAAAUCGUGCCAGCCAUGUAAACCGGAUGAAAACAAAAGCUCCUAACUGUGAGUGUGUUUGGAGGGCUACUCUUCUUCCAAACUCCACUGGCAAUGUUUAACCACACGCAACAGCGACAAAUCAAUUUCUAGUUGCAUAUCACUCCUUAAACAUGAGUUUUUUAAGAGCUUAUGGACAAAUAUUGGACCUUGUCUUUCUUGCCUUGCCAAGGAGCCGACUCCGGCAAUGACAACAAAAGUGUCUUUAAUCACGCGCGGCACGGCAAAAGGCAACCUUAUGGUUGUCAUCCAUCCCAAGAGAAAUUUGGUUGAAAUCGUGCAUGGAUGAUAAAGAUGAUGGUUGUGGAAUACGUGCAAGCAAACAUGUUUGUAUCAAUCCAUCCGCGCCCACAGUUCACAUGGUAUGUCGCUUAGGGGUUGGUAAUGCAAGCGCAUCCCUCAAAACAAAAACUUUUGGCAGUUAGCUAGUUCUUGUCCUCAUGUUCUUUAGGCUUUUCUCAGCGCUCCAUGAUGCUAAGAAUGUCACAUAGGCAAAAAAGUUAACGUAGCAAAGAAAUUAAGAAAAAGAGAGAGCAUCGAGACCCGAUGAAGAAACGAUGUCAAGUGAGCAAAUCUAUGCAAAACACAUAUGCAUGAGGGAUUUUUGUUGCUAAACAAUUAAUUGAAGGAAGCUUAGGUACAAAAGGCUAAGCACCUAUGCAUGCAUUGGGGAAUUUAGUUUAUAAGUUAUUUGAUGCACUUAGCACCUUAUCUAAGCACCUGUGGUGGAUCCAGAACCCUCUCGAAGGCCAAGCAAAGCACAAACUAAGGUAUCUAAGAUGCCAUUUUUAAUAAAUAAAAUCAUCAUAUAAAAAAUGUCUAACAUAAGGUGUCACAUCAAUGGUAGAUUCACUCAUGAGUGAGCACCAUUAGUUUGUUCUAGAACACAACUGGUCUCUACCUGGGAUCGGGAAAGUUUGUAUGAUGAGAUAAUACAAUUUUGCCGAAAAAAAUUAACAAUGAAUCUUUCACAAAACUGGCGGCGUGCGUGCUUGGGAAGAGAUGGGAGUGACAUGUGUCCGAGCAGAAAAGCAAAUAAGAGAUCGAUACAAGGGAUAGACCUAGGGAUUGACGGGUGGGCCACAGUCCACCAUAAGUUUUCCAAAUAUCAUAGCGAGCAAAUGAUGAAUCUUGCUUACUGCGAGACGAGCGGUCGCCUACGUCGAUCAUUCAAGUGGGCCAGCCCAACAACGGUUUUGAGAAGCUUCAAUGUGCCAUUCUGAGAAGCUUCUAUGUACAGUAGGGACUGGUUUUGGGAACCUUCCGUGCGGUUUUCGGAAGCUUUCAUCCCUUUUUUUCCUUUCCAAUUUUUUCUCUACAGAUUUUUAUACUUUUUUCUUUCUUCGUUCCUGUUAUUUUUUAUCUUUUUUUAUUUUCAUGUUCUUUGUAAAAUAAAAGACUGAACAUUUUUAUAUGACAUGAACUUUUUGAAAAAAUAAAUAUGCAGACAAUUUUUCACAUCUUCAUGAAUUUUUUUGUAUAUGUUGCGAACAUGCUGUCAUAUGCCAUGAAAAUUCUCCAAAAUUUACACUAAGUAUUUUUUACAUUUUCAUGAACAUUUUUACAAAUGCUGAAAUCAUUUUUCAAUGGUAACAAACACUUUUUAUAAGUCACAAACAUGUUUUAAAAAUUGAGUUAGCAAAUUUUUAUAUUUCAUGAACAAAUUUUAAAUGAGUUUUUGUCAGAUGGUACACCAUUUUUUAAAUGUCAUGAAUAUUUUUUAUAAAUUAAUAAAAAUUGUUGGUAAGUGUCAUGAAAUUUUUAAUAAAAAUGUGCGGACACUUUUUUGAGCUGCUUGAAUGGUUUUCCUUUUUUUAGCACAAUCCUCUAGGUUAAUCAUAGGAACACAAAGAGUGCUAUGGGGCAGACCAAGCCAUGUGUGUCUCCCCUGAUCUAAAGUAGAUGCAAACCUAGCUAAAUUGUGGGCUUCGUAAUUUGAGCCUCUUUUUUCAUGAACAAAAUUACAUAGGGCGAAAGAAGAUCUAGAAGCAUUAAUAUCCUUGAAAACCACCUCAUAUUUACCACCUUGUAAAGUGGCGAUGUCAUUGACCACGUUUAGGCAAUCUGUCGCAAUAUGCACCCUCUCGAGAUUCAAGUCAAUAGCCAACGCAAUGCCUUCGCGACAAGCAAUAACUUCUAGGUCUGCAGGAUCAAUAACUCUCGGUAAGACGAGAGCUAAAGCUCCCAAAUAUAAUCACCAAUCAUCCUCCCUACAUCUGUACCAUAUAAGCCUGGCCUGGAGAUGCCACCAUCCACAUUUAUUUUGGCGGAUCCAUUCUUCCUAUACAAAAAUAAGAGCCAUUCUUGGUAGCUGGGCGUGGCCCAUUUCAAGUAAUGUUGAAGCCAAGGUGGUCAUCGUUCUAGCUAAAAGCAAGGAAAAUCCCUAUUUGACGCAUUUGGUGUCAAACAAUCGGUCAAUUGCACAUACAAAGCGACCGAGCAAGCGAAUGGGCAUGCCCAUCUGUAGUACAGGUACAUCUGUCAUGUUCCACCUUUGGAAAUCUUCUAGAGGGUUUCCAGUGGUUUUAUCGGUUUUGGUAACCUUCUAGAAGGUUUCGGAAUUAUCUUUUUAUUCUUUCCUUUUCUUUUAUUGUUUUUGUUUCUACUUCUUUUUCUCUUUUUAUUUUCCUUUUUGGUUUUUUCAUGUUUUUGUUUUUGUUUUUCUGAUUCUUUUUCUGGUUUGUUUUAUUCAAAAAUUCCAUAAAUAUAAUCCAAUUUUCCAAAUUUCUUCACAAUUCCAAAAAUUAGUUUGUUUCAAAAUUUGUUUAAGAAUUUCAAAAAUAUUCUCAUUUUUAAAAACAAAUCAUGUUUCAUGAAAUGAUAUUGAAUUUCAAAAUAUGUUCUUGCUUUGAAAAAUUGUUCACAAUUUCCAAAUAAUAUCGUCCUUCAAUAAAUGUUCAGUAAUUUCAAAAAAGUUCUUGUCUUCAAAAUUUGUUCACAAUUAAAAAAAUCAUGUUAAAAUAAAUUUUCAGGAUUUCAAAAAACUCUCUCGUUUUCAGAAUUUAUUCACAAUUUCGGAAAAAUCUUCGUGCUUAAAAAAUGUUUAGGAAUUUCAAAAUAUGUUAGCGGUUUACAAAAAAUAUGUUAUGAUCAAGUUCUUAAAUACAUGUGAGAACAGUUUUUCAAUGAUAAAAUCAUCUUUAUAAAUGAUGGAAUCUAGUUUUUACAUUGUACAAACAUCUUUUUGGCAAAAUGACCCGACAUAAUUUCAAAAUAUGUUAGCGGUUUACAAAAAAUAUGUUAUGAUCAAGUUCUUAAAUACAUGUGAGAACAGUUUUUCAAUGAUAAAAUCAUCUUUAUAAAUGAUGGAAUCUAGUUUUUACAUUGUACAAACAUCUUUUUGGCAAAAUGACCCGACAUAAUUUUAAAAUUUGUGAUCAUUAGUUUCGAUGUAUCAUGCCUUUUAUUGAUGUCCGAUUCACUUUUUAAAUUACUCAUUGCUUUAUUAAAAAAAACUAUAUUAUAAAAAACUCAUUAUUUUUUGAAUACAUGGUCAAUAUUUUUCAUACACAAUUAAUAUUUGUCAAAUGCUUGAUCAUUUGUACAAAUACUUGUUCAACAUUUUUCUGCAAAAGCUUGAUUAACAUUUUUAUAUACAUGAUCCAAAAUUUCAUAAUUUUUUAAGUACAUGGUCAACAUUUUUUAUAUAAUAUUUUUAAAUGCUUGAUCAACAACUAUCAAAUAAUUGUUCAACAUUAAACUAUAUUUAGAAUAUUUUAAAGUAUAAACAAAAUUUGAAAAUAAAACAAAAACCAAAAAAAUCAGGCUGUGGCCUCCCAUGCUCCUGGGACAACCCAUCUCGGUCUCCCCUUCUGCGAGGGUUCCUACACUCUUGCUGAAGGCGAGAUAUAGGGGAGCCAUUGAUUAAGAGGUCUCCUCGUUCCCCUAAAGAAAAUAGGUCUCCUUGUUUAGCGUGUGGCGUGACGCGAGCCCGAGAGUAGCUAACUCGUGUUAUUUCUUGCGUGGGACCUUAGGGGCAUCUUUCUGUGCCACGCGAGCACGUCAAGGUGUGUCCAGCCAUCGCCACAUGUAACAUGCUAGGUGCUCUAUCUAGAUUUUAUUUUUUAAAUCUUUUUACGUGUUUUUGGGUUUUUGGCUUUUCGGUUUGCGCCUGGUUUUCCCUACGUUUUGGAGAAAAAAAUCAUGGAUUCUUUUGGCACAAAUAAUAGUUGUGCUUCCAUGAGAAACAAAUUUCCUUUCGUUUGUUCUUUUUGGAAAAGGAAACAUCAGUGCUUCCAGGAGAAGCACAUGUUUGCUUCUUCAAAAGACAAAAAAUAUAUUCUUCACAGGAAGCACGUAGAUUUGCUUCUUGUGGAGGCAUUGAUUUGCUUUCGCGAGAAGCACAAAAAAGGAAAAAAAAAAUACUCUCAGGACAAGCACACAGUUGCUUCCGCAAGAACCGCAUCGAAAAAAAUUGUGCUUCCACCAAAAACACAUAAUUUCUUUUCAUUGAGACACAGAUUUGCUUCCGCGAGAAGCACAGAUUAUCGAAAAGAGGGAAAAAUUAAACACGUGCUUCCAGUUCUAUGUUCUUUCUUCAAAAAUAUUCGUCUUUCUUUUUCCCGUUGCCUUUUUAUUUUUGUUUUUUUAUCAUUUUUUGUUACUGGUUUUUUGUGAAAAAAAGUUCGUUGAAACCUAAUAACAUGAGGUUUAGUUUCAAAGAUGUCGAGGUGAGAAAUCCAAUAGCAAAAACAGUUUUGGAUUUAAAUGCACAGUCCACGAGAUAAAACGCUUUGAAUAACCGAAUCUAAGGAAAAAAACUCUCGGGUAGGCCACUUGUCAGCGCCUGAGAACGUGGGAGUGAUCUUUCCAAGGGGCAACCCAUAACUAGUGAUUUCACACGAGUUCCACAAACACGCACCCCUAUAUGGAUGCACUUUUGGGCUGGCCCAUGCUAAAGGCGGGCUUCCUUUUUUAUCUUUCUUUUUCCUUUUUGUUUUCUUUUAUUUUUAUUUUCUGUUUUAGUUUUUUGUUUUUUUGAAAAAAGGGGAUUUCAAUAAACCUUACUUAUUUCAAAAUAUGUUCAAAUUAAUAAAUAUUCCAAAUUUCAAAAGAUGUCCGUAAAUUUGAAUAAUGUUCUUGGAUUUCAAAAAUUCUUAGUAAAUUUUAGGAAAAUGUUCACAGAUUUGAUAAAACGUUCCAAAAUUCAGAAAAUGGAAAUAAAUUUGCAAAUUAUUAAUAAAUUCCAAAAAAUGUUUAUAAAUUCCCGGAAAAAGGGAUGAAGAAAAGUCCGUGUCGUUCCACUGGUUUGCUGCCGAGGCCGUUGUCGCCGGGCAGGGGAGGAUGGUGUCCUGAUCGGGCUUCAUGUCCCUUCAUGUGUGACGUGCGCUAGCCCCGGGACAAGGAAAAGGGUGAAAAAUGGUAGUCCGACAAAUAUUCACUGAUUCAAAAAAUGUUCAUGAAAUUUUAAAAUUGUUUCAAAAAUUCAAAAAAAAUCCGUUCAACAUAUAUUCAUGCAACCCCAUUUUGUCCCUCCCUCUCCGGUCCGUCCCCACCCUUGGCAAUAUUAUGUGCAUAUGUCGUACCUCUCCACCUCUAUAUUGUUCCCGGCUAUUGUUGGGGAACGUAGUAAUUUCAAAAUUUUCCUACGCACACGCAAGAUCAUGGUGAUGCAUAGCAACAAGAGGGGAGAGUGUAAUCUACGUACCCUCGUAGACCGUAAGCGGAAGCGUUUAUCAACGUGGUUGAUGUAGUCGUACACCUUCACGAUCCGUCCCGAUCAAGUACCGAACGUACGGCACCUCCGCGUUCAGCACACGUUCAGCUCGAUGACGUCCUCGCCUUCUUGAUCCAGCAAGAGGGGCAAAGUAGUAGAUGAGUUCCGGCAGCACGACGGCGUGGUGACGGUGAUGGUGAAGAACAAUCUCCGCAGGGCUUCGCCUAAGCACUACGAAAACUAUGACGAAGGAUAAACUAGAGGGGGCGGGGUAGCCGGCACACGGCUUGGUGUUUCUUGAUGUGUCUUUGGUGCUAGCCCUGCCCCUCUAUUUAUAUGUUGAGCCCUGGGGUCGAAACUUGGAGCAAAAGCCUCCUCAAAGUCGGUUUUGCCCGAAAGGCAAGAGUCCCACUCGGACUCCGGGACCAAACGCCACAAUCUUUGGCGUCUGGCCCAGACGCCAUGGGCCUCAGCGUCUGGCCCAGGGCCAGACGCCAGGGUCUCCGUGUUGGGGAACGUAGUAAUUUCAAAAAAAUUCCUACGCACACACAGAAUCAUGGUGAUGCAUAGCAACGAGAGGGGAGAGUGUUGUCCACGUACCCUCGUAGACCGAAAACGGAAGCAUUAGCACAACACGGUUGAUUUAGUCGUACGUCUUCACGAUCCGACCGAUCAAGUACCGAAUGUACGGCACCUCCGAGUUCAGCACACGUUCAGCUCGAUGACGUCCCUCGAACUCCAAUCCAGCCGAGCUUUGAGGGAGAGUUCCGUCAGCACGACGGCGUGGUGACGACGAUGGUGUUCUACCGAUGCAGGGCUUCGCCUAAGCACAACUACGAUAUUAUCGAGGUGGACUAUGGUGGAGGGGGGCACCGCACAUGGCUAAGAGAUCCAAGGGAUCAAUUGUUGUGUCUAGAGGUGCCCCCUGCCCCCGUAUAUAAAGGAGCAAGGGGGGGAGAGGCGGCCGACCAGGAGGAGGCACGCCAGGGAGGAGUCCUACUCCCACCGGGAGUAGGACUCCCUCCAUUCCUAGUUGGAGUAGGAGAAGGGGGAAGGAGGAGGGAGAGAGGAAGGAAAGGGGGCGCCCCCCCCUCCUUGUCCAAUUCGGACUAGAGGGGGAGGGGGCGCGCGGCCUGCCCUGGCCGCCCCUCCUCUUCUCCACUAAGGCCCAUCUUGGCCCAUUAAACCCCCGGGGGGUUCCGGUAACCCCCGGUACUCCGGUAAAAUCCCGAUUUCACCUGGAACACUUCCGAUAUCGAAAUAUAGGCUUCCAAUAUAUCAAUCUUUAUGUCUCGACCAUUUCGAGACUCCUCGUCAUGUCCGUGAUCACAUCCGGGACUCCGAACUAUCUUCGGUACAUCAAAACACAUAAACUCAUAAUAUAACCGUCAUCGAACUUUAAGCGUGCGGACCCUACGGGUUCGAGAACAAUGUAGACAUGACCGAGACACGUCUCCGGUCAAUAACCAAUAGCGGAACCUGGAUGCUCAUAUUGGCUCCUACAUAUUCUACGAAGAUUUCGGUCAAACCGCAUAACAACAUACGUUGUUCCCUUUGUCAUCGGUAUGUUACUUGCCCGAGAUUCGAUCGUCGGUAUCUCAAUACCUAGUUCAAUCUCGUUACCGGCAAGUCUCUUUACUCGUUCCGCAAUACAUCAUCCCGCAACUAACUCAUUAGUUGCAAUGCUUGCAACGCUUAUAGUGAUGUGCAUUAUCGAGUGGGCCCAGAGAUACCUCUCCGACAAUCGGAGUGAAAAAUCCUAAUCUCGAAAUACGCCAACCCAACAAGUACCUUCGGAGACACCUGUAGAGCACCUUUAUAAUCACCCAGUUACGUUCUGACAUUUGGUAGCACACAAAGUGUUCCUCCGGUAAACGGGAGUUGCAUAAUCUCAUAGUCAUAGGAACAUGUAUAAGUCGUGAAGAAAGCAAUAGCAGAAUACUAAACGAUUGAGUGCUAAGCUAACGGAAUGGGUCAAGUCAAUCACAUCAUUCUCCUAAUGAUGUGAUCCCGUUAAUCAAAUGACAACUCAUGUCAAUGGCUAGGAAACAUAACCAUCUUUGAUUAACGAGCUAGUCAAGUAGAGGCAUACUAGUGACACUCUGUUUGUCUAUGUAUUCACACAAGUAUUAUGUUUUCGGUUAAUACAAUUCUAGCAUGAAUAAUAAACAUUUAUCAUGAUAUAAGGAAAUAAAUUAUAACUUUAUUAUUGCCUCUAGGGCAUAUUUCCUUCAGUCUCCCACUUGCACUAGAGUCAAUAAUCUAGAUUACACACUAAUGAUUCUAACACCCAUGGAGCCUUGGUGCUGAUCAUGUUUUGCUCGUGGAAGAGGCUUAGUCAACGGGUCUGCAACAUUCAGAUCCGUAUGUAUCUUGCAAAUUUCUAUGUCUCCCACCUGGACAUGAUCCCGGAUGGAGUUGAAGUGUCUCUUGAUGUGCUUGGUUCUCUUGUGAAAUCUGGAUUCCUUUGCCAAGUCAAUUGCACCAGUAUUGUCACAAAAUAUUUUCAUUGGACCCGAUGCACUAGGUAUGACACCUAGAUCGGAUAUGAACUCCUUCAUCCAGACUCCUUCAUUUGCUGCUUCUGAAGCAGCUAUGUACUCCGCUUCACACGUAGAUCCUGCCACAACGCUUUGUUUAGAACUGCACCAACUGACAGCUCCACCGUUCAAUGUAAACACGUAUCCGGUUUGCGAUUUAGAAUCGUCCGGAUCAGUGUCAAAGCUUGCAUCGACGUAACCAUUUACGACUAGCUCUUUGUCACCUCCAUAAAUGAGAAACAUAUCCUUAGUCCUUUUCAGGUAUUUCAGGAUGUUCUUGACCGCUGUCCAGUGAUCCACUCCUGGAUUACUUUGGUACCUCCCUGCUAAACUUAUAGCAAGGCACACAUCAGGUCUGGUACACAGCAUUACAUACAUGAUAGAGCCUAUGGCUGAAGCAUAGGGAACAUCUUUCAUCUUCUCUCUAUCUUCUGCAGUGGUCGGGCAUUGAGUCUUACUCAACUUCACACCUUGUAACACAGGCAAGAACCCUUUCUUUGCUUGAUCCAUUUUGAACUUCUUCAAAACUUUAUCAAGGUAUGUGCUUUGUGAAAGUCCAAUUAAGCGUCGUGAUCUAUCUCUAUAGAUCUUGAUGCCCAAUAUAUAAGCAGCUUCACCGAGGUCCUUCAUUGAAAAAAUCUUAUUCAAGUAUCCCUUUAUGCUAUCCAGAAAUUCUAUAUCAUUUUCAAUUAGCAAUAUGUCAUCCACAUAUAAUAUUAGAAAUGCUACAGAGCUCCCACUCACUUUCUUGUAACAGGCUUCUCCAAAAGUCUGUAUAAAACCAUAUGCUUUGAUCACACUAUCAAAGUGUUUAUUCCAACUCCGAGAUGCUUGCACCAGUCCAUAAAUGGAUCGCUGGAGCUUGCAUACUUUGUUAGCUCCCUUUGGAUUGACAAAACCUUCCGGUUGCAUCAUAUACAACUCUUCUUCCAGAAAUCCAUUUAGGAAUACAGUUUUGACAUCCAUUUGCCAAAUUUCAUAAUCAUAAAAUGCGGCAAUUGCUAACAUGAUUCGGACAGACUUAAGCAUCGCUAUGGGUGAGAAAGUCUCAUCGUAGUCAAUCCCUUGAACUUGUCGAAAACCUUUUGCAACAAGUCGAGCUUUAUAAACAGUAACAUUACCGUCAGCGUCAGUCUUCUUCUUGAAGAUCCAUUUAUUCUCAAUGGCUUGCCGAUCAUCGGGCAAGUUAACCAAAGUCCACACUUUGUUCUCAUACAUAGAUCCCAUCUCAGAUUUCAUGGCCUCAAGCCAUUUUGCGGAAUCUGGGCUCACCAUCGCUUCUUCAUAGUUUGUAGGUUCGUCAUGGUCUAGUAACAUAACCUCGAGAACAGGAUUACCGUACCACUCUGGUGCGGAUCUUACUCUGGUUAACCUACGAGGUUCAGUAACAACUUGAUCUGAAGUUUCAUGAUCAUCAUCAUUAACUUCCUCACUAAUUGGUGUAGGUGUCAGAGGAACCGGUUUCUGUGAUGAACUACUUUCCAAUAAAGGAGCAGGUACAGUUACCUCAUCAAGUUCUACUUUCCUCCCACUCACUUCUUUCGAGAGAAACUCCUUCUCUAGAAAGGAUCCAAAUUUAGCAACAAAAAUCUUGCCUUCAGAUCUGUGAUAGAAGGUGUACCCAACAGUUUCCUUUGGGUAUCCUAUGAAGACACAUUUCUCCGAUUUGGGUUCGAGCUUAUCAGGUUGAAGCUUUUUCACAUAAGCAUCGCAGCCCCAAACUUUAAGAAACGACAACUUUGGUUUCUUGCCAAACCACAGUUCAUAAGGUGUCGUCUCAACGGAUUUCGAUGGUGCCCUAUUUAACGUGAAUGCAGUCGUCUCUAAAGCAUAACCCCAAAAUGAUAGCGGUAAAUCAGUAAGAGACAUCAUAGAUCGCACCAUAUCUAUUAAAGUACGAUUAUGAUGUUCGGACACACCAUUACGCUGUGGUGUUCCGGGUGGCGUGAGUUGCGAAACUAUUCCGCAUUUUUUCAAAUGAAGACCAAACUCGUAACUCAAAUAUUCUCCUCCACGAUCAGAUCAUAGAAACUUUAUUUUCUUGUUACCGUGAUUUUCAACUUCACUCUGAAAUUCUUUGAACUUUUCAAAUGUUUCAGACUUAUGUUUCAUUAAGUAGAUAUACCCAUAUCUGCUUAAAUCAUCUGUGAAGGUGAGAAAAUAACGAUACCCGCCGCGAGCCUCAACAUUCAUCGGACCACAUACAUAUGUAUGUAUGAUUUCCAACAAAUCUGUUGCUCGCUCCAUAGUUCCGAGAACGGCGUUUUAGUCAUCUUGCCCAUGAGGCACGGUUCGCAAGUACCAAGUGAUUCAUAAUCAAGUGGUUCUAAAAGUCUAUCAGUAUGGAGUUUCUUCAUGCGCUUUACACCAAUAUGACCUAAACGGCAGUGCCACAAAUAAGUUGCACUAUCAUUAUCAACUCUGCAUCUUUUGGCUUCAAUAUUAUGAAUAUGUGUAUCACUACUAUCGAGAUUCAAUAAAAAUAGACCACUCUUCAAGGGUGCAUGACCAUAAAAGAUAUUACUCAUAUAAAUAGAACAACCAUUAUUCUCUGAUUUAAAUGAAUAACCGUCUCGCAUCAAACAAGAUCCAGAUAUAAUGUUCAUGCUCAACGCUGGCACCAAAUAACAAUUAUUCAGGUCUAAAACUAAUCCCGAAGGUAGGUGUAGAGGUAGUGUGCCGACCGCGAUCACAUCGACUUUGGAACCAUUUCCCACGCGCAUCGUCACCUCGUCCUUAGCCAAUCUUCGCUUAAUUUGUAGUCCCUGUUUCGAGUUGCAAAUAUUAGCAACAGAACCAGUAUCAAAUACCCAGGUGCUACUGCGAGCAUUACUAAGGUACACAUCAAUAACAUGUAUAUCACAUAUACCUUUGUUCACCUUGCCAUCCUUCUUAUCCGCCAAAUACUUGGGGCAGUUCCGCUUCCAGUGACCAGUCUGUUUGCAGUAAAAGCACUCAAUCUCAGGCUUAGGUCCAGACUUGGGUUUCUUCUCCUGAGCAGCAACUUCUUUGCUGUUCUUCUUGAAGUUUCCCUUCUUCUUCCCUUUGCCCUUUUUCUUGAAACUGGUGGUCUUGUUGACCAUCAACACUGUCCUUCUUGAUUUCUACCUCCGCAGCCUUUAGCAUUGCGAAGAGCUUGGGAAUUGUCUUAUCCAUCCCUUGCAUGUUAUAGUUCAUCACGAACCUCUUGUAGCUUGGUGGCAGUGAUUGAAGAAUUCUGUCAAUGACGCUAUCAUCCGGAAGAUUAACUCCCAGUUGAAUCAAGUGAUUGUUAUACCCAGACAUUUUGAGUAUAUGCUCACUGACAGAACUAUUCUCCUCCAUCUUACAGCUGUAGAACUUAUUGGAGACUUCAUAUCUCUCAAUCCGGGCAUUUGCUUGAAAUAUUAACUUCAACUCCUGAAACAUCUCAUAUGCUCCAUGACGUUCAAAACGUCGUUCAAGUCCCGGUUCUCAGCCGUAAAGCAUGGCACACCGAACUAUCGAGUAGUCAUCAGUUUUGCUCUGCCAGACGUUCAUAACAUCUGGUGUUGCUCCUGCAGCAGGUCUGGCACCUAGCGGUGCUUCCAGGACGUAAUUCUUCUGUGCAGCAAUGAGGAUAAUCCUCAAGUUAUGGACCCAGUCCGUGUAAUUGCUACCAUCAUCUUUCAACUUUGCUUUCUCAAGGAACGCAUUAAAAUUCAACAGAACAACAGCACGGGCCAUCUAUCUACAAUCAACACAGACAAGCAAAAUACUAUCAGGUACUAAGUUCAUGAUAAAUUUAAGUUCAAUUAAUCAUAUUACUUAAGAACUCUCACUUAGAUAGACAUCCCUCUAAUCCUCUAAGUGAUCACGUGAUCCAAAUCAACAAACCAUGUCCGAUCAUCACGUGAGAUGGAGUAGUUUCAAUGAUGAACAUCACUAUGGUGAUCAUAUCUACUAUAUGAUUCACGCUCGACCUUUCGGUCUCAGUGUUCCGAGGCCAUAUCUGCAUAUGCUAGGCUCGUCAAGUUUAACCUGAGUAUUCCGUGUGUGCAACUGUUUUGCACCCGUUGUAUUUGAACAUAGAGCCUAUCACACCCGAUCAUCACGUGGUGUCUCAGCACGAAGAACUUUCGCAACGGUGCAUACUCAGGGAGAACACUUAUGCCUUGAUAAUUUAGUGAGAGAUCAUCUUAUAAUGCUACCGUCAAUCAAAGCAAGAUAAGAUGCAUAAAAGAUAAACAUCACAUGCAAUCAAUAUAAGUGAUAUGAUAUGGCCAUCAUCAUCUUGUGCUUGUGAUCUCCAUCUCCGAAGCACCGUCAUGAUCACCAUCGUCACCGGCGCGACACCUUCAUCUCCAUCGUAGCAUCGUUAUCAUCUCGCCAACUUAUGCUUCUACGAUAUCGCUACCGCUUAGUGAUGUCGUUAUCAUCUCGCCAACUUAUGCUUCUACGAUAUCGCUACCGCUUAGUGAUAAAGUAAAGCAUUACAGCGCGUUUGCAUUGCAUACAAUAAAGCGGCAACCAUAUGGCUCCUGCCAGUUGCCGAUAACUCGGUUACAAAACAUGAUCAUCUCAUACAAUAAAAUAUAGCAUCAUGCCUUGACCAUAUCACAUCACAACAUGCCCUGCAAAAACAAGUAAGACAUCCUCCACUUUGUUGUUGCAAGUUUUACGUGGCUGCUACGGGCUGAUAUCGAGUAGUCAUACCCCCACAACUUUAUUAUUGCCUCUAGGGCAUAUUUCCUUCAGUUAUAUCCUACGUUGCAUACUUCCCAGCCAUGUCCCAUUGCUGGCUAUAACCUACACCAUGUAAUCACACCACACCCCUACCCUUUCUAGAGCUCUCGAUGUUGCAUACUAAAGAUAUAAAGUGCCUAGCAUUUGGAUAUAUUUUUUAUUUUUUUUACUAUCCCUGGGAUUUACUGCUGAAGGCCAGCAAAAUAUAAUGAGUUGGAGCCCAUUACAUAGCGCCAGUCGCUAUCUCUUCUUUGUUCUUCUAGUCAACAAGAGAAAAGAGAGAAGAAGGGGAGCAGUUGUUGCCCAUGUAAGUGGUCAUCAGCUUUGCUCUGCCAGACGUUCUUAACAUCGUCAGUUGCAUCUGCAGCAGGCCUGGCACCCAGCGGUGCUUCCAGGACGUAAUUCUUCUGUGCAGCAAUGAGGAUAAUCCUCAAGUUAUGGACCCAGUCCGUGUAAUUGCCACUAUCAUCUUUCAACUUUGCUUUCUCAAGGAACACAUUAAAAUUCAACGGCACAACAGCACGGGCCAUCUAUCUACAACAACAUAAACAUGCAAAAUACUAUUAGGUACUAAGUUUGUGCUAAAUUAAAGUUCAAUUAAUCAAAUUACUUAAGAACUCCCACUUAGAUAGACAUCCCUCUAAUCAUCUAAGUGAUCACGCGAUCCAUAUCAACUAAACCAUGUCCGAUCAUCACGUGAGAUGGAGUAGUUUUCAAUGGUGACAUCACUAUGUUGAUCAUAUCUACUAUAUGAUUCACGCUCGACCUUUCGGUCUCAGUGUUCCGAGGCCAUAUCUGCAUAUGCUAGGCUCGUCAAGUUUAACCUGAGUAUUAUGCGUGUGCAAAACUGGCUUGCACCUGUUGUAUGUGAACGUAGAGCUUAUCACACCCGAUUAGUCCUGGCCAUCUCAGGCCCGGCCCUGUCGGCCAACCCAGGCCCGGCCCUAAAAUCCAGGGCCUAGGCCCGAUGGGCUUGCCCAUAGGCCGGGCUUGGGCCUGAGUUUUGAGCCCACCAGCAGGGCCUGGACGGGCUUGGGCUUGGCAUAUUGGCAUUUUAAGGAAGAGGCCCAGCCCACGGCCCUAAGCCCUAAGGGCUU
rnacentral:lncRNA from 1 species